GUUUUUUUCUUUUUUGAAAAUCUUUUUAAGAUUCCACCUCCAUGAAUCCUUCUAAACUCUUCUUUGUUUUAAUAAUAAACUUGUGGAGUUUGUUUCUUCUUCCAAAGCUUUUAAGUUAACCCUAAAUUUUAAAUUAGGCUUCUUUUUAUUUUUUAUUUUUUAAUUAAGAUUCGGAAAAAAACUUUUGAUUGUAGAAAAUAAAUCAAAUAAGUUACACCAAAUAAUAUUCUUUUAAGAAAAGUGAUUUUCACCGUCUUUUUAAUAAAAAAAAACAUUUAUUUAAAAAAGUUAUUCCAAAUAUGCUUAUUAAGAAUAUUUUUUAUGAUAUCAUGAAUUAAAAAUUUACAAAUGUUUUGUAGUUUGGAUUAAUCAAUCCAAAGGAAAACAUAUUUUCAGUUAGGGAUCCAAAUUUAGUAACGUUUACGAAAAUGGAGUUAAAUCAAUAAUGAAAUAUAUAUGUUUGUGUAGUUAAAUAAAAAGAAUAUGAGAAGAGAAAAAGUGAACCUGCCACUUUGGCUAUUCCAAGGGAAAGGCCAAUGAAAGAAUAAGUAAAAGACAUGAUAGCAGCGAGUGUAGAGAGCCACCAAAUCUGAUCAAAAUUUGGAAUUUGAGAUAGAAUUAUUUCCACAACUCCAAAAGACAUCAUGAAUGGGUUGCUUGAAAUAUGACAUGGAUUUUUUCCACCACUACUAUGAAAGCAAUUUGACCUUUUAAUUGCCCUGCCAAUUAAAUUAACAAUAUCACUUUCUUAUCUAUAAUUUUAUUUCCAUAAAUAUCACUUUUAUCAUUAUUCAUCUUGUUAGGCAUUCUUAAAUAUCUAAGACAAGUUUUUUAAAAAAUAAUAAUCUAACAACUCAUUUUUGUUUUUAGAAUAUGACUAUGAGAAAUUGUUUAAUUUUCUAUAUAUUUACGUAAAAAAAAUGAAAAUCAUGAAACAAACACACACACACACACAUAUAUAUAUUUUUAUAAUGAUUUUCAGAUUUGAAAAUUGGAAAACAAAUACAAAAGUCCUGUAGAUGGAAAGUAAAUAUUAAAAUAAAUAAAUUUAUGUGUGGAAAUCACGUGUCUAUGAGCUUAGUCAUAAAAACACAAAUGGUUAUCAAAGAAGCAUUAUGUGUUAGCUUUUAAAACUUGGUUUUUCAAAAGUUAAAUGUUUAUAGAAGAAGAUUUUCGUCUUAAAUUAUAGUUUGGAAAUGUUUUGAAUGUUGAGCUUACAUCAUACUGAUUGAGGACGCAAUCUGAUAUCCAAUUGUUAUUCCCAUCAAGUUUAUGUUCUGCAUUACUCCACAUGCCACCAUAUGAGCUUCACCUAAUUUUAAUGAAAUUAAUAUGUCAAUAAAUAUAUAUGAUUUAAGAAAACAUUGGUUACUAAAGAAAAACAAGAAUAUUUCAUACCAAGGAGGGAGCGAACGGCAUGCAUGUAAGUAGGGUUUCUCUUUCCAGUAAGAGGAUCACCGGAGCGAUAGCAGUCGGCAAGCAAGCAUGAGGUGUAGUGACCGAUGAAGGCGAACAACAACAUGACGGAGGGACCGACAAUCCACCCUAGCUGAGCAAUCGCCCAUGCUAACGAUAACACACCCGAACCAAUAACCGUAGUGAUUAUGUGAGCACUUGCCGUCCAAAGCGUACCUGAUUAAUUAAAACAUAUCAUAACAUAAACAACACGGAGAUGUAUUAUAUUAUGUGAAUUAAGAGAGAUAUUGAUUAUAAUUAAUUAUAUAUAUGAAAAUAUGUAAAUACGUAGGUGAAGUGAUGAGGUACCGGUUCGUUUUGGGUGUCCAUCAUCGUCGAAGCUAGAAGAGUCGUUGAGGGGAAGCACAGCCAUGGGGGUGGCGUGGAGUCAAUGGAUAGGGGAGAUAUGGGGAAAGGUUAUGGAAGGUAGCUGUUUAUAUAAGAGUUUCAAAAGAGGAAAUAAUAAAGAAAAUAAAUAAUAAUAAUAAUAAUAAUAAAAUAAUGCGUUUUGAGAAGGACCCCAGUUUUAAGAAAUUUUCUAUUAUUUCAAUUAUUACCCUCAAAAUUUGCAAGUGAGAGUGGAACCUCAAUGGGUUGCAAAAAAACUGUCGUCCCACUUACCCACUACUGUAUUAUCAUAAUUGAUGAUGGUUAAUUAAAAUCAAAAACCCUCAACUAAUAAUUUUAUUGUAUUAAUCUACACUUUAUUCUUUGAAGAUUGUAUCAUUUACACUUUAUACUUUAUUCUUCAGAAGAUUGUAUCAUUUAUAUUCAUUCCAACUCAUGAUGGUAUUAGUUUAAACUUGUAAGCUUUUAUAUAUAAGUACAUAUAUCAACCUAAAAACUACAAUUUUUUUUUACAGGUGUUUAUCAAUUAUUAAAGACCUGAACUUUCAUAAUUUUAAUUUGGGAGGAAAGUCAAGAUUGAUGAGUUAUUUAUGAAUGAAUAAGAAAGAAAAUUAGUUUAGAAAAUUCUUAACUAAUUUGAGAUUGUAGAAAUACCUCUUUAGAUAUUCGUCUUAGAGAACAUGUGCACGUAGGGAUAUAGUUGAAAAAGAAGGGGGGUUUAUGCAUGUUAAUCUUUUGCUCGAUAUCUUCUUCUGAUCUACAUGAUUGCUGUCAAUUUAAAUAGACAUUGAAGCUUGAUUCCAAUCUUCCGUUGAUCUCUGGGUUUUGCAUGUGAUCCAAUUUGGAUAUAAAUAAGGUCAAAGUGUGAGAUGUGUUUUGUCUAACUCAUCACUCAUACCAAAGCAUUCUAAAAGAAGGUGAAGGACAUCUGUCCUUUCUUUUGACAACUCAAACAUAUACACAAACACAUUUCAAUUUGCCACACCAAAAAAAGAAAAAAAAAAAGAAAAAUCUUUUUUAUUCUACAUUUUCCUUUUACUUUAUAUUUGCUACCGUUGAAGAUCAAAUUUACACUUUUUAAUUCAAUUUUUUUAUUAAAUACUAAUUUUAAGUUAUUAUUAUUAGUAUUAAUAGAGGUGAAUUUAGAUAAAUAAAAGAAUAUUGAAACUAUUUACAUUCUACACCAAACAAAAAAAAAAUGGAGAAAAUAUAUUAAUUUUCUUUUAUUCCAAAAAUAUUCUUGAUGUUUUACUCAAAUAUUUGCCCUCCAUGACAUAUUCUUCUAAUUUAUUUAUCCAUGGUUUUUAUUCUGAUCUUUGUUUGUUUUUUCAAUAAUCGUGUUCAUCCUUUUCUUCUUAUCAGCCUCUUCGUCUACCUCAAAUUUAGGGCUUCAUAGCCAAUGUUUCCACGUCCAUCAUCGGCGACACUUUCUAUUUUGAUAAUCUUUUUUUUCCUUUUCUUCAUCUUAUUCUUCUAUAUUCUUGAAUCACUUUUAAUUAUAAUUUUGUUUCUAUUUAAAAUCAAAUUUCAACCAAACUUCAUCACAAUGUGAAAUUAAUAAGAAGACAUGAAAAUAGAAUUCUUGAAAACGAUAAAGUGAUACUUACUUGCAAGAUUAAUAGUAAUUAAUUCAAAUCGAAUAAAAAGAAUAUUAUACUCAAUUAAAUCUUACAUAAUUCAAUCAAAAUUGUUUGUUAGUGUAACUCUUGAAAAUAAUCAUAAAUUAGCAUACAUUACUAGCAUAUCCACAAAAUUUCUUUUGCUAACAUUCCUUUUUUCUGUUCCUUCUCUUUCUUCUUUCGUUCACAUCCACAAAAUUGAGUCUUAUAGUUUGAUACAAAAUUUUUCGGAGAAACUGAAGGAAAUGAAACCAGGAAUUAUUGCAAAUGAAGUAUUUUUAUAUAAAUUUUCUAUCAUUGUCACAUAAUCAUCUAUCAUUGUAUACCAGUGAUAGUUAUCCAUCACUGUCUAUCUCUGAUAGAAAGUAAUAGAUAACUAUCAUUGUCUAUGUACCAAGAUAAAUAAUUUGCAUAUAUUUUUGUAUAGGAACACACUGCUUUUGAGCGGAAUGAAAAUGGAAAUUUCAAGUUUUGUUUCAUGGCUAUUGGUUCAUCUAUUAAAGGUUGGAGGUACAGUAGAACUAACAUACCAGUUGAUGACACAUUUCUGAAAUGCAAGUUUGGUGGUACUUUAUUAGCAACCUCAAUAGUAGAUGGUAACAAUAAUAUCUUUCAUCUUGCAUUUGCUAUUGUUGACUUAGAAAAUGAUGCAUCCUAGAAAUGGUUUUUAGAAAAUUUGCAUACUUAUUUGGGGGAUCGUGAUCAUUUAGUCAUUAUCUCCGAUAGACAUUUGAGCAUUCCAAAGAGUUUUUUAAGUGUAUUUAUGAAUGUUGAGUUUUGUGUUUCCAUGCAACAUGUUUUCAAAAAUUUGAAGAAGUGUUUCAGAGAUUCUUUUAUCAAUCAAUUUUACUUUAGUUGUGCUAAAUCUUAUACUUUUGAUGACUUUGAGUUCAACAUGAGAUCUAUGGAGUCUAUUUAUACAGACAUACGAAGUUAUCUUAGUAAUGUUGGAUUUGAGAGGUGGUCUCGAGCAUAUUCACGAAGAAGAAGGUACAAUAUGAUGACAACAAAUCCUUCAGAAAGUGUUAACUCGGUUUUGAAAGAGGAUAGAAAUUUGGUUGUUGCAAGUUUACUUGAUGGAAUUAGAGAGUUCUUGCAAAAGUGGUUUCAUGAUCGAAGAGAAGCUAGUUUGUCAAUGAAAACAAUUUUAACCUCUUGGGCUGAAAGUAUAUUACGUAAGCAACAUGAAGAAUCAAGAAGUUUCUGGGUAAGAGUUCUUUUAUUUUUUUUAUUCUUUUCAUUUAGAUAUAUUAUAUCGAUAGAAGAAAGAAAGUCAGCGAUAGAAGUUUGUCACUGUAUAUCAGUGAUAGAACUAUGAAUGUUUAUUUGUAAAUGUUGAUUUUUUUUCUAUUUUUAUUUUGUAGGUUCAUCCUAUCAACAAUAUUGAAUACAAUGUAAUGGUCGGUGAUAAACAAUUGAUAGUGAAGUUGAACUUGGGAUCUUGUAGCUGUCGAGUAUGGGAUUUUCAUGAGAUUCCUUGUUCUCAUGCUCUUGUUGUUCUUUGGAUGCUUAACCUAAAUAGUUAUUCUUAUGUGUCUGAUUAUUAUCAUUCACAGACAUUGUUGUCAACAUAUCUAGGACAUGUGCUACCAAUUGGAGUUCAUUCAAAUUGGAGGCUUGUAAACGACGACAUUGGAGCUUUACCUCCUAUUUUUAAACGUUCAGUUGGAAGACCUAAAAAUUUAAGAGUUCCAUCAAUUGGUGAAGUUAAUAGUAGCUCAACAAGAUGUAGUAGUUGUCAUGGCAAGGGUCAUAAUUCUAGAACUUGUAAACUUCGUCAAAUUAAUCAAUGAUGUAAUCAUUAUAGUUGUAUUUUUAUGUUGGAUCACCAAAUGGAUUUAUAUUGGAAUUUAUGAGUGUUAUUUUUUCAAAUUCUUUAUAUGAAUAAACAUUGUCGAUGUCUUUGUUUGUAUUCAACUUUGAAUUGAAACAUGUGGUGUAUAAACUCAUGGAAACUCUAUGUAUAUAUUUUCAAAUUAAAUCCUAUAAAAUUGAAUCGACAUUGAUACCAGUUUCUAUCAUUGAUAAGAAUGCAUUAUCUAAUAAGAACUGAUAAUUUUCUAUUAGUGAUAAAACUGAGAGAAACUAUUAAAAAUAAACUCUAUGUAUCAAUUCUUCUAUUUUUAUUUAAGAAGGGGGCUAAUACAGAGAAAAAAUUAUUUAACACGUGUUGGUUACUUCUUUAAAGCAUACAUUUAAGUUAAGAAUCUUGGGUGAGUUAGAUAAAUUAGAUGGUUGGUGAGUGUUGUCUAAGUAUGACGAUGCUUGUCUAGGUAUUGAACAUUUGUAAGGUUUAAGCUAAGCAUGGGUAAGAGAAAUGUUGAGCUUACAUGUGUGUAACAAUUUAAGAAGGAGCUAGCAAGCUUAAGGGAAAUUAUAGAUGACUAAUCCAAUUUUGGACUAGUAUAAAUAGGGAUGGAAGGUUAAAGAAAGGAACGUUAUGCUAAAUUCUUGAGAAUACUCUAGUGUAAAAAAGAAUCACAAGGUGAGAAGAAGGUCUUUGGGGAAGUAGGCAUUUUGAAGAAAGGAAUUUAGUCAGUGAGUGAUUUUCCAAUGUAGUAGUUUCCUUAAGGAAUGAAUCCUAGUCUUGAAUAAGGGGUCACACCUUCUCACUGACUAGAGAUCAGCUGAGAUUAAGUUUAUAGGUUGAACCUUAAACCAAUUGUUCAAUAGUUGAUUAGUGAAAAUAAAGGAGCAAGAUGUAACCUCGGGGGUAAAAUGGUAUUUUGACCCAGUCGAGGUUACAGAAAACUUGUGAUAGAUUAACUUAUUGAUUAUGGUUAUUUCAGAUGGACACAAAUAUAUCUAUAGUGAGGAGAGUGCAACUACAAGAAUUUAAUGGAAAAACCUAUUAGCUAACUAAUGUUGAUUAUCGCGAUCUAAAAGGAUUUAGCCAGUUAAUCUCAAAUCGUUGAAACCCAUGAUCUAUAGGUCCAUUAGAUUUCCCUGCUGGCUCAUAUGAAAUUUAACUUAGAACAAUAUGUUGGAAUAAUUUGAAUUGUUUGAAUUAGGUAAAUAUUGAGAAACCGACAAAUGUAUAUGAUAUAAUCGUCGGCUAUAAGUUUAAGAUAGAGCUUUAUGUUUAAAUUUGAUUUAAAUAUUACACAUAAAUAGGCUUUAUGUAUUUUUUGCAUGUAACUUGGUUAUAAAUAGGGUUUUUUUUUUUUUUUUUUUGCCAAAAUUAGUACUUUUGAAUUGCAAAAUAUUAACCUAUUUUUCUCUCUAAAGAUCUUAACCCUAAAAUUCCACCUCCAAUUUCCUUCACCUAUCGAGUCUCACAAUUUGGUGAAUUAACACUAGUGGUGGUGCCUAGUUCGAGUUCGUGAGAAGAUUACGAGGAACGAGAAGCUUCGAAGAUAUCUGUUUUCUUUUAACCCUAAUUUCAUUAAUUAGGGUAUUUAUGCAUGUUAAUUACUAAAUAGUUUAGUUGCAAUUAGGGUAAAUAGAUCUUUUUUUUUUUUGCUGUACAUGUUUAUUACUCCAUCAUUUUUAAGUCAAACAAAAAGGGAAGAAUGAGUUCAUUUAGCAUGUACACGCUAGUAUUUCAAUUCAUUAUCUAUUAUAGUUUGGUUGGGGUUGAUAUGAUCUUGUUUGGUUUAUGUUUUCAUGCUUUUCUUGGUUUAGAUUGCCUUUAAAAAAAUAGCAAAAGGGGGAGAUUGUUAGGAUUUUUUAAAAGUAUUUAGCUUAUUUAUUACAUGCAAAAUUUUAAUUUCGUGUUUAAGUAAAAUGUUAUGUGACGUACUAAUUUUGUCAUGAAGUUGAUCGUUUUGAUGUUGAUUUAUGAAAUGAAUCUUUGCUGGUGUGCUUUUUUGUCUUCUACAAAAUGUCAUAAAACAAGUUGUGACGCUGUUACUAUUGAGUUUUAUGUCCUAAAACUCGUAGAUAGUAAAUAUAAUUCAUUGAUCCUUAUUAAUAGUGUUUUAUUUCAACAAAUGUUAUUGAUUAUAUUAUUAGUUUUGUCUUAAUAACCUAAAUCAAAUAAACUAACAUUCUAAGUUGUUUGAUGAGUUUUGAACAGUAUGUAGAGACAUAAAGGGAUCAAUGUUCGAGAUCAGGUCUAUAAUAUAGGGAUAAGGUUGGGUACCUUAUUAUGGUAACAUUAUGGAUACGACUCAUUUUGUAUUUACUACAAACGCAAUGAUCCAACAUGUUCAUGUAAGUGACAUGCGAGUGAAUGUAUUCUAUGCAAUGAGUUUCAUAAGACCAAACCACAAAAUACUAACCACUAGAUGUAACUCCAUUAACUAGUUAAGUUUCUAUUUCAUUAGGUAACUUAGUCUUAAUCCUGAGUGUAUUAUGAAGUUCUGUUUGCGAGAGAUUAUCCUUUAAUUUGUACGGAUGAAAGUGACCAUAUUGCCUACUCAAUAUGCUUAGCAUUUUAAGGAGAAGACCGAGUGGGGAGUUGGAAACAUAAUCACACAAGAUGAAAUUCACUUAUUUCCAACUUUAUGAUAACUAGACGAGUGUUCCCUUAAAUGGUGUCUCCGGGACUUGAACAAAGAUCCCUACUUUCUCUAUGGCGCGAGGGGGUUUCUAUUUAGUGGUUGGACCAUAAACAUAUUGUUCAUUAGAGGAGCACUGCUAUUUAAGGACUAAAAGUAACCUAGGGGUAAAACGAUAAUUUGACCCAACUGGUGUUAUGAACACUUGUGAAUGAAUAACUGACUGUUAUUGGUCUAUAUCCUUGACACAGAAAUAUAUCUACAUCGAGAAGAUCAGUUCAGCUGUGAGUCUUUAGUGAAGUGUGCACACAGUUAACGAAUAUUGAUUAAUGUGGUUAAUGAGUUUAGCCAAUUAAUCUCAUAUCAUUGUAGUUUCUGAUAUGUAGGUUCAUUAAGUCCCUUUCCUAGCUCGUAAAGGAUAAUGAGAUUUAUUUGUAUUAGUUGUAAUUUAAAAUGUUCAAAUUUAUUUUGAAAAUUAAUAUAAUAUAUGGUGAUACAUUAUAAUAUAAAAUUUAUAUUUAAUUAAGCUUUAUUAUAUAAAUUUAAUUUUGGGUAUAAUUCAGAAUUAAUUUAUGAGAGAUCAAAUUGAUUUAUAUUAAAACUAUAAGUUAAAAUUUAAUAGGUAUAUAACACACAUUAAAACUAUACAUUAUGAGAGAAAAUUAUAUUUGAAUAUGAUUCAAUUUUGGAUUAAAUUAAAGAGAAAAAUUUUAAAAUAAUAGAUUUUACAAAAUAUUUACAACCUAUAAUAAAUUCUAUCACUGAUGGUCAUUGAUAUGCUAAAAAUCCAAAAUUUUGUUAAAGCUUAUAAAUAUUCUAUCACUACCUCUAAGAAGAAUUCUCUUUCAAAAUUUCUCAUUCUAAUUUUGGUUUCCACCCACCAAAAUUUUGGUUUUCAGGUGGUGGUAGUGCCACAAAUUUGGUGAUUGGCAGAUCGACAGACUUCUGUGUAAUCUCUAAUUUUAAUUUUGAAAUCAUGCUUAAUCUUAGAAUUUAGAAUUUAGUUUAUGUAUUUAAUUGCCCAUGUAUUGGUUUUUUAAAUUUCUAUUAAAUUGAGUAAUAUUACGAACAUUUUUUCUCUAUGUAACAAAUGAGUUUUAGAUUUUUGCAAUUUAACAAAAUGAUUUCCUUAAUUUCGAAAUAUUUUUUGACCGUCGAUCUGAAAGAGAUUGGAUUUGGAUUUUACAGGUAAUGUUGAGAAAUUUUCCUUAGAAUAUUGAGAAUCUUAAGGCUUGGUGGCUCCUCAGCUUUCAUUGGCAAGAUUCAUUUUCACUAAUUGCUUAAAUCUUCCCAUUUAAUCACGUCGUUGAAUCAUUGACUGCUUUUAUAGUUAGAACAUUGGUUGGCUCCUCAGCUUUUAUAGUUAAUUUUGUCCUUAUAUUAAGUAUAUGUCAAUUGAUAAUCUCUUAAAUGAGUUUACUAAGAGGAAUAUGAGCAAUUAUUUUUGGUGCAUACAUCUGUCUUUCAUGGAGGAUAAAGGAUCUCUUGAUGUUGUUUUGUGACUACGUGUUUUGUACUGGUAUUUUUGCUUACAGUAUCUGUCCCCUACACCAGUGAUUUCUACUUUCUGAAGCUACUCGAAAACUAAUUUGAUCUUAAUCAUGUAAUGUUGCAGACUUUGAAUUCUUGAACUACACCAUCAUCACAUUGAAGCUACUCUAAAACUAAUUUGCACAUUGCAGCAUCUUUGCUUCUUUACUCCACUCCUUAUUGAUGGUUUUUCUUUCUAAUUGUAUAGGUUGAGGUGUAAACAAUGAGUCUUUUAACGCCAGGUGGUAUCAGCUAAACCCUUCUCAUUUUUCUAAACUCUUCUCUUUCUUUAAUUGCUUUCUCUUCUUAGCUUUUUUUUUUCUGCUAUAGUUUUAAAUUUUUCGAUAGCUUUUAUCUUCUUGUUCUAACAUUUUUAGCUUUGUCACUUGCACAUCAAAGAAAUAAAAUAAGGACUCACGACACCUCAUCUAAUGAAUGAGUUGAUUGAAAUUAUUUGUUUGAGAGUAAUUUUGAAAUUGAGAAAAUGUGAUUUCAAGAACUUCAAAAUUCACUCUCAAACACCACAUAAGAGUUAAAUGCUUAAUCUGGAUGCACUCUAUUGUUGUCGGUAGUUUUAUUUUUGAAGGUUGUACUAAUAUUUGUCUACACGUACCCAAUGUCGGUUUAUAAAAAAUGGAUAAUAAUGCAACAAUUAAAUAAAAAUAGAUUUACAAAAAUAGAUCCAAAAACAAGACUUUAAUGUCUGUUUUAAAACGUCAGCAUACAAAAGAUCUUGAAUAACACUAUAAAAAAUGACAUUAAAGGCCUUUAAUGUCGUUUUUAAUGUUGUUUUUAAACCGACAUUAAUGAGGCCUUUAAUGUCGUUUUUAAACCAACAAGGAGAAAUGACAUUAAAGACCUUUAAUACCGCUAGCAUAGAUGUCGGUUGCCAAUCGACACCAAAGGCCAUUAAACCGACAUUAAAGGCCAAAUUUAUUCUAGAGCUUGUAGAAUUGAUUUAUUAUGUUUUUAAUAUAUUCUCAACCUAUCCAAAUACAUAUAUGGUGAUGUAAUUCAAUUUAAGGUUGGUCGUUUUGAAGAAUAUUCAAGUCAUUAUCUUGUGUAUGUCGAAAACACAAGUGUGUCAAAUCUAUGAAAUUGUGAAGUUUUUUCCAUUGUUGAUCUUCACUUAUUCGCUAGAUCUUAUUGAUUCGUUCAAAAUGAGUUCUAUUUUAUGAUGGUGGAAGUUCGACUCAGAAUCUUUGUUGAUCUUAAUAUCGUGCCAUUGUUCAUUGUUGAAGCGUGCUUUGGAGAAGAUCAGUUGGUCUUAAUGGGAGCCUAAGACAUCAUCUCUUAAGAAGAGGUUCUCUAACUUAGAGGGAGCAUAAGUUCAUAACGUGAGGAGAUAUUCAUAAGAAUGAUGGAAAAGAUACUAGUAGAGAAGAAACCUUUCACUUAAGGGGAGCCUAAGUGUUCAUUCAUACUAUUCAUAUUAAAGUUAGAGGGAGCCUAAGAACGUUAAAGGUGAGGGGGAUCUCACACUUAGGGGUAGCCUAUGAACAAACGCCAUAUUUUUCAGUUUAGUACUUAACUGAUUUUCUUGACGUUUCAAUUAUCAUCCUAAUGUAUUUACUCCUUUUCCAAUUGAGUCCUUACUUUUCAUCAUAUAUGUCAAAUUUUGUUGAUAUAAAAAGGACAUGUAAUGUGAAAUUAUAUUGUCUAUUAACCUGAUUGAAAUUGUGGGAUGUGCUCUAGUUUGUUGAAGUAAACAUACUACUAGUAGUAUGUGUUAUAGUGUUCAUCUAAGUUUACGGAUCUACAGCAUUUAUCAUGGAGAAAUGUUACAGUUUCAAAUCUUCCAACUUUACAUCUCAUAUAUAUAUAUAUAUACAUGACAUAUUGUUGAAUACCAUUAUGGAUCCUAUACUUAUUCAAUAUUAUAUAUAUAUAUAUAUAUAUAUGACAUGAUAGAUGAUGGUGAUCGUGUUUGUAGAUAAUUGAUCCACUGCUAAAAUGCAUAUAUGUUGCUUCCACAAUUAUUUAGGUUGAGGACUUAGUUGAAGAAAAGAUUCAUUACAUAAUAGACUUAUUUAUACACCUCUAAAACAUUAAAAGAAAAAAACCAAGUUAAAUAUAAUGGGACUAAAAUAUGUGGUUGGAAAUUAAAAGGCACACAAACAUAUAAAGAACUAAAUUAUGUGGUUGGAGUUGGUAUGACUUAGACUACUUUCCUAAUUCGUAUAAACAGUGGAACACCUGGGUAUUCCAGUUGAGUCAACACAAUUAAUUUUAACAAAAAUUUGGCCUUUGCCUUUCUUUAAUCUAAUGUUGAACAAUAAAUUUAAUUUUAACCAAAGUUUUGGUUGGUGGUAUUAUUGUUUUUGUUUAAAUAUCAUUUUCAUCUUUAUACUUCUUCCAUUUUAUUCUUCUUUCAACUUUUAAUAAAUAUUAAAUAAAAUUUUAAAAUUAUAUUUUCAUAUUGUGUUUUUUAUAAAAAUUAUUACCAUUAUUUAAUCACUUAAAUUUAAACCAAUUUCAAAAUGCACUAUUGAAUAACCAAAGAUUUAGAUAAAAUAUGUGAAUCUAAUACAAAAUUUGAGAAAUAUCCUAAAUUAUUAUUUAUUUUCUUGAUUAGGCUUUACUAUAUUUUUAGGAAAAUUAUAAUCUUAUUAUAUAUAAUUUUCCAAAUUAAAUUCAAAUUAUUUCUUUAUUUAUAUUAUACUCAACUUAUUAUAUAAAUGGUAACUUCUUUAAUUAUUAAUACAUAUAUAUUUAUAUUUAUUAAUGAAAUUUUUAUUACGUUUGUAAUAAUUUAAAUAUGAUAUAAAUUAUUAUCUUACAUGAAAAUAAUAUUUUUAAUUAUAAUACAAAAUAAUUAAUUUUUAAUUUCAUUUUCAAAAGCAAAAGUUUUUUUCUCACGACCAUCAAUUUCGACAUUGGCUUUCUUCUCUGAUUUGUAUUUUAAAAAAUUGCUUUCUUUUUCACUUUCGAUUUUCUAUCGUAUAUAUAGUUGGUCUUUUUUUUUUCCUUUCGUAGCAUAUAUUUUUUUUUUCCUUAAAAAAUUUGUUCUUCUUCCGUUCCGUAGCAUAUAUUUCGAUCAUGUUUCUUCUAUUUGUUUAAUUUUUUAUUAAGGUAAUUAUAAUUGAUGAUCAUUUUAUGAAUAAUAAUUAAGGAUAUAGCAACAUUUAAAAAAAAAUUACAAAUAUAGCAAAACUGUCGCUGAUAGACUUGUGUCGCUGAUAGAUUUGUAUGAUCUAUCAAUAAUUGACCAAUAUUUACAACAUAAUAUAUCGGUGAUAGACUUCUAUCAUUGAUAGAAUUUGACAAAUUUUGCUAUAUUUACAAAUUUUUUUAAAAUGUUGCUAUAUACUUAAUUAUUUUGCAUCUAAUGACUAAAUUUGCAACUAUCUCAUUUUAUUAUUCAGUUCAUCUUCCUGUCAUCCUCGAUAUAUAAUUUUUAUUAAAUGAUUUGUCAUUCGUAUAUACUAUGAUAUACCACUAAAUAAUAAAUAGGGAUAGUUGUAAAUUUAGCAAUUAAAUUCAAAAUAAUUAAGUAUAUAGCAACAUUUAAAAAAAUUGCAAAUAUAGCAAAAUUUGUAAAAUUCUAUCAAUGAUAGAGUCUAUCACUGAUAGACCAUGUUGUAAAAAAUGAUCUAUCACCGAUAGAUCAUACGAGUCUAUUAGUGAUACAAGUCUAUCAGCGAUAGUUUUGCUAUAUUUGCAAUUUUUUGAAAAUGUUGUUAUAUCCUUAAUUAUUAUUCCUCAAAUCGUCACUCAUUACAAUUACUCUAAUAAAUUUAUGUUUUGUGAUUUGUCACAUAUAUACUACCACAUAUAUUCAAUAAUACAUACCCAUAUUCUUUUUCUUGUUAUGUGAUUUUUUCUUAUUGCGUAUAUAUACUAAUAUAUACAAAGAUUAUAUAUUCAUUUAGAUUUUUUUUUUUAUUUCUUACAUAUAUGCUAACUAAAUAAUUCAUUUAUGUUUUGUGAUUUGUUACAUAUAUACUACUGCAUAUAUUUAAUAAUACAUGCAUAGAUGUUUUUUCAUGUGUUGUGAUUUUUUUUACUGCAUUUAUAUACCAAUAUAUACACAGAUUAUGUAUCCGAUCAACAUUUUUUUUAAUUAUUACAUAUAUACUACUGCAUAAUACACAUAUUUUUGUUAUUUGUUACAUAUAUAUUACUUCAUAUAUUCAAUAAUGCAUAAAUGAUGUUAUCUUCAAUAUACUCAAUAUAUCUUAAUGUAUUUCGAAUACGAAAUAUAAAUUCUUACUAAUCUUAAAUUUAUGUACCAGUUGGUUGUCGAUGCUCUUCUUCUUCACCAUUUAUAUUUUUCCAAAUAUUCUAUUAUUUUGCGUCUUUUGUGAAGAAAAUGAAAUCAAUAUUCAACGUAUAUAUUCAAAGAAUGAAACAUUUAUUUAUUUUUUAAUUUUCUAAACCGUAACCCACGUCCCUGAUUUCUCUCCUUGUCAGUCCACAUUCUAUAAACAAAUUGAUAUAAGAACUUUUCAUUCAUAAAAUAUACACCGUAUUAUUAAAUAAAUACUAUAAUUAGGUAGAAUAUAUGAAAAACAAUGCAAAAUGAAAGAAAGAUUGGACGGAGAGAGAUUGAAAAGUGAGAGAGAUCGAGAGAGAAGAUUUUUUUAACAAAAUCACCAAAAUAAAAAUAAUUACAGGAAUUUUUUUAUUAUAAUAUUACCAUAAUAGAAUUAUUCACUUACCAUAUUUACCUAACAUAUCUAAUAAAUGAAAAUAUUAAUCAUGAUCUAUUUUUCUUUUUUAAUAUAUUAUUAAUAAUAAAAGGGUAAAUUGGUCAUUUGGGCCUUAUAUUUGUGAUAAAUAUUAGGGGUGAAAAAACACGAACCGAACUGAAUCGGUUUGGUUCGGGUUGGAUUGAGCUUCAACAAUGUAAGUGAAUUCACACUUCUCAUUUCUUCGUCUUCAGCACCGGUCCUUCAUCUUCGUCAUUCGCCAGUCCUUCAUUCGCCUUCCUCCUACACGAAUUCACGUGGGUUCGUUUUCUUCAUUCGUGGGUUCGUUCUCCAUUCUCCAUUCUCCAUUCUUCGUUCUUCGUUCGUCGCCAUUCUCCGUUCUCUGUGGCUUCGUUCGCUGUAAAAUUUUCAAGCUAAGCCAUCUUGAUUCUCAUCGUGGAUCUUCUCUUUCUCUUCUUGGAUCGAAACCGCGGGUAAAUUUCCUCCUCUUUUUUUACACGAUUUUCAAACAUAUUCCCUCUUUUCCUUUACUCCCUUUACUUCGUCGGUAAAUAUUAUGUUUGUUUUAUGGAGAACUUCUGUUCAUAAUUUUAUGUUUGGUGACUUUUUUUUCUUUGUCCUAAAUUGAACCUGGGUAGCUACUCUUAUUGAAAUACAAUUUUGUUUUAAGUUCAAGCACUGUUCAUAAUUUUAUGUUUGUGUAUAUAUAGGUUGCUAUUGUGUGGUUGCUGUGGAUAUUUCUCUUCCCUGUGCUAUUUAAGCAUUCUUUGGAUAUCAUGGCUAUUAGGGUAUGGAUUGGUUGGUGUGCUAUUUAAGUUCAAGCAUUCUUUGCUAGUUUAUUUCUAGAAAAUGAAAAUAUAUAUUUUAUUGUUUUCUCAUUAAAGAUAUAUGAGAUAUAUGCUUUGUUGUGUGGGGCUGCAAAUUUUGUUUGUUUAUGCUUUGUUGUGUGGGACUACACAUAUCAUGGUACAAAUUUUGUUAGUGUAGAAAAGUAUUGUCCAUUGGAGAUAUAUAUUUUACUUAUUGUUUUGUUUGAUGAUUAUUAGUUAAAAAUUGUGUGCUUUUUUUUUGUUUGUUUUGUUUGAUGAUUAUUAGGAUGACUUCAUUCUCUAUAGAUGAAACUUCAAAUCAAAGUUGUUCUAGUUCAGUGUUAGGAAAAAGAAAACCGGUUAAACCACCAUCAUCGGUAUGGAAACAUUUUAUAAAAGUAGAAAGAUGUGAUCCUAAAUUUUCUAGGACUGCUUGUAAAUAACAUUGUAGGACUUCAUAUGCUUGUGAUUCCAAAAAAAAUGGAAUAUUAUUUUCGAAGUAAGCAUUUAAGAUUUAAAAUUGUCUCAUUAAGCUAACAGUUUGUCAUUUUGAUCUAGAAUUCAUAAACAUAGGAAAUGAGAUAGAAACUGCAUUUGAGAAUUGAAUCAUAACUCUAUGGUAUAAAUUCCUACUCUCAAAUCUAUUUACAUUUCUUUUGUUUUAAAUUGUUAAUAUCUUUGAAUCUUGUUUGUUUAGAAUCUUGAAGCACAAGGAUGAAUAAACUUUAUACUUCUCGAGUUCCAUCACAGUAAGUUAUUUGCUUAACUUAUAAAUAUUCUUUUUCUAGAUAGUUCACUAAAUUAGUAAAUUCAUUCUCCAUGCAAUAGGGGAGAAGGUGGAAUAUUGGCUAGAUUUGUGGUAAUAGACUAAUAGGUGGAAAGUUGAAUGUUGGAUACCAUCAUGGUUGUUUUGUUCUUUGUUCUACUCUCAAAUUUGAUCCACAUGGUUCUUUUAUUCUUUUGUUCUACUCUCAAAUUUGAUCCACAUGGUUCUUUUAUUCUACUUACAAAUUUGAUCCAUCCAAGCUUGUAAAUUAUAACAUACUCCACCAAUUGCACUGUAAUUAUAGUGAUUGUGACGAAUGUGUAUGAGAGUCAACAUUAUUAAAAUUGGUUAUUUUGCAAUCACCAUUUGAAAUAAAGAAAUAGAGAAAAGAGAAGAAGAAGAAGAGAGAAAAGAGAAAAUAGCAAAGAGAGGAGGAACAAAAUUCGACCCGACCCGAAUUUUGGGUCAUAAUUGAAAGAGACUUGGGUCGGAUCGGGUCUGGGUCGGGUUUGAAGGAAAACCGACCCGACCCAGUCCAAUUACACCUUUAAUAAAUAUUAGUCAAUUUAGUACAUUUCUAAAAAAUUAGGAAAAUUUGGAUUAAUCUUGUAAUAUGGUAUAUUAUUUUAGGAUAUCUUAAUUAAAGACCCUCAAAUGAAUCCAUCUUCUCUGUUUACCUAGCUGUAUAUCGUAGAUAGACAGAGAUAGAACAUUAUCACUAAUAGAUCGUUUUGAUUUUGUAUAAGAUCGUUUCGACUAGAUAUAAGAUUAUUUAGAUUUGAUACAAAAUUGUUUAGACUGAGUAUAAGAUCAUUUAGACAAGAUUGUUGCUAAGAGAUCGUUUAGAUUUGCUACAAGAUCGUUGUUACAAGAUUGUUGCUAAGAGAUUGUUUAGACUAGCUACACAAUCAUUUUUUCAUGUGUGUGUGAUUGAUUAGUCACAUGGUAUUUUUGUUAUUUCAUCCUGUGGGUUUGUGAAUCUUUUUAUUUUUUAAAAUUGUUAUAUAUAGUGUAAAUAUUUUUACAUUUUGUUCUACUUUUUAAAAAACCUCAUUUAAAAACAUGCUAGUGUAUUUAAAACCAGAUAGGAUUUUUAAUUUAUAAGGUUAUCCUCAAGAAUACCAAAAUAAAAGAAACUAUUUACAAAAAUCAUCUAAUUCUUUCUGAUUGAUUUAAUUUUCUUUCGUAAUAUUAUGUAACAUUUUUUUUAAUCUAUAACAACUCUUCUUUAUUUAUCUAUUUUCACCUAAUUAAAUUCAAUUUCUACUUUUCAUAAGUUAAGUACAUUAAUUUUUUUUUUUAAAGAAAAAUAGUAUACAAUAUGAAUUUUAAAAAAAAGUAUACUAUUUCCUAAAUAUUUAAAAUUAAUUUAUAAGAUUUUCUUUUAUCACACUAAACAAUUAUUUUAAAUUUUAAAUUUGAGAAAAAAAAAAAGUUAGAGUGAUUAUAUCUAAAAUAUGAUGUUAUUGUAUUUAUUACGGAGCACUAUAACCUACUUUUUCAAGUACACUAUUUCACUUCUUUUCAUAGCCAAUUAUUCUAAAACUGCAAUGGAUGACAAUUAUUUUUAAAAAUAUGGCAAUUACAAAUAAAGCCUUCAAAUCUUUGCAAAAGUUUUUAAAAAGAUUACAAAAUCAAUCCGGGUUUAAUUGGUACAAAAUGAAAAGGUGAAAAAAUCUCAAGAAGUGACUAAAAAGUAAAAGACCAAAUGGUAUAAAGUUUCCUUAGAAUUUGUACUUUUGUGUCAAAUGAACCUUUAUACUUUAUACUUUUAGAAGAUAAAAAAAAGAUACCUUUAAACUAAAAGUUAAAAAAUAUCCUUAUAUUAGUUUUGGAUAGAAACCAUUAGUACUUUGUUUUAGAAGUGUCACACCCCGUUUAUUAUCCGUCUAAAAAUAUAUUUUUCCUAAAAUAAGUGACGGUAAAAGUAAGUUAUAAAAUUUUGCACAAAUUUCGGUGGAGGUUUUUCCAAAAAAAAUAGAUUUAACUACAUUUGAAAAAGUAACAAUUUUAAAAAUAACAAAAUAAAUUAAAAUAUUUACAAGCUAUAGCAAAAUUUUGGAUUGUAUAACUGACUGUAACGACCCAACUUUUCUAACUAAGUCCAAGUCUUUAAUUUCAAACAAAGACCUGAAUUUACAUAAAAAUAUCAAGUUCAAAUAAAUUCAAAGUCUGAAAGAGAGCAAAAUUUAUAUUUGGAACCUGUUUAAAAUAACCAAAACUUUCAAAGAAAAGCUUACAAAUCACCCGUUCGUGAAUUCAGUUAAACUACAAAAUUUUCUAAACAGUCUCAUGUACUAAAACAAAACAAGAAAAUAAAACAUUAAGCUGAAACAAAUUUAAAAUGUCCCAUAUGGCUAUCACGCUUCCUUCCUGUUCCUCGCCGGUCUACCUCCACUGUUACCUUUGACUGAAAAAGUUAAACAUGAAAGGGUGAGUAACAUGAAAGGGUGAGUAUAAACAUACUCAGUAAGAGACCCACUACGGGUCCCGUUAGGAGAAAAUAAACUGUUAACUUUCUAUUAGGGUACCCUACACCGUCACAGUUUUGUGAUCCCAUAGGAUACACAUUAUGAGUCACAGUCUUGUGAGCAUGUACGUUACACAUAAUCAAUCUAACGCCCCGAGGGAUGCACAUGUCAGUCUAGUGUUUUACAGAAGUAAAACACAUAUAAGUCUAAUGCUCCCGAAAGAUGCAUUAUAAGUGGUGAUGCCACAUGACACCUACUACAAGGCACACAUCCCACUAGAAAGCUAACAAUACACACAAUUCAUGUGUCUACGUCCAUACGCAUAUAUAUAUUAGUGGUGAGUCCAGUAGUAGAGAAUCUCUUACCUUAAGGUUGCUCAAUUUCUAGAACAACUAUAUCCAACAAAAGACACCAAGGUUUUGGCGAACCGAACUCAAAAUUCACAAUUUGGUUGUGAAUUCAAGUGACCCAAUGUUAUUUCCAACACCUUCAAAAAUCAAAUAACAAAUUAAUCAACCAUUCCAACCAUAAUGUUUGAACACUUGAAACAAUUACAACCCAUAACCUAAAUUGUUACCAACAAAACAACUUUGACCAUUCGCAGACGAAAGAAGCAGCGACUAUUGAUCCCAACGAAAAAUCGUGCAAAUCGAUCAGAGUGUAAGUUGGCUUGUAACUCACGGUUGGAAGUCGAAAAGUUAUGGCGGCACAGGGCGUUCGGUGGACGGUUGAUGAAGCAAGCGGCGGCUUCACGAAUCGGGACGAUAGAGACGGAAUGAAAGGGCUGAGCAACGACGCUCUGGCUUUAGCCCGACGAACGACAGCGUGUACGGCUGCUGGGCUUCGUCGAACGGAAAAGAGAAAGAUGGUGGCAGAACAUUUCGACUUCGAUAGAGACAGCACCGAUGACGGCGGACGGCUACUGAAAACGUCGCGUUGUGGCGUGACCGGCCGAAACGGAAGAAUGGGAGAAUGGAGACAGACGAUGACUGGGUAGGCACGGGAAAGAAACGAGAAAAGAAAAGAAAGAUGAAGGGGGUGGGAGGCACACACGUGAGAGAGGGGAGAGAGAGAAAAAGAAAAUGUUUCUUUUCUUUUAUUUAUUUUAAUAAAUAAUAAUAAUAAUAAUAACAUUGAUUGUCUCACCAUGCAAACUUUAGUAUAAUAUAAAUCCCAAUCAAAUUCUCAUGCGUAAACUAAAAAAGAAAAAUAGUUUAUAGUCCAACGGUAAAUUUAUUUAAAAUAAACAUCCCCUAACAUGCCACUAAUGUAAGACCCAAACUUUAGGUGGUGUAGUUUUUCCAAAGAGUUUAAGUGGUUUGAAAGAAGGAAAAUGUUUGGUUAAGUGAAUCUAGGCGAGAUGACCUUGAAAAUUAGCUAUGCGUUUUGGACAACUAUGUGUCAUGAUAAGUGAAAGUUGUUUAAGGAUUUAUUGAAGUGUUAAAGCCUUGUUAGCAUGUGUUCUUAUGUAUAAAAGUAAGCAGGAGGUGCCUUAAGAAUGUUUAAGGUGGAUUUAAGCAAGGAUGGGGUGUCAACUUGUACUCGUGCAAUGAACUCUAUAAAUAGGCCAUCUUCAGUAUUGAGUUUCUCACAAUCCACUAGAGCGUUUUGAGUGAUUUUAUGCUAAAAAAUUUAUCUUUUAAGUCUAUUUUCUAUAUUAGGGAUGUUGGUUUAAUUUGGGAAAGAGAAAGCUAAGUUUGAGUUAAAAGAAGAGAGGAAGGUCAUUCUUUGGUAAAAAUUGAAUAGUAUUUACUCCAAGGAGGCUACAGGACGCAUUCGGUUGGAUCUUUUGCUGUAAAUUUGAGGUAAUAUUAUUAAGAUGUUUUUCAAAAACUCUGUAGAAGCAAAUAUUUUUAUUCGAGUUCUGGAUUUUAAGUUAUAAAGCUCUAAAUAAGAAGCUGAGUUCUGACUGAGAAUGAGCUUUUGGACAGUGGCCGAGUUUAAGAAAUUAGCAUGGCAUGUUGGGCAUGCGUUUUGGUUUUAGAAAGGUUUUUCUAAGCAAUUUGGGUUGUGUUUGAUGUUAGUUGGAGCUCUUUUCCAUCAUUUCAGGACAAGAGGAAAUCAUGCAAACUUAUGGACCAAGAGUUUGAUCUGCGAUUAGUGAGUGAAAAAUGAAUUUAUUAAAGUUAUUUCAACUUAUGGUUUGUGAGUGAAAAAUGAAUUUACUAGAUUAUUUCAACUUAUAAAAUGAUUCCUAAAUUAACGGUUCUAAUAUAUUUUACAAGUUAUUAUUUAAGUAUGCUUUUAAGUUAAUCUUAUUUUUAUUUAUCGAUAUGUUUACGAAAAGUGUUAAAGCAUGUUAUUUAGAAACGUAUUCUAAAGCAUGAGUUUAUAAAGGUUUUUAGCAAACAUGUAUUUAUAAGAUUUACAAGCAAUGAUUUAUGAAAAGCAGGAGUUUAAUAGAAUGUUUUUAAGGAGAAAAUCAUGGUACUCUAUAUACCGUGUUCUCGAUGGUCAAUGUGUACAGUUAGGGGUAUAGGGCUAUGAUGACCACUUAGUUGUUACCACCGAGUUCAGGCAAGAUUAGUAUGAUCAAUGCUCUACUAUCUUGACCGAGUUCAGGCAGGAAUAUUAUGACCAAAGGUGCUUUGCUAUCCUGAUCAAGUAUUUAAUUGAGGUUUAGUGGGAUAGUAUGAUAGAAGGCGCUCUGCUAUCUUGUUUAUGUUUUUCAGGGUAUAGAGUAUACAGAGUUAAAUUAGUAUUUAAAUGUUAGAAAAUGUUUAGUUUAAAGAGACUUUUUAAAGAUUUUACCAGAUGUUUAUGAAAUAUUUAAAGUAUGGUUGUUUUAAAAGUUUGUUUUAUAAAACCAUCACUCACUGGGCUUUUAGCUCACCAUUUCAAAAUGUUUUUUCACUUUCCAGGUAGAGGUCUUGAUUCGAGAAUCUGAUUGUUGUCUUUAGGUUGAUGUGCAAAGUUAUUCGUAGUUAGUGUUAUUAAGAGUUAGUUUUAAUCUUAUUGUGUACAAGUUUGUAAUCAGCCGCAUUUAGCCUCAACUACCUGUUUAAAGUUUAAAAAGUUGUUCAAGUUAUUUCUCUUAGUUUUCGCAGCAUAAAUUUUAAUUCAUAUAGGGUUGUUAAAAGUUGUAGUUAGGGUCAAUUGAUGUUGUUCAGAAGAAUAAUGACAUCGGUUGGCUUCACGCCGCUUCUUGGGUCGAGCAAGCAGGUGCUCGAGGUGGGGUGUGACAACUAAUGGAUCCUAACUAUCAUAGGGAUACUACCUAAGUGCAUGUACACACAAUGCAACAGUUACUAGCAAGCACAACAAUUAUUUAAUUUCAUGGUUGUAGCUAAAUCGCAUCCUAUUCCCUUGACUUUGAAGUUUUGGUCGUAUUGCAGUUUAUGGUGUGACAUUUCCAGUUUUGACGUCACAUUGGCCACGUCGAAGAAAAGAGAAAUAAAUAUUUAAUUCUUUGCAUUUUCCCCGACGUGAAGCACACACACAUUGAGAAUGUGUUCCCCAUUUCUGAUGCCAACGUUGACCACAUCGAGAAAAGGAAAAAACUAAAUAAUUAAUUUCUUUUCUUUGAUGCCAUGCAGGCAACGUUGGGGAGGUGAUAUCUAUUCCUGAAGUUAGCCAACUAAGUGUUAAUCACUUAAUUGAAGAACAAAGAAUAAGGUCGGAGUUGCCAGAUAAGCAAAUGGAAGAAAGUGUCCGAAAAAUGGAAAAAAAUGCAAGACAAAUGGAAGAGAUGAGGAAAAUGAUUGUGGAAAUGCGUUAGGCACAAAGAGGACCGUGAACACUUAGGACACGUAUUUUCAACUUUUAAUUUGUUUAAUUAUUCGUCGGUGAUAUGUAUCUAACUUUAGUUUUAUGUCAUUUGUAGGUUAGUUUGUUUUCCUUUACAUGUAAUUGUUUUGACUAAUUUAAACAACUUAUAAUUUUUGUUAUACAAUUGAAUUUAGUAUUAAUUUCAUGAAUUGCAAAUUUUUAUUUUAAUAAUUUGUUUCAAAAUUUUGUUGGUUGACUUUCGAAUCGAAACCCAAAACAAUACCUCCCAAUAACAAAAAUAAAUAAAUAAAUAAAUAAAUAAAUAAAAGAAUAUAAAAAUUAUCUCCUGACGUUACUUAUACGUCAAGAAUAAUAGCUUCCCCGAUGUCGUUGAAUAUGCGUCAGAGAAAACUUCUCUCGACGCCACGUUGGGAGAAAUGUAUGCCCAACGCAUGGAGGAGACAUCGGGUGUACGCCAUUGCCAACAUCAGACACCCAUUGGCAUUGACGGCGUCGGGGAUACGACAUUCCCGACAGUGUCAAGUUCGCACGUCAGAAAUUGCUCCACCGAUGUAGUAUGCCCGACGUUCUUCCCGACGAAGCAUCUGACAUCGAGAGAAGUUGUCCCGACCCAUUUUAGUACAAAUGCUAAUGCUUUAUGGCGUCAGGAAUUCUCCAAAUCCUUGAAGUGUAGGUUCAUGCCCAUGUUAUAUUUAUCAUGACUCUUCAUGUCCAUUUUCAUGUACAAUGGUGUAUCUUUAGACCACCACACAUGGAUACAAAUGAUAAAUUAACAAGUUAGACAACCAAACUAAGAUUAAUUGAUAUAUGCAUGUUCCACUGGCAUAAUUUCUUUUACUAGACAUAAAUGUAUACCUUGUUUGGGUAGUAGGGUUAUUGAAUAUUUUUAUACUCAUCCUUUCUCAUGUCAUGUUUUCAGAUAAAGACAAAAGGUGUACCAAGUGCAUGAUUAGGAGACCUUUUGAAUGUGCCAUAUGGGAAUAGUGUUAAGACUUUCGCUCAUUCCCAAAUCUUUUAAAGAUAAUUUGAACACGUUUUCAAUUAGAUCAACUGAGAUUAGAAAUUUGAAAUGUAAGUGUUGAAUUUUAUUUAAAUAUAUCAAUAACUACAAACAUUUGAUUCCAAACUUAUGCGUCAAACAUCCCGAGAAUUGGAAUAAGCUCGAUUUAGAAUUAUUAGGUUUGAAAAUAAUAUCUGUGGGAUUGUGGUUGUAGAAUAAUGAUUAUGUGUUUGGUAGAUGAAUAUAAAAUCAUUUUAUUUUAGAUAUAACAAUCUAAAAAAUAGAUUUUGUUUUUUGAAAUGACUUUUUAAAGCGAUUAAGCAAACGUAAGCUAAAUGUAUGUGACCAAAUUUGUAAAUUUAACCAAAUAUUAAAAAGGAAAAGAAAAAUCAACUCUUAGAGUGGAGAAUGUGUAAACAAAGUCAUCUCAACAUACUCCUACUCCUCUAAAACGCCAAAUUUGUGAUUGAAAUUUGAUUCAACUUAGUAUUUUGCUUGAAAAUUCAUACAACCACUGAUUCUUCAAUGCAGCAUUUUGGUUCAGCACCUAGAUUUCAAAUUCCCAAGAACAUUCAACUUUCGCUCCAUAGCAUUAACAAAUCCAUCUUCCCAUUCUGGGGUUUCUGAACUCAACUGACUUGAAGCCUGCUCAGCUGUUGCACAAAUGGCGUGGAAUCUCAUCUUUUGGUUCAUCUCUUUCUGUUUUAACAUCGCCCUCCUCGUCCUCAACUUUUACCAGGUACAUCCUUUCUAAUCUCUCAUCAACCCUAGUUUUGGAGAACAAACUUCUUCAUAAUUGGUUAAGUUUGAAUCCGUCUGCUAAAACGUAUCCCGAAUCUUCUUCUUCUUCUUCUUGCAAUCCUGUUUUGCUUAUUCAAUAAGGAGUGGAGGUUUGAUGCUUAUUCAAUAAGGAGUAGAGGUUUGAUGUGUAUCUCAGAUUCGUUUUGCUGCGCCAGACUAUUUCGACCUCAGUUUGAUUUACGGCUAGAUGUGACCUAGAUUUUUAUUGGUGGAGUCUUUACACUGUCGUUGACCUAUUUUUGAAAUUGAUUCUAUGCCUUCUUACUAUUUCACGCUCUUGAAUUCUUCACCAAGCAGUAGAAUAGUCAAUUUUACGGUGAUGGAUUUGAUAUUUUUUUUUUAUCUAUCGUGCACUGUUAGAAAAGAAAAACGUAUUCUCAUAAUUGUGCACUGUUGGCUAUUGGAAAUGCCCCCAUUUCGUUUACUAUGUUCAUGUACAUUGGCAGAAAGUGAGAGGUGGCUGCUCUAAUUUUCUCAUGAACUAAGAUGAUUGCUAUAGAGAUUGUCUAGGUACAAUUUUGCUCCCCAGUUGGAGGCAUCUAACGGUCGUGGUUGAUCUUUUUGUAGCUUUUGGUACUAACGGAUUUGGAGGCAGAUUAUUUGAACAUCUAUGAUUCAUCAUCUCGCAUUAAUAAACUUGUCAUUCCGGAGUUUUUAGUGCAAGGAGUAUUUUGCUCUCUUUUCCUCUUCACAGGUCAUUGGUUCAUGUUUCUUAUAACCGUCCCUGUUACCUGCUAUCACAUAAAUUUGUAAGUAUUUCUUGAAUUGAUAUGAGGCAUGGUUUAAUUUUCCUUUUACUCUGUGUUAUGGAUGUGUUAUAUUGGUGGUGUUUCUUUGUUAUGAAUACUAAAGUGUUAUGGAUGUCAAUUUGAGCAUAUCUCAAUUGGUUAAGACAUAUACACUCGACUAUGAGGUUAGAGAUUUAAAUCAAAAUUACCCAUCUCAUGUUGUUGAACUCUCGUGUUAUGGAUGAGGCUUAUGAUUUUAUUUACUAGUAAAAUGAAUUAAAAAAUUAUAUAUACUUCUUACUGUUUUAAUAUGUUUUGGUUUGUUUUUAAGGUGAAUAUUCUUUAAGAUGCAAACAUUUAGUGAAACUACUAUGAAGAAUUCGGAGCAUUGAAUACUUCCCUCUCAAGUUGAGAUGGCCAUUUCUAAAAUGAGUGAACGAUACCUGUAGUUGUCAAAUUACUGGAUGCCCUUUAAGGUUAUGGUAACAGUUGCUCUCAACGUUGGAUAUGUUCUGGGUAAUUUGGUGUAUUUAGGAGUUUUCUGGUGCAUUUGGGCAGUACGAUUAGCAGGGUUGGGGCGGGGACUGCAGGGUUAUAAUUUUAGAUAUUCAAUGAUGAGCAUUUCUGAGGACACCGUUAGCUCAUAAGCUGAGAUUUACAUGAAUUUUCAAUUUUAACUGGUCUGUUCAACUCAUUCUGGCUUGUUUUUUUUUAAUAUAUGAUCAUUUUCCCCCUUUAUUUGGAUGAUUCCAUGCUUUUUAAUAUCAAAAAAUGAGGAAAGCAGUUAGUUAGAUCCCCAAGCAAAUGACUUUUGUGGAAUACGCUUUAUUGUAGUUGCCUCCAUAUAAUACCUUGUUUUGAAGUUAUUCAUUGAGUUUUAAAUUUCAAAUUUUGUAUUUUGUUUUGAACUAAUAAAGUUGAGUAUCUUGCAACUUGGCCGGUACCACUACCUCUUUGAUAGUAAGAAUGAAGCAAAGCGUGUCAGAAAUGUCCUUACUUGAGCACCUAGAAUCUAGAAACCCAAAAGUGAUUAGGCUAAAAGAUAUUCAACUUGAUUGAGACGGAUAACCAUUCGAACAGAUCUCUGUUAUGGUAAUUCCUUCUGAAAUUGAGCUUUUAUUCACCUAAAUCUUCAUUCACAUAAAUGAUUUUGACUUCUUAGCAAAGGAAAAUGUAUUUGAAUUAUUGAAAGUAGAGACAAAGGACACAAAUUUACUUGGAAAAAACCCGAGUACUGGAAGAAAAACCACGAUAUUUUGUUCUUAUUAUUUUCUUAUAUUAGAAAAGGUGCAAAAGGGGGAAUAUUUAUAUAGGCAACACAAGCCUAAUUAAAAGAAUAAAACAUUAGGUUAAACUUUAAAGUAAAUCUUAACUACCCAAGGGCUUUCAUCAAGGCCAAAGCCCACUAUUUCUAACACUCCCCCUGAAGUUGGGACGUAGAUAUCACUGAGACCCAACUUGCUAACACAAAAGUCAAAGUUCUAUAUGAGAAGUCUCUUGGCGAGGACAUCAGCAACCUGAUGACUUGAAGUAAUGUACGAACUACAUAUGCUACCAUUGUCCGGCCUUUCUAUGAUCAAUCUCAACACGUUUAGUUUUAUCAUGUGGAACUUGAUUGUUGGUGAUGCUAAUGGCUGCCUUGUUAUCACAAAAUAAUUUCAUUGGUAUCUCACAAUUCUGAUGAAGAUCAGGCAAAACUUUUUGGAGCCAAAUUUCCUACCAUAUUCCUAAACUCAGCCUCAGGCUUCUAGCCAUGACCCUUCCUUUUUACUCCUCCAAGUUACAAGAUUGCACAUACAAAGGUAUAAUAACCAUAGGUAGAUUUCCUGUCAACAAUAGACCCCAACCAGUAUGAAUCAGUAUAAGUCUCAAUAGUUUUCCUGUCCAUCUUUCUGAACAUCAAUCCUUUACUAGGAGUCAUUUUUAAGUAUCUUAGUAUUUUAUUUACUGCCUCCAUGUGUUCCUCAUAAGGAGUCUGCAUGAACUAGCUCAUAGCACUCAUAGCAAAGGAAUAUUUGGUCAAGUAUGGGACAAGUAAAUCAACUUACACACUGGACGUUGAUAUUGCUCUUUAUCAACUGAAACUUUAUCAUCUGAAUUUUCCAGUUGACACCCUAGCAUACUUAUCUCGGUCAGUAAAUCAAAGGUAUACUUCCUCUGAGAUAUGAAGAUACUUUCUUUAGAUUUGGCUACCUCUAUUCCACAGAAAUAUUUCAGAUUUUUCAAGUCUUUGAUUUUGAACUCAUCAGCCACCUUCUUUUUCAAUUAGAUGAUUUUAGCGUGGUCGUCUUCAGAUAGAACGAUGUCAUCAACAUAAACAAUCAAUACUAUAAUCUUCUCAGCCUUGGAGACCAUUGUAAUUAAAGUAUGGUCAGAGUGCCCCUAUCUAUACCUAAGGGACUUGACAGAGGUAGCAAAUCUAUAAAACCAUGCUCUAGUUGACUGUUUCAGAUCAUAUAACGAUUUUUGAAAUUUACACACCUGAUGAUUGAAGUGAGCUUCAAACACUGAGGGAGGGCUUAGACUUACUCCUCUAGGUCCCUAUUCAAGAAUGCAUUCUUAACAUCCAAAUGAUAAAGAGGUCAGUCUUUGUUCACAACAAUAGAUAGCAGAACUUUAACAGUAUUUAGUUUAACAACUAGAAAAAAAGUUUCUGAAUAAUCAACACCAUAGGUUUGAGUAAAUCCUUUUGCAACUAACCUCGCCUUGUGUUUGUCAAUGGUUCUAUCUGCCUUGUAUUUUAGAAUGAACACCCAUUUGCAUCCCACAGUUUUACGUCCCUUGGAUGCAGAUUUCCUAAGUCUUGUUCUUCUCAAGGGGCCUCAUCUCUGCAUGACAACAUUUUUACACUCAGGACAUUCUAAAACAAUGUGGAUAUUUCUUGGUAUCAUGGUAGAGACAAGGCUGGCUGUGAAGGCUCUGAACUGAGGAGAUAGGUUCUCAUAAAAAACAUAAUUAGCAAUAGAAUGAUUAGUAUAGGACCUGGUACCUUUCCUUAGUGCAAUAGGUAGAUCAAGAGACGAAUCAUACUUACUGAUAUUUUUUGAACAAUCCUCUCUAAUUUUAUUUUUAGUGACUCUUGCACUGACCCCAUUUUCAUCAUUACUGCCUUUUCCAUCUAGGAUGACCUUAGUAUCAUCAUUACCCUAUUCACCUAUAUUUUCACGAAUAGUUGUCUCGGAUCUCACUUUCACUCAUUUUACUGACAAUGUGUGAGUCGAUAGAAACAGUCAUACCUUGAUCUUGUAAAGGUUCAGAAUCUUGGACUAGGGCUGGCUAAUUAGCACGAGGCCCAACUUCCUUUCUAAGAUUCCUCCCAUAGUAGGUUUUUCAAGGAACUUGGUUCGUAGGUAGGAGUGUGUAGUGAGGAUCUGGGCUUGGUGUGGUAAUAAGAGUAGGAUUGGUAGACUCUAAGGAUAUCAACCAGUUAGAGUUAGACUCUUCACUCUAACUCUGCCGCUGAAGAAGGCUAACGAGAAAGAAAAGAUGAUCUUCAAGAAAGGUAAUGUCCAUGGAGACAAAGUACUUACGAGAAGACGGAUGAAAGCAUUUAUAGUCUUGUUGAUGCUGAGGGUAACCAACGAAAACACAUGCCUGAGCCUGCGGAGUAAACUUAGAUGGGUUAGGGCCAUGGUUAUGAACAUAGGCAGUGCACCUAAAAAAUGGGGCGGGUAGAGGGAUAUGACUCUUUAAGACAGUCUAAGGGUGUCUGGAGAUGUAGGACACGAGAAGACAUUCGGUUGAUAAGAUGGGCUGCAGUGAGAACAAUAUCACCCUUGAGAUAGGAAGGAAAGUAGACAACAUAAGAGAAUGGGCGACUUCUAAAAGGUGACGGUGGGGGUGACACGAACUUUGGUGGACAAUGCCUUUGGAGGACCAAAACUCAUUGAGGGUGUGGUUUUGGAACUCACGACCGUUCUCACUUCCCAAAAUUGCAAUCUUUGUAUUGAACUGCAUUUCUACAGUGUUAUAAAAGUCCCUAAAGAUAGAGGUGACCUCAGAUUUGUCAGAGGCGAGAAAGACCCAGGUAAAAUGGGUAUGGUCAUCAAUAAAGGUUAUGAACCACUAUUUCCCAAAUGAGGUAGUUAUCUUGGAUGGUCCCCAGACAUCACUAUGAACAAGAGUGAAAGGGUGGGUUGGUUUGUAUGAUUGUGAAGGAAAAAAAACUCGAUGUUGUUUAUAGCCCGAAUACAUACAUCACAAGAUAAAGUAGACAUAUCAAUUUUAGAGAAAAGAUGAGGAAAUAAAUGUUUCAUAUAUUGAAAAUUAGGGUGGCCAAAACGAAAAUGCCACAACAUACAAUCUUGUUCAGAAGUAGUAAAAUAGUAAGAUAAAAGACUAGUCCUAGAAAUGCUACUAGAAGAGAUGUCGUCAUCAAGGUACUUCUCAGACAGAACUUUGACUUUUGUGUUAGCAAGUUGAGUCUCAUUGAUAUCUACGUCCCAACUUGAGUACAGAAGCAGCGUUGAUCUCCUCCUUGAUGACGACCAUGAAGUUGGGUCCUACCUCCUUGAUGACGACCAUGUAACUUCCAACACUGUUCUUUGGUAUGCCUUUAUUUUUGCAAUGCUCACACGCAGGAAUUGGUUUUUCAUUGUGCUUGUCACUGCCGCUGGUAGAGGACCUUGAACUAAAAGCAGCGGAGUCAAUAGUAGGUGUUGUCGAAAUACUCAUAGCACUUGUGCGAUCCUCCUCGCGGAGGAUUUCAAAACAGGCUUCCAUCAGGGGAAAGAAUCGGUCUCUUGCUAGUAUACGCCCUCAAACUAUAUCAAACUUAAGAUUAAGACCAGCAAGAAAGUUAUAAAUCCUGUCAAUCUCUUCAAUUCUAGAGUAUUGCAAACCAUCACUGGGAUUGCUCCAGACUAGUUCUCUGCAUAAGUCUGUUUCCUGCUAGAUAAGAGAAAAUUUAUUAAAAAGGGAUGUGACAUCCAUGGUUCCUUGCUUGCAUUCAUAAAUCUGUUUCCUUAGUGUGUAUAGGCGAGAAGCAUUUUGACGUUUGGAGUAGAGUGUCUGGGUCGUGUCCAAAUAUAUUUGGCUGUUGCAGCAUAUAGUAAUGGCUUGCCAAUCUGGGGUUCCAUAUUGUUGACCAACAUGGAUCGAAGAAGAGAGCCCUCUCCCUUCCAGUAUUAUUCCUGUGGGUUGCCUAGUGGAGGACAAGGUAUUUCCCCUGUCAGAAAGCCAAAUUUAUGUUGUCCUUCAAGAACCAUUUUCACUGACUGAGACCAUGAGAAAUAGUUAUUGUCAUUUAACUUUUUCCUUGAAAGAUCCUGUAGACUAUGCCACUGUAUUAGUUGCAUAAAAAGAGGAUAAAGUAGGAAACGAGGUUACUGGAUUCUCUGAUACAUCGGUAUGGGAGUUUUGGAAUGUGCCGAAGAUUCACCAACCUCAAAUGUUGAGUGAGUUUGAGGAUUCUUAACAUCGGGAUGAUAUUUAAGGGCAAUGGGUGGUAGGGCAUACAGAUUUGUCAACAGAAGUCGUGGUGGUCGGUUGGAAUUAGGUGUAUAGGGCGUGGGGAGCAACAUAGGUGGCGGAUGAAGGAGAGGAUUGCACACAAGGGAUGGCUGAGGAGGAUGGACUAGUGCGUGUUUCUCCGACAGCAGUGCGUGGGUGGCGCAUGAGAUAUGUUUAGCGGCAUGGACGACGACAGAAUCGUUGGGAUAACAUUUUCCGACGUUGUUUGAAGGUGGUGGAACCAUUCGUCUAUGGUAGCAUUGAGAUCCGAGCAUCGACGACAGCAUUAAAACCAACGGUUGUGUCUUUUGUUUGAUUUCCAUCACUAGUUAUGUUGUCUAGGGUUUGUUCAAUGUCCCGCUCUAAUAUCAUAUUGAAAGUAGAGGCAAAGAACAUAGAUAUAUGGAGAAACCCGAGUACCGGAAUAAAAACCACGAUAUUUUGUUCUUAUUUUCUUAGAUUCAGAAAGGCACAAAAGGGGGAAUAUUUAAUGGCAAUAAGAGCCUAAUUAAAAGAAUAAACAAUUAGGAUAAAGUAAAUCUUAAUUACCCAUUACCUUUCAUCAAGGUCCAAGUCCACUGUUUCUAACAUGAAUAGAAGGGCAUAGAGGGCCUACAGAAACAUCAACCAAAAUUCCCCCUAAAAUUUGAUGGUGGAGUCAUUAGUGAUUAAAUAUGGAAAGGUCAUGGAUCAAGAAAGAGGCAUUGUUAGCAUACCUCCUAACAAGAACACUCAAGAAAUACAAAUAACACUAAAGAUAGUAAUACAUUACAAUAUCAAUAAAGAAAAUACAAUGUACCACAACCUUCCGAGAGGCUAGUCUUUGCCAAAUUCCCUAAAGGGGGAAUCCCACAAAAAAUUCUUCAUACCUUUUUUCCCAACUCCACCCCUCUAUUUAUAACUAAAGUCUUAACUAAUUUACUAGCUAUUUACUAAUAUGCCCCCUCUAAUAACCAUACUAAUAUUCCUUAUUAGGGGUUUUACAUGCAUACAACCUUCAUUAGGAAUCCAAUGAUCUUUGCUUUAGGAUGCUCUUUUUUUUUAUCACUCAAACUCUUACACUUGGUGAUAGGUCAUGAACCUUUGGAGCUGCUACGAUAACAAUGUGUUGUAAACCAUCGUGAAGGACCCUUGUCAUAUAUACUAGAAAUGACCUUGUUCAAAUUGACUUAGCGGAUAAUGUUCUCAUUUCUCUUCGCAAUAUUACUAAUGUAUACUCCACCAGAGGAAGGGACCCAGUACCCAGCAUGUCAAUCCACAUGAUGGCCAGUAGCCCACCUCUUCUCUAUGCAUCCCGUGCCAUAGGCUUAUUAUUGAUCUUCAAAUAUUUCCCGAUCAUAAAAGUCUUUAUACAGUGUUGUCGGAAUGAGUUGAUGAGUUGAGUAUUUAACUUUUUCAUCAAUAUAAAAUGAAGAGACAGGGCAUGAACUAUUCUUAUAAGUGAAGUGUGUAGAAAAGCAAGUUGAUGUUGGAAGACUAAGUACCGAUGUAUAACUAAAGUAGGCUGGUGAUUUUCAUAGAAUAGUGAUUUUCAACCAUGAUGUACGAAGAAGAAGAAUAAAAGAAUGUUGGAAAUUGAUAAUCAACCAAGUAUUGCACUCUUGGAGGUUGUGUCAAGCACAAGGGAAAAUUCUGUUGCACCCUAUUAUUGCUCUGUUUAUUCUUGGCUUGCCAACUUGUCUGAAUCUUGCAUCCUUUAAAUAAGUGUAAUUCAUUUUGUGUGAUGGAUAUAUCCUACUGCUGACCUUUUUUAAGAAUAAAACUCAGAUUGUUAAAUGAAAGAUAACCUAUUGUAUGAACCUUGGAUCCUACAAAUAUGUCUGUAUUAGAUUCUCAGUUCUGGAUAGACAUCUACUGCUCACAUUUUUCAAGAAUAAAAAUAAAAUUUUCUAACAAUAGUUUCAAUUGCACUAAUUGGACUGAGAAGUGAGAACUUCUUUCAAGUAUUUCUCCGUUUUAUUUUUUUUUCUUGGUGUGUUUAUGACAUGUAUUAUUCGGUUACAAUGUCUCAGAUUUUUGAAGAGGGAGCACCUUAUUGAUGUCACCGAGGUAUUUAGAGCUCUUAAGCGUGAGAAGUAUUUCCGUUUGGCCAAGCUUAUCUUCUACUUGCUUCUUUUCCUCGUAGUAAUUUUCAGGUCAGUUUGCAUUUUUCAUUUUCUCAUUCCUCUCAGCUAUUUCGAAGUUGGUAUUUUCCUGAUUGAAGUUUUCUUUAUUAUUUUCUGUAUAGAAUAAUAGUGGUUGCGGGAAUGAAAUCUGUUUUUGACUCUGCACCUGAAGAUUUAGACAUUCGCUCCUCUGUUCUCGAAUUCUAGAGUUUUUUACUUAACCAUUUAUCAUUCCUUUUGAAAUAUAUAUACGACUACAUUUGACAUUAUCUUCUUUUUUAUUCAUUGCAAAGUUCUUAAAGAUGACGUUGCUCUAAUUUUGAGCUUGUUAUGUUGGUUUGGGAACCUAUACACCAUAUUUCUCUCUAUUGCCUUGGUGCUAAGUAUGUUGUUACAGUAAUGCAUUACUCCAGGAUCUUGCACUUUGUUCUGUUUGCAAUUCGUGCUUCUUUGUAGCUUUUGCUGGUCCAGUAUGUGAUAUAACUUAAUUUAGGAUGUUUAUAGCUUUUCAAAUUUUAAAGAGAUGUUGCAUUUUGUUAUUUUAUGGAGGACUCCCAUGCUUCUCAACAUCCCGAUACAUAUGCACACGUAUACACAUGUAUUGUUCAUCCAUGAUGUAUCGAGGUUUCAUUUCGUCCUACCAAUAAAGAUAAAGCACGAACAUUGAUGUUGUUCAUUUGGAACUUCACCAUCUUACUAGCAUUCUUACCUGUAUUCAAUUAACAUGUAAUGCAGGCUUACUUUGUCUGCAUUCAACUCCUUAUCUGACGAAGACGAUGUCCUACAUUUAUUUUGAUUGCCAUUUUGAUAUCCGAAGUUUGUAUUACGGGUUCUAUCGUGCAUCGGGUUGAUAUUUAUGUGGGAAUUACACGAAGGGAAUGAAUUUGGACUCAGCAACUUCAAACACAUUCAAACAGGUUUUCUCGAUUCCCAUUCUAUAGUUUGGUAGGCUUCAGUAGCAAUCUCAUUGACUUACACCUAAGGAAUUCUUGUAUGUAGAAGAUAGCAUUGUAGGCAUAUUAUGUGAUUUGAUUUGUUUUGGUACCUUCCUUAACUCACUGCUAAGUUGAGGGACCUUCAAGAUUAGGGUUUCAUAUUUUAUCAUUUUUGGAAUAUCAACUCGUUUCAAGUUUUAGUGUUCUUGUAAAAGGAUUGAAAUGAUUUUCAUCAUUCAAUGCCUAACAAAUGUAUUAAGUGUUGUUCUCUUCAAAGGAUACAUUUUUACUAACAUUGUAAACUAUUUUUAGGGCUUGUUUAAAAGUGAAUUCUAAUUUAAACAAUAGUUAAAGACGGGGUUGAUAUAAUAUAUUUAUAAACCAUAAAAUUAAUGGGGUGUUUUAAAAAAAAAUUGUGACUUUGAAGGAGUAAUAAUAUAGAAAAUAUUUGGAGUAAUGAGAAAUGGUGAGAUCUAAUUAAAUAUGGGUAAUUGUAAUUAAUGGGUAUUUGUAGAAUAAUAAUUAAGGAUAUAAUAAUAUUUUUAAAAAGUUACAAAUACAACGAAACUAUCAUUGAUAGACUUGUAUGAUCUAUUAGUGAUAGACCAAUAUUUACAAUAUAGUCUAUCAAUCAUUGAUAGAAUUUGGCAAAUUUUGUUAUAUUCGUAAUUUUUUAAAAAUAUUGCUAUAUAUUUAAUUAUUUUGAAUUUAAUUGCUAAAUUUGCAAUUAUUCCAUUAAAUACAUGCCAGUAGCUACCAAAUUGUAAUCUAAUCGUAUUCCACCUCAUCUUAUGAACUAGCUUCAACCUCAAUUCAAUUUUGACCUUCAACGUCCAUACAAGUGCUCCAACUAAUUCGAUCUAUGUAUCUAUGCCUAAUUACAAUUUGGACUAAUUCAUGCAAACUUUUAAGUCCUAUUGUGUCUUAGUAUAUGAUCAUGUCACAUCAUUAGCCUCAUAUUCCAUUCACAAAUUCGUGUUAUUACCUCAAUAAUCUUACCAUCAACUCUCAACUAUCAUAUGUUUACUCAAAAAGGUAAAGCUUAAACUCAACAAAAGAAAUAGUAUAGUGUAAAAGAAGUGGCUCCAUGCAAAUACAAUUUAAUAAUUUAUCAACCUAACUCAUCCUUUCAGGCUAUCCAUCCUAAUCAAUCUCUUACAAUUUUUUUAGCUUAUGAUUAAGAGAAUAACCAAUUUAUUCAUUAAAAAAUUGUCAUAGGUAGCCAAAGAAAAUUAUUCAAGUAUUUGCAAAUCUAGGAGUUCUUUUUAAUUGCAAAAAGAUAGCAAAAAUUUUGAAUUCAAUUUAGGUUCUUUUUAUUAUUUUCAAUUUUAUCCUCGUUUGUAUAUCAAUAGAUAUAUAUGGUAUAUAUUGUAUAAGGUAAAGCUCGUGUUGUCUAUAAAUAUUGUCAAUACCUCGAUGACCCUCCUAGAAUCUCAAAUUAAGUAUAAAUCUAUAGUAUAUAUUACAAUUGGUCAAACUUGAACUUUGUACACAAGUUGCUAAUAUAAAUGUUUAAGGAUGAAACAAAGUUGUUAAUUUCGUUCUUAUAUGUUUGCUAACGUUGUGGAUAUAGUUGUAAUUGUUGUUGAUAUUAUGUAUAUAUUGUGAACAUAGUUAUGAUUUUUGUUGAUUUUUUUCUCCAUCCAUAUUCGUAAUGACUUCUAAAUUUUCUUUUAAAUUUUUUUAUUUUCAAUUAUUUAAAAGUGAGAAAGUUGGAAAUAUGUUUUCUAUUUCUCUCCCAAUCCAAAGUUUCUUUCACUCUCCUAUCUCAUCAAUCAAUUUAUUUUUUUCACAUAUUAACAUUGUUGUCAUUUUUAUCUCUCAAUCUAACCAAAUAUAAAUAUAAUUUAAUAUUAAUUAAGAUGGUAUAUAAAAGAUUGCUUAUUUUUUAUUUGUAAAACUAUUAAAACUCUAUAUUUGGUUAACAUUAAUUCCACCAUAGGUUAUAAGUUAAAAUGAAAAUUUAGAACUAAUUUAUAAACCAUUAAAACAUAUAGUUAAAUAAUACUACAUUCUUACAUAAAUUUUGUAAAUAAAAUUUGUUAAUUCAUCUCAUUCCUUUCGCCAAGAAUGUGAACCAUUCUCACACAUAUUCUACUGUGAUGACCGCAUCAUCAUCAACAUUCCUUGGAGAUUUUUCUGAUUCGUUUUUCGUUGCUCCGAUUGUUAACACAAACACAUUGGUUAACUUCUCACCGCCAUGUUUUCGCAAACUUCAUUGUUGUCUUGACUCAUUAUGUGGACAUAAGAGCUAGCUCAUUGAUAGAAAUAAAGUUAAUGGUUUACUCGUGAACAUAACAUACAAUCAUCAAACAUGAAAACUUUAGCUUUAGGAACAUUAUGUAUAAGCAAACUGUUUAAUAAACAUCAAGAACAUUACAACAUGCGUUAAGCACUCAUAACAACGUAAGACUCAAAAAGAAUGUUUUCAAGACACCAUUUUUUCUUUUAGAAAAAUCAAUCACAAACUAAUUUUCUUCUUUAGAAUGCCUAAUCCUAGUCUCCUCCUUCUUGCCUAACACUUCUUCAGCAGACAACACUUAGAAAUUUCCUUAAUACAAUCACAGUAACAUCCUUUUCUUCAGACCUUUCAAUCCUAUUUAUACUAGCCUAAGUUGGAUUAGUCACUCAUUAAGCUCCCUUAGCUCGCCAGCUCCUACUUAACACUUUACACGUGUAGGCUUAACAUUUCUUUUAGCCAUGCUUAAACUUAAUCUUCACACAUAGCACACUAAUUAACCACAAUUAGGAAAUUUUCCUAAAUCUCAAUGCCUAUCUUCAUCUUGCAUUAUAACAUCAAAACGCCUACUUUCUCUUGAAUUCAACUUCAAAAUCAUUCCCAUUUCAGACUUGAGUCUCACAACUCUCCACUUCUUUAAGAAUUUCGUCCUCAAAACUCUAUCUCCACAAUCAUCUUUCUUUAUCUAACAUAAGACCUCCUCACACAGGUUUAUGAAUAGAGUGAGAAGCCACUCCCAAAUGUGUUUGCUCCUCGUCUAAUCUUAGUUUUCUCUUUGCGCUCCUUUUGAUAAUGUCAAACUUUUCCACACUUAAAAUAUUGCCUACAAGUCCUGGUGUGUCUUUUGCUUUAUUUCGUUCAUUUUGAUUUUCGAUUAUCAUUCCAACAUGGUCUUUGGAUAAAACUGGUCUUAGCGCACUUACUAUACCCUUCAAUACUUUUCCUUUCUUUUUUUUCCCACUAAGCAUAGAAUUUGAUCUUUUUCCUCCUAGACUCUUCUCAAUCAGAGAGUUUCAUCCACCAACUCCUCAUAACCAUUGUGCAUAGCUAUGACUGUGACCAGUGUUCUUGUUUUAGGUAUGUAUCCAGUUUCAAAUUGUCUACAUCCACCAACAACAUCGCAUACUUGGAUAAUUCUUUAAACUUCUUCUCGUACUCUAUGACUGUGAGUUCACUUUGUUCUAAAUUUUGAAAUUCAUCUCGCCUUUCUUUUUUGUAGGUCUUUAAGAAAUACUUUCCGUUGAAAAUUUCUUUGAAUUCUUCCAAGCUAACACUUCCUCGCAUAUUCUCUUCUAACAUCCACCAGUCUUUAGGUCCUUCUUGGAGUAAGAACACUUCUGAAUCUACCGUUCUUUCUUUUGAAGACUACUAAAUCUACUUUUUCUUUCUCCUCUAACAUCCACUAGUCUUCUGCUUGAUGUAUAAAAUUAGAUUCGAACUCAGUGGAUAGUGUUCUAUGUGCUUAUAUCUAAGUUUAUGUGGCAAUGCAUGGUCAUUGCAUGCAAGAUGCUCACUAUGUCUCAUCCUCACGCAAUUACUAAGUCCUCAUUGAGUACAAGUUUACCUAUUGCUUAUGUAUCACUGAAAUAGUUCUUCUAUUAACACUUGAUCUACAAUAAAGAUAAUCAGUAACGGUCCAACAAUAAGUGUCUUUAUCAAAGACAAUGUCUUGUUUAACAUAAUUAAUUUGUGUAUAUACUAAUCAUAAGAACAGAAAUCAUGAGAUAAAAUCAUAAACAAUAAACAAAUAAUCUCAAAGUGUCAAAUAACACAAUCUUAAUUUCAGUAAUGAUAUUUAUUAAUAUCCAUAUCUUUAACAUGAACAUUGAAUGCCUUUGGUGGUAAUCCUUGAGUUAGUAGAUCUACAAUCAUAAGUUUAGUGCUAAUGUGAUUGACACUUUUUGUUUCUAAACUUCUUCUUUAACAACAAAGUAUUUUAAUUCCAUAAGUUUAGUACCUUUGGAAUACUUGUUUUUUUAAAGAAGAAAACUACUACAGAAUUAUCAUAAUAAAUAAACUACCACAAAAUUAUCAUAAUAAAUGCUCAAUGACUUGGCAAUACUGUCGACAAUUCCAAGUCUUGAAAUAAGUUUUGCAACCAUAAAACAUAAAUUAUAGCCUCAAAGGAUGCUACAAAUUCAACCUCCACAGUGGAUGCAGCAACAAUACACUGAUUCUCGCAUUUUCAUGAGGUUGCUCCUUUAGCUAAUAGGAACAAAUAGCCAAAAGUAAAUUUUCGUGUAUCUACACGUUCGGUAAAUUUGAAUAUGAAUAUCCAAUCACCUCAAGAUGAUUAGAUCUCUUGUAAGUAAGCAUAUAGAACAAGGAUUAUAAUUAAACUUACUCCAAUUGAUCCUUAGGUAUAUACAUUAAUCAACGAUGUUUUCUUUAAAGCCAAAAGAUGUGAUGGUAUCAUUGCACUUAAGAUACCAUUGUCUAGAAGCUUGUUUAAGUCCAUAUAUUAACCUCUUUAAUUUACACAUCAUAUAUUCCUUUCCUUCAAACAUAAAACCUUCUAGUUGAUCCAUGGACGUUUCUUCAUCUAAAAUUCCAUUUAGAAAGGCAGUUUUCAUAUUCAUUUGAUGAAACCCUAAAUUAUUAUGAGCUACUAAAGUCAUAAUAAUUACUAAUGAGUCCUUUUUUCAAGAUAUGAGAAAAGGUCUCUUUGUUGUCAAUGUGAUAUUUCGAGUAUAACCUUUGGCAACAAACCUAUCCUUGUGUUGUUCGAUAUUGCCAUUUGAGUUAAGUUUGGUCUUAAAGACCUAUUUACACCUAACUCUUUUACUUUCCUUAGGCAAUUCUACCAAAUCCAAGACUUCAUUAUCAUUCAUAGAUUUGAACUCUUCUUUCAUGACAUCUAACCAUUUGGAAGAAUAAUUACCUUCUUUAUUGGCUUGUGAAAACGAAAUCGGAUCAUUAUCAACACUUAAAUCAAAUUCUGACUCAUGCAAAUAAACCGCAGUCAUAAAAAAUAUGUGAUCUUCUUGGUCUUACAGAUCUUCUUAACUCUAUUUCUUGUGGUCCCUCAUUUAUAGGUUCAUUUGUUAUAACAUCAUUAUGUGGUGUUUGACCAUUAAUUUGUUCUUCUUAUGGAUUGUUAACGGAGCCUACAACUACAAGACACAACAACUUUGAGAAGAAGUUAUAGAUGAAAGAAUUUUCACCCUAACUUCUUGAAUUUUCACUUUACGUGGUUUCAAACUCCCACUAAUUACGCCAUUCUUAAUUAACCUUACAUUUCCAGUUUCAACCAUUCACAUACUAUGGUUAGGACAAUAAAAUCUAUACCCUUUUGAUUUUUCUGGAUAACCAAUGAAGAAACCACUGGUUGUUCUUGAAUCUAGUUUCCUUUCGUGUGGAUUAUAAAUUCUUACUUUUGCUUGACAACCCCAAACAUGCAGUUGUCUUAAACUAGGUUUCCUCAGUAUCUAUACUUCAAAAGAUGUCUUUAGAACUGACUUAUUAGGAACUCAGUUUAAUAAAUAUUGAGCAGUUCUUAAUGCAUACAUCCACAAGAACACAUGUAAAAACAAAUUAAUUAACAUGCUUCUAACAAUAUUCAUUAAUGUACGAUUAUGCCUUUCUACAACACCAUUUUGUUGUGGUGUUUUUGAUAUUGUGUAUUGAGCACAUAUACCAUGACUUUCUAGGAAUUUAGCAAAUGAGUCAAAACAAUGUGCUUUCUCAUCAUAUUUUACAUACACUUUAUAAAAUCCUUAGCAUUUUCAAUUUUAUAAUUGUGGACUUGAUGUUAUUUACUAUAGUUAUUCACAUAAACAUCAGAUUUGACAUCUUCUUAGCCAGACCUUACUUAUCGCCUAAUCCCAUACCACAAAUAACUUAACACUUCUCGCGAAUAACCUUAUCGCAUGGUUAUAUUUUUACAAGAAAUCUUCCUUGAGAACUAACAAACUUUUACUCGCUUAGAACACUUAUCAUGAACUUAAACUUCAAGGCUUCCUCGCAAAGUUCUUCAUUGUGAAGACUACCCAAACACCUAGUGUUUUAAUAAAAAAACUUACGCGGACUUUCUUUUGAAGUCGUUUAGACAUAGAUUCUAUUGCAAGCCCUUCUUUUUUCAAAACUUCCUCACGAAUUAACUUCUUGAUCGCAAAAUUAUACUAACCAUAAAGAUUUUAUGGCUUAAUCCUUUCCGCGGAUUUAUUCAAACUCCAAUUUCUAUAGUACUUAUAACCAAAAUUUUACUUCAUAUACUCAAUUUAAAAAUGAGUCUCAUAAUUUGAUACAAACACAGUGAUCCAAUGCGUUCGUGUAAUUGACAUGCGAGUGAAGGUUUCUAUAAGUUUAGCCAAUACACGAACGCAUUGGAUCAUUAAUUAAUAUGGUUAAUGAGUUUAGUAUAUAUUCGUUGACACAUAGUUAUAUACACAGUGAGAAGAGUUCAACUGUGAGUCUUUAGUGGAGUGUAUACACAAUUAACGAAUAUUGAUUAAUGUGGUUAAUGAGUUUAGACAAUUAAUCUCAUAUUGUUGUAGCUUUUGAUCUAUAGUCCAUUAGGCCCCCUUUCUAGUUCGUAAAGAGUAAUGAGAUUUAUUUAUAUUGGUUGUAAUUUAAAGUGUUCAAAUUACUUUGGGAUUUAGUAUAAUGUAUAGUGAUAUAUUAUAAUAUAAAGUUUAUCAAACUUUAUUAUAUAAAUUUAAUUUUGGAUAUGAUUCAAAAUUAAUUUAUGAGAGAUAAAAUAUUUAAAUGAGUUCAAAUAUUAAUUUAAUGUGAAUUGAAUUCAUGUUAAAAUUAUUAGUUAUGAGAGAAAAUUAUAUUUGAGUAUGAUUCAAAUUUAACUUAAGUUAAAUAUAAGAUAUUUAAUUUAGUUAUUAAUUAAUUAAUAGCUUAGUUUAAUAUUAUUUAAUUAAAUUUGAUUGAAUUAAAUUAAUAUAAAACUAUAAGAUAUUUGAGAGAUAUUUAUUAAAUAAGAUUUAAAUGAAAUAUUAAUUAAAUAUGAUUUAAUUAAUUAUUAACUAAUUGAUUAAUUGUUAAUUAAUUAGUUGGUUUGAAAUUUCUAUUUAUUUAAUAUUUUUUAAAUUAAUAGAAUCUCAUGGUUAUCUCCUACUCCAAGACGGAAAGAGAGUUAUAAAUAUUUAGAAGAAAACAUAUUUUUUUUAACGAUUCAAUCAACCAAAAAAUAAGAACUUAUAAUUUUGCCUUUCAAAAGAGUUUCUCUAAAAAAAAUCUUUAAACUUUUUCCCAUCUCAAUUGUUUCCCACAAACCAAUCUUAUUCCAGAAGAUAGGAAGGUCUCCGACGCGUGGUGUCUCCAAUUCGAUAGAUUGUAAAUUCAGAGACAUCAACAAGAGUAGAUUCUCUCUAUCUUUUAAUUUAAAAGCAUGCUUAGUUUUUUAUUUAGAAUUUUGAUUCUAAAUAUUUUCAAUCUACUGGUAUUUUAGGAUUCCCAAAUUAAAUUGAGGAAUGGUUCUAUAAAAAAUCUUUUGCUGGCAUGGACUCUUAUCCUUCCAUUAACGCAUAGAAAAUAAUGAAAACAUUUCUUUUAUUAACUUUCAACUAACGUUUGACAACAAUUAUAAGGUACAUAACAAUGCUACACUUAAUUUAAACGUCUAGCAGCAACUCCUUGCCUAGCUAGCCUCUUAAUCUCUUCUUACUUGACCUUUAACGCUUGAAACCUUGAAGGUGAAAAUUUAAAAACAUAAGUCAAAAGAGUUAGUAAGAUUUUAAAAGAAAUCCUUUGGAGAUACGUUUCAUGAGAUAAACACAUUCGGUUCAAAUAGGCUUUUCAUAUCAUUCAUAAUAUAUCAUUUCACAUGACACUCAUUAGUAACACAGUCCUUUCAUUGAGAAAUCCGAAACCAUCCCCUACUCUAAGACUCAUCAUCUUGCAUUUAAACUUUUGUGAAAAACAUCCGAGAGUAUCCUAGUUUUUUCUAGUUACUCAAGGCGAAGCGCAAUACACAUCUUUUAUGUAUUGUCUUGCCUUAACACCAUGCAUACCUUUUUCUACAUGAUUGUCUUUACUCUUUAUGUGCACAUAAUGGUUAGCUCAUUGAUAGGAUUCAGAUUAAUGCUUUGAACACAAUUUCAUAAUCAUUUGAAACAGAAAAAUACACUUCAAACAUAGUAUAAGUUUGAAUUCAAAAUCUCUUUAAAAAAUAUUCUUAUCAUUUCAUAUCAGUACGAUCUUAAAAGAAAGCUUUUAACAUUUAAAAACAUUUAAUAUAGAAAAACACUCAUAAACUUGGUUGCUUUGGAAACAAAUGGCUUUUGUACUUCCUCUUCUCAUAUAGUCCUUUUAGCACAACAACUUAACACUCACCUUUCUCUUCAGUCUUCCCGAGUAACACUCCCUCACAUUCUGAUUCCUUCCACUAUUUAUAUUAGUCCUUAAAUGGGUUAGUCACCCUUAAACUCUCAAUAACUUGUCGGUUCCUAUUCUUAGUGGUGCACGUGUAAGCACAAUGUUUAACUUAAUUAUCAUGCUUAGCUUAAACUCCUACAUGUGGCCCAUCAAGUAUCCUUAGGAAAUUUUCCAAAGUUUCCUUACUUUCUCUUCAUCUCGCAAUGAACUCCAAACAGCUAACUAGUCUUAAAGGCCAAAAGUCUUAUCGCGUUGUCCUGCUCCUUCACCCAACAUCAACUUUUCAUCAUAACCUUCCAUUCAAAACGCCUAUUCUUAAACACAUAGUCAAAUUUUAGCCUUUCAUAGGUACGGGUCGCACAAAUUCAUAGGAAAUGUGCUCGAGUGGAAGAAGAUAAACUUGAUGAGGUUUACCAUAAUGUGGAAGAAGUGACUCCUAUAACAAAAUCCUAGAGCCAGAUUGGUUGUGGUAGUUUGAUGAUGAUGAUGCCAGCGUUUGGCCUCAGAGACACAAACGAGGCUGUAGAGAACAUAACAAACAGGGCCGUUGGAUGUCAAUCCAUCUUCUUCAUAUAUGGAUGUCAGUCCAUCGCCUUCAUACAUGCAUGGACACAAAUGAGGUCAUGGAGAACAUAACGACUAUUUGUACUAUAAAGCACCUACAGAGGUAUCAAAAUUCACAAGAGAACCAAUAAGAACCAAAUAAUCAAAAGGAGUAAGAAUAACAUAGAGUUUAAAGUUGGCCAUGACAAACAACUCAAAAUCGACAACGUAUAAGUUGAAACACAUUAAUUUUCUUUUAAUUUUUAAAUGGAUGUAAAACAUUGAUACUAGUAUUUUAAUUUAUAUUUAAUUUUUUUCAUUUAUGAAUAAUUAAAAAAAAAGUUAAACAAUCAUGUUCUUUUUUUAAUUAUUAAAAAAUAUAAUUAUAAACUUUCAUUAAAUUUAAAAAAAUGGAAGAGAAUUGGGUAAAGAUUUAUUAAUUACAAAUUUUUAAAAAUAAGAAAAUUGAAAAACAUGGGUCAAGGUAAAAAAUAUGAUGUGUAGGUUGGGUUUUCAACCCAUCAUCUUUGUUGAAAAUUAAAAAAAGAUAAAUGGUGGGUAAGUUUAGUUAAGCCCAUAACAAAAAAAAAAAAAAAGUUGUGUAUAGGUGGUUGGGGUUAACCUACUUAACAACACUAGUACAAAUUUGGUUUUUAAUGAUACUUGAAAUAAAAAGAAAAUAGGUGGAAUUGAAUAAAAUGUAUCGUUAAAAAUAAAAAAUACAGAUUUUUUCUUGACACACAUUUUUGCGUUGUUAACUAAUGACAUAAUUUUUGUGUCAUUAAAAAAAAUUUCCUUAAUAAAAAGUGCACCUAUUUCCAAUAUUAUUGAAUUCCCCUUUUGUAGGUUCUCCCUCUCUCGCAAAAAUCCUAGCACAUGGUCAGCUGCGGUAAAUCUGGAACUCACGAAAACGCUUUCCUUGCGUCCAUCGUGGUCUAGUUUGUCGGUCAGUGUAAUUCUUCAAAAGAAAUCCUUCACAGUAAGACGGUAACUUUGAAAUGUAUGAUAGAAAAGAGAGUGUAUAAGUCACGAGUUGAACACAUGAAUAAAAAAGAGAGUGUAUAAUCAUGGGUUGCACAAAUCUUUAAAUAUUAUGUAAAUUAGCUGCCCCAAUAUAAUUUUUUUUAAAGAAAAAACAGCAUAUUCAUCCAAAUUUUCGUUAAUAAAAUGUCACAUCAUCAAUAAAUUUAUUUAUCAAGGGUAAACAUACAAGAGAGCAAUUUAAACAUAGUUUUUAAACCUCAAAUGACUCACUUUUAAGAACUCAAGGACAAAACAGACACACUCAAUAUAGACCAAGGGAGUGCAUAUUGUCCUCCUUGAUUUUAUUCACACCUUUUCUACUUUUGUUCCCCUCAUAAGACCUGAUGAUGCAGACCAUGAUGCUGUGGUUAGUAGACAAGAGUUUCUCAUGGGCUUAACAGUGUCCAUGUCUUGGUAGAUUGUACAUCUAGCACUUCAGCUUUACGUUUUUCUAGGGUAAGUUGAGUAGAUGUUCUUACUUGCUCUUCAUAUGUUAGAUUGAUUUUUCUUCCUUGAUCCGUAAUAGAAACGUCAUGUUCAAUGACAUUAAAAUACGUAUGUAUUUGGUCAGGUGGCGUUUUUAUAUUUGCAAAUGCAAACCUUCCCGCUGUCUCUAACGUAAAUGUGUCAAUAAAAGUGUCGUCGGUUGGGUUACUCAUCGUAACUAUAUCUUAUUGAUAUUUUGAAGCUGAUAAAAAUUUUAUAACUCUGCCUUAUGCUCUCCACCCAAAGUUGUAGCUUAAUAUUUAUAGAGUUAUGGGUUGAAGGAUAGACAUGACAGAAUUAGAAUUUGAUUCUUUGACUGUAUACUUUACAAAUUCUUUAACUUUGAUAUCUAUCUAAGAGUUCAAUAGUUAAACAUCUGGUCAGUGUGCUGUCUGGAUUAUAUAGAUAGCUCUGAAUCAAUUCCAUCUAGCUCAAAAUAUCCUUAGUUAUCUUAACUAAAGGAUGUAAGGGUUUGUCCAAUAAGUAUUUUUUUACUUCAAAAAAUCCUAUUGAACAUACAAACACAUACAUAAAUCAAACAAUUCGAUUCCAUUUGGAUCAAUUUUAGUUUUGCUUGUGUGGAUAUAUGCAAUCCUUAGUCGAAUGUGCAGAUAUUCCUCUUGGUAUUUUAUUUAGCAUGAAGUUUAGUCAAUAUAACCUAUGUUCUUUAUUUUGUAGUAGCACAUACUCAUCAAUAAAAAGAGAUAUACUAUAUGCUAACUAUGUGUCUGUAAUCAACAAAAGAUAAAAUAUUUGUAGAUGUAGAAUUGGGUAAUUAACAUGAAAUUAUACCAUGCUGUUCACAAAGAUUGUUCACACUUUUGUAGGAAACACAAUAGAAUAGAUUUCUAAAAUAUAAAAUAUUUAUAAAUACCUAAAUAAAUAGCACUUUAUUGGUAUGUUCUAAGAAAUAAUAAGACCUAUGUCAUCACAUUUUUUAAAUUGUAAAAAUAGCAAAUUUAAAAGUGAAUAGUCUUCUAAUAGCCUUUUGAUAACCCUCUAAUUGUCGUCUGAUAUAUUUAAUUACUUGUCAUAUUUGUCAUAUUUAUAAUAUAUAAAAAAUAGGUGCUAUGGACGACUCUUUUCUAAUUUUGUCUGUGUCUAUACGAUACAAUUUUUCUAUAAUUUAGUCAAUAAACUUUUAAAAAUAAGACUUUUUAUCCCUCUUGCUUUCAAAUUUGUAACAACUUAUUCUAAACAUUAACAACAAUUUAGUCCAUAUUGUUUGCCAUUUGUGACAAUUUAGUGUUAGUGUUAACUUUCAUUAUCUAAGAACAUAGUUUUUAUAGUUUGUAUAAAAAUUGAUUUUCAAUAAAUUUAUGAGUUUACACGUAGAUAUUUAUUUCAGUAAAUUUUAAUAGUAUUUGUAACCAUAAGGACCAAAUGGUUACAAGUUGUAAAGUAUAUAAAUAUUUAUAGUUACUUAUUGUUCAAAGAAAAAAUUACUACCAUUUUAUAAAAUAAAAUGAAUUGUUACCCCUACUAGAAAAUGAGUGUUAUUUUAAAAGAAGUUUUUUCAAACUCAAGUACCACUGGUCUUGAGGUAUAAAAAGAACGUUAGUUUUAAAAAUGUUUGAAAUGUUAGUUUGCGACUACAAGAAAGGUCAAGAAUAUUGACAUUUGAAAUUUAAGAAAUAUAAAAAAUAUCAUUAUUCGUGACAAUAACAAGUAUACUUUAUAUGGUGACAAUUGAAAAAAAAUGGUUGUUUCUAAAAAAGAUUGGAAAAAAGGGGUAUUUUCAAAACUAUUUAGGGAAAUUGAGUUUUUUUUUUUUUUUGUCAUUUUGUUGAAUGAGUUCCACUAACUAUAAAUUAUUAUUAUUAUUAUUAUUGUUUUAUUUUUAUUAUUAUUAUCGUAACUUCAUUCUUUAAUUCCAUUUUUAAUAUGUUUAACUCUCAUUUUUAUGUUUUAAUGAUUUUUUUAACUUUAUAAUUUUUUAUAUUGUAUAGAUUCAACUUUUUAAUAUUCAAUUUUGUUACAAAAAUAUUUAAUAAUUUUCAAUUCAUACAAAUUAGAAAUGAUUUGUUAUUAAAAAAAGAAAGAUAACAUGUGGUGGAAGGAUAAAUUGAGAUAGAAUAUAAAUCAAUAACAAACACAAAUUGAGAUAAGAUAUAAAUCAAUAAUAAAUUAAUUGUGCGUGAGUGUAUAUACAUGUGAUUAAAGAAUAAAAAGUAAAAUAUUUUUAUAAUUUUAUAAAAAUAAUUUUUUAAAUAAUAAUUUUUACAUAAAUUUUGUUAUUUUGUUAUUUUAAUAUUGUAAUAAUUAUAAUAAAGAUAAUAAUAAUAAUAAUAAUAAUAAUAUGAAUUAUAUAAAUUGACGGGGCUCACUGACUUUAUUUCCCCGUUUUCCGUAAAAAAAAAGAAAAUAACAUGGGAUGCGUCUCUUGAAGAGACACAUUCUAAUAAUGCCAAAACAACCACCCCUUUUACUAAAUAGUUUUGAACACCUCUUUUUCCUAAUUUUUUUAAAAAAUCAUCCCCACUUUUUAAAUCACCCCUUUAUAUGUGAAAAACGUGAAAAUGUUUUUAUACUUGAUACGAACUUGAAGUAUCCACAGUUGGUGCUCCUCACUUGUUAAUGACACUACGAUAAGAAAACCAAUAAAGAAUUUAUAAGCACAAGUAUGGUUGUUGGUUAACAAAUAGCCUUCUCCAGAAACUGUAUUAGUCAUUAUAAAGUGAUAAUUACAACGAUUGAGAAAAACAAAUAUCAUAGAAAACCAUAGCAAGCUCCGUCGAGAUACAGUCAAAAUAGUCAUGUAUCAUAUCAAAUAACUUGUACCCCACACCAUAAGUCACAUAUCAUAACCAUACCUGAUGUGGAAUCAUCUUGAUGCAUCCAGCUUUAAAACUGUGCACGCAGACCAUGCUCCCAAAAGCCUAUAACCACCCCCCCCACACGACCCAAAGCCUCUGUGUGCACGAUGAUGGAUCCAAAACACAUAUGUCACAUUCAAAUCGUAUACUGGACCUCCUCAAACCCCCCACAUAGAGAAUCGAGAGACCAUAGCUCAUGGUACAAUUAUAAAAACCAUAAAACAUGUGUUAGGACUAUAUUUUACGUAUUUUUUAGUGUUUAACUCUUCCCAUAUCACUCUAUUUAAUCACUAAGUUCACCAUUUUAUAGAAAAUAUUCAUCUACACAUCACAACAAACUUAACACAACAAAAAUCGCUCAAAAUCGGAGCUAAAACAAACAAGAAUAGGCCAAAAGAAGUGCAAAUGACAAUUUCAUAUAAUUUCGCUAAAAUAGAGCGCUACAGCGCUCCAACUGAUGGAAAGCAUACAAGUGCAGCGAAAUUAUGGAUCAAAAACUCUAUAUGCAUAAACUACCCUAAUUAUAAUGAAUUAGGGUUAAUCGAAAACGUACCUUUGAAGCUUUCUGAAAUCCUCUAUAUCUCUUCAUGAACUCAAAUCGGGACCACCGUUAGGGUUAACCUACUCAUCUCUGGACUUAAAAUCGGGUUGGGAGAGGAAUGGAAAAUUUGAGGAGAACUUUUGGUUUGAGAUUUAAUUGGGAGAGAAAAUUAGGUUGACAUAAUUUUUGUAAUUCAUAAAAAAAAAAAAAAAUUGCCAAAAAUUUUCGCCAAAUUAAAAAAUGUCCUUUAAAUAAGCUAAUUACAUGCCAAAUUGCAUGUAAUUAGUUUCUUAACUCUCAACACCUAAUAAUCCACUAAUAGUGGGCUAGGCGUUUACAUCUUAUAUAUAUUUCUUCUUUGCUCUUUCACCUCGUUCGAAGAUUAGGGAUUUUAAGAAAGAUUGGGGUUGUUGUAGGUAACGUACUCUUUUGUAUGCUAUAUGAAAAAUUUCUUCCACCCUGGUUUCACCUUGUUCAGUUCUUUGAUAUUCACUUGUUGGUUAACAGAAUAAAGAUGUUGGUUUCGUUGAAAAUCAACAGCAGAACAUUGUUGAUACUUGAUGCCACUGAUUUGCUACCACGUCUAGCAACAAGGAUAUAUAUGAAUAUUAAGUUUAGGAGGUAGUAGUAUAGACCUAAAUCCGCACCUAGUCUUUUUAUUUACGUUUGCCUUUUUCUGAACUAAGUUUAAUGUUGUAUUUGCAGAAUGUGUGUUUUUUAGUUUGCUGGACAUUCCUCUAUAUCAUGGUUGGAAAGUUGAUUCACCUGUUCUUAUAUAUUUUCUUUCUUCUCCUUACCUAUCAUAAGUUUAAUUAACAAUACUGUAUGGUUUCUUGUGCUCUAUGUUGGUUUUGUUGUCCCUAUUCUUGAGUUGUAGGCAUGUGGCUUGCUUUUAUCAGUGUCUUUUUUAACAAAUAACGAAAAUUUUCACUAAAGAAAUGAAAAGAGCCUAAAACGUAAAAGAUACAAACUCAAAAGGAACGAAAAGAAAUUAGAAAACAAAGUUUCAAAAGGAAGUCCAAAUGGAAGCAUGGAGGCAGGCCAAUAAAAGAGUUAGAAAUCACCAAGUAUUUGAGAAUGCAAAGGCAAGGAAAUGCUUGAUAAAACCUUAUGGAUGUUACAUUUUGGCAUCUCAAGAGAGAACCCUCUACAAAUUGAAAAUGCCGAGAAAUUUGCUUUUUAGCAAUUGGGUUUCUUGAGAAUGAUAUUUUUGGUUUUAAGCUUUCUCUUCCUAACAUUCCUAUAGGCCAUAACCAUGAACUAUAUACAAUAGACAACUAGUUUUAUUUACUUUUCAAACUUUAAUGACAAAUUGUUGAUGAUGUGGUUUCAAAUCAUCCAUAUCUCCAUUGGUUUUAAAUUAUUAGUAACUAUGUUUUUAAAAUUUCAUAUGGAAAUUGAGAGAAUAAAGUUGGUGCCAUUCGACAAAGAAGCCUACCCUCAGUCGCUACGUUCUAAAAUAUCAUCACCAAAGAAAUCUUUUGCUGACAUCAUAACCAUCAUAUAUAUGGUCUAGUUCUCGAGAGGAAUACAAUUUUGGUAUUGGUUUUUUCAUAAUAAGGUUAGCUUACUUUCUGUGUGACUUUGUUUCUGGUUAGAUUUUGUUUUCUACCUUCAUUUUGAUAGAUUUUGCCACCACAAAUAGAAAAAAUAACAAGGUUAGCUAACCAUGUUUUCUAUUUACUACUUUUUUUUUUGUUUUUUUUUUUUGUAAUGUGUUAGAAUUUUUGCUUUGAGAAGAGUUUACAAAAGAAUAAAAAUAUUCAUGAAAUAUUUUAGUCCGUUAGGACUAAGAUCUAUCCUACUUUUAAUCACUUCAUAAAUUUCAUGCAAUUUAAUUUUAUUGUCAGCAAAACCAAAACCCCAUUUGUAUUACUUUUUGUACAUCGAUUUAUCAUUGAAAAAUACUAUCGUAGGCUCCGUGUGAUUCGACUUUGGGCUUAUUGCUAUUGCAAUAUUAUUGUAGUAGUUAAAAGAGAUAAUCACGUGAGAAUGACAAAUUUUGAAUAACAAACUGAAAAAUACAGUGUAUUUUACCCUUUUAUAUGGGACAAUACAUUUUUUUAUGGAUACAAUGUAUUUGCAUAUGCAAAGAAUGGGUGAAAUAUCAUACAGUCACAAAUACAGUGUAUUUGUAAAGUAUAAUAAGUGUUGAAAAAUCUUAACUAAUUUAUGAUAUUUUUGGGAUUGACAAGAUUUUUCCAAUAUUUUCUAAAUAUAUGCCUAUAAUCCACAACAUAUUUUUAGAUUUUUAGUAUUUAAAUCAAAUUAAUUAAUAUUUAUUUAUUUAAUUCAUUAGACUUAUGUUUGAAUAAUGAUUUUCCCUGGAAUUGGCUAAGAGAAUUUCAACCGUUUCGCUGAUUCAUUAUAUUUCAUAAUAUUUUGAAUUCAAAUAUUAUAUCAUAUUUCUAAAACAAUUACAAACAUAAAAUCAACAUUUUUGUAUUAUCUAUAUUUUAAAUUAUUUUUAAAAAUUAUCAAAUAAUACAUGGUACAUAUAGUUAAUAAUAAAUUUUUUAAAAGAAUUAACAUCUCCUAUAAUCGUGUUAAUGAUGAUUAUCCAUUUAUUUUGGUUGAUUUUGUUUAAAAAACUUAUUUUAUUGUGCCAAUUGUGUCGAAUUCAAAUUUUAGAUAAUACCCCUAAAAUAAUAACAAAGAUAAAUUCACUAGGUUCGAUUCUUUAUUAAAUAAUAUACAAUAUAUGUUUUUAAUAACAAUUUGAAUUUAAAUUUUAUAUUAUCCCCUAACAUCCUAAAUUUAAAUUCAAAUCUUACCUAACAUUCCUAAAAUAAUGACAACUAUAUAAAUUCUUAAUAACAAUUAAAAUUUAAAUUGUUAUAAUUUAAAAAGAUAUAUUAAAAAGUAUUUAUAAAAAAUUUAUUAAAUAAUAUAUAAUAAAAACUUGAAUUAAAAUAUUUUAUCAUCCCCUAAAACCUAAAACUUUGCUAAUUUCCAUUGCCCACUUAUUUUGGUUGAUUUUUAUUUUAAACUUAUAUUCUUGUGCCAAAAAAUUAUACUAUAUAAUUGGCGUUUUUCACAUUGGAAUCACUAGUUACGUCUAGCAUGUAGGAAACGCUUUCCUCUGAUCUGAGUUCUUUGCAGAGUGGUUGGGCGAGAUCGUUCUGGAUGUCGGCGAGGACUACUCUGGCGCCGUGUUAAAUGAACAAUAUGGUGGAGGAUUUGCCAAAUUCACUUGACGACACCAGCGAUGGAAGCGACAUUGCCGUUUAAUUUGCAAAAGGAAAUGAAAUGAUGAAACAUGGGAUUUUGAUUAUUAGUUGAUGGAGAUCAUCAUCAGGGCGCAGGGGAAGGGUAAAUUUACCAUUAGGAAGAAAUACUGGAUUGGUCCAUGGUGGUAUGAUCUGAAGCAAAUGAAGAUUGUGAUUAGGGAUAUUUGAAUUAGAUUGGAAGAGUGAAUUUUUGGGUAUUUAUAUAAACUCAACUACCAUGAAUAUGAGCUUUCAGUUUUAAAAAAUAAUAUGGGUUAACAGAAAGAGCAAGUUGACCAUGUGUACCAUUGGAAGAAACUUUAUUGUUUCAAAAAAGACAAUUAUGAGAAGGAAGUGUGAAGAAGAAGAGAGAAGCAGAGAAUGAAGAGAAGGUAUGUUUUCUAGGUUGUACUUCAAUUCAUAAAAUGUACUAUAUUUAGUAAAUUCAUAUAACCUUGCUGAACAUGAUAAUACUAAAAGUGAACCAGAUAACAAGACGAAGAUGAAGAACAAGAUGAGACAAACGUGAAUGAAGAAUAUAGUUCAGGGACGAAAGAAACAAGUGAAACAAAUGAAGAAUCAAUAGAGAAUAUAAAGAGAGAAAAUGAUACGCCAAAGGGAAAGAAGGUAACGGUUUGUAGCAUCGGAUAAAUGUAAAAGUUAUAUGGAAUUUUGCUGCCAAUUUCCUUAAGAAAGAAAGGGCAAAAGAGGAUAGAAAACGGAAAUGGAAAGCACCAAUGACAAAAGAAAAAGGUGAGGUAUGUGUGAUAUAGUACUUAGUAUAUAUGAAUUAUGUAUACCUAAAAUACAAAGUAUGUGGUUGUUGUUUCAUAUAAAAUAUAUUGUAUUUUGUGUAAUUAUAUUGUAUUUGUGAAUAUUUGUUAUCUAUGAUCCCAUCCAUUCUGUAAUAUAUUGUAUCUAAUUGAUGUAAGUUACGUAUUUGUGUAUUAUGUUUGGAGUGUAAUGGGUUAUGGAGUCGGAUACUUGAAACUGUAGCUAACUUAUAGAUUUUGUUCGAUUGUUUUGUUGUUUGGUUUAACUGACUUAUAGUUUUACAUUGCUUUGUACUUCAAAUUAUUUGUGAAUAUCUAUUGUCUAUGACUCCAUGUGUUCUGAAAUGUGUUGAAUCUGAUUGUGGUGAAUUAUAGUGUAUUUGGGGACGAAACUUGAAACUCCAAAUGUUUCUGCAACUGAUAAAAGGUUUGAAGGGGACGAAAGAUUUCAAGAAUUUUUUUAGAUGGAAUCUACGGAAGCAGAAGUUAGGAAAUCUACAAUUUGUUUGGCUUUGAAGAGUUUCAAGGGUUUCAAGAAUGUUGUUCGGUGACCCUCUUUCCCUCAACCUUUGAAUACUUUAAGUGCUUGAGAAAGGUUUGAAAGAUGUGAAGAGAUUGAUAAUGUUUGAAUCCUUGGACAUUUGAAUGUGCCUGAACGCCCACAAUUUGAAGAAGAUAUGAAUUGUGUGUGGGGAGUUUGAUUUAAUUAUAGAGUAUUUGUGAUUUAUUAAAUAAUUGUAUUUAGGAUUCUAGUUUUUAACUUAGGUAUGCGCAGUUAAGACAUUGAUCCAGCAAUUUUUAUUCCAUAUUUUUUUAUUUUAUCAAUUUAAAUAAAAAUUUGUCAUUUAUCCAAAGUAAACAUUUUAUUUUGUUAUUCUUCUAUCAGUCCUAAUUAAUUUUUAUUGAGUUCGAUGAAUUAAAAAUUUUAUUUUAUUUGAAGAAAGUUUGUGGGCGACUACAAAUUUUUCUGAGUCAUUUUUGUACAAAUGUUUUGUUUUUAUUGAAGAUAUUUAAAAACAAUAUGGUCACGACAUAUUUAUAGUUGGUAUCAGUUUGUAAUUAAUUUGGAACCCUAAUACUAGGGUUGAUACAAAGUCGUAAAUUUUGAAAUUUGUCGUAGGAAAGGUAAUCCAUGAAAAUUGUUAUUUGUUGGAAGAAUUUUAGUUCAUUGAACCUUGUAUUCAAGACAUCAAAUUGUUGUAACACAGUUAAGGAUUAGGAAAGAUGUGUGAUAUUAUUUAGAAGUUUAAAGACUAAGUACAUUACAUAAAAUUGGAAAGAUGUGAGCAUGCUGAUCAAUUCUUUUGACCUCCACAAUCAAAGAAACAAUAACAAGCAUAGAUGGUUUGAGAAGGAUUAGUUGGAAUGCAUUGAUGUGAAAUAGUAUGAUGCUUUUCCCAACAUUUCUUUCCACAGUCAUUGAGAUUGCACCCAGUGUUAUACAAAACGUCUUGACAUCUUUGAGCAGCUGAGACGUCUUGAGACGCCAACAACAAUGCAACUAUAUAAAAAAACAUAAAAAGAUAAGUAUACAGCAAGGCAAAUUAGCAAUCCAAUAUGUACUAUAAUGGUUAUUUACUUUUGUAACACAUGAUAAUACAAUAAUUGUGGAGGAAAUUAAAGAAAAAGAACCUGCAAAAAUAAGAGCAAAACAUAUGAUACGGGAAGAAUCCAUAUUCUUAAGAUAUUCAAAUUUCCAAACUAUUGUUUUGUUAAGAAUUAGAGUGAUAGAAAUUCUAUGAUUUUCAAUGGUUUAAAUACACAAAGUUACAUUAAAUCUCUUAGAACUCAAGAACACGGAUGUUACAACCUAUAGAACAGAUCCUGUUCAAGUAAGGCCGUAAAAGUUGCAUUAAAUCCCAUCCAUGCAUUAAUCUGUUUCAUUUAUGUAAAAAUAGUGAACAUUUCUAUGAACUAAACAAAACACCAUGCAUGAAUUUGUUUUCAUUUAGGAAAAAUAGUAAUGAUUUUAACAACUUUCAUACAUUAUGUGAAUUAAAUGUCAACAGUUUCGUUUGUAAAGUUUUACUAUUUUAAAAUAUUGGUUGAUUUUUUAAACUCAGUUUUACAUGUGUAUUUGUAUGUAUUUUGGCUAAAAUAAUAUGAAACUUCUAAUUUUAUGAUGUUCCGUUCUAAAUUUUCAAGUACAAACCCGCAUUUUCCAACAUUUUAAAGAGAAAAUGUCUAACACUCCUAAAAAAAAUAGAAAUUUGAUGGACACUUCUAAACUUUUUUAUGUUAGUUAUUAUAUGAUUUCCAUAAUAUCAAGUGUGGUUAAUAUUUACUUGACAUAUUAAAAAUAUCAAAAGGAAUAUUCACUUUUAAUUGAUAUUUUUUAAGGGGCGUUUACAAAAUAACAAAAAAUUUAUGAUAAUAGACUCCAUGUCACUACAUUUUCUAAAUUGCAAAUAUAUAUAGUAAAUUUAAAAACUGACAACUCUCUGAUAGCCCUAUGAUAACACUCUGAUUGUCGUCUGAUAACUCUCUGAUAGCUCUCUGAUUGUCGUCUGUUACGAACAUUCAUGAAAGACUAACUUACUAUUAUUGGUCUAUAUCCAUGGACACAUAAAUAUAUCUACCGUGGCUAUAAGUUUUUAGUGGAGUGUACACAUAGUCAACGAAUAUUGAUUAAUGUGGUUAAUGAGUUUAACCAAUUAAUCUCACAUCAUUGUAGCUUGUGAUCUCUAGGUCCAUUAGGUCCUUUUCCUAAUUCGUUCAAAUAUUAAUUUAAUGUGAAUUGGAUUCAUAUUAAAAUGAUUGGUCAUGAGAGAAACUUACAUUUGACUAUGAUUUAAAUUUAAUUUAAGUUCAAUAUAAGAUAUUUAAUUUAGAUAUUAAUUAAUUAGAGAACUAAUUAAUAGUUUAGUUUAAUUUAAUUUAAUUCGAUUUAAUUAAAUUAAUUUAAAACUAUAACAUAUAUGAGAGAUAUUCAUUAAAUAUGCAUUAAAUGAAAUAUUAAUUAAAUAUGAUUUAAUUAAUUAUUGGUUGAUUCAUUAAUUAAUUAGUUGAUUUGAGAUUUCUACUAAUUUAAUAUUUGUUAAAUUAAUAAAAUUUUAUGAUUCUCUUUUGCUCCCUCAAGGAAAGGAAGUUAUAAAUAUGCAAAAGAAAAAAAAGUUUGUCUUAAUCAAUUAAGCCAAUGUUUUUGCUGUCUGCAAAAAUAAUUUAUCUUUAAAUUUUUUUUCAUCCCAGUUGGUUCUCUACAAAUCAAUCUCAUCUCAAGUGAUAGGAAGGUCUCCAACGGGUGGUGUUCCAAUUUGGAGUUUUAGUAGAUUCAGAGGUGACAAACUAAGUAAGAUCUUCUUUCUCAAAUCUAUAAUUAGAAAGAAUGCUUAGGCUUUAAGUUAUAAUAAAAAAAUUAGUUUCUAUAUUAUUUUGUCAAUGUGUUGGUAUUUUGAGAUCCCCAAAUUAAAUUGAAGAAUGAGUUUGUAAAAUCUUCCGCUGUCUAAGGCUUUUAUCUCUUCAGAGUGAAGCUCAGCGAAUAGAACAUGGUACACGAGGAGAUUCAACCAACCUCUUCAACGCGAGAAAGCAGAUUUUAGACAUUCAAGCCACUAGCAAACACAAGAGGUUGGCGAAAAUUUCAGAAAAGGACAAUUGGUCCAGGGCAUAGCUACAACUUUUUAGAAGCCUUAAUGAUGCAUGCCAAAAUGUCAGAGCCACUUCAUGUAUAUAAACAGAGUUUUCCUCUUAAGAAGAGUGAGCAACCAUUAGCCGGAAGAGCAAGUUCCCCAACUCAUCCAUCCAUUUCUUUUACCUUGACUUUUAGGUGAGAGCUUGAUGCUGGAGAGAGAGAUAUCCUUCAAUCUCAUUGUUUCCCCUCAUCUAUAGGCAAAAAGCAGAGCUAAGGUGCACGAGAAAUCAAACUCUGCAGUGUAACACAUCUGUUGUAGUUCCAUUUUAUCAUUUUUAUUUUGUGUUGUUUUGUAAAAAAAACUUCGUGGUUGAAAGACAUACAAUAUCAGUUAUGAAAGCAAUGUAUUUCUUGUUCCAUUCUCCUAUUUUCUUACCUCUUCUAUAUACUUGUAAUUGAUUGGCUAAAUAACAAUGAACAAAGUAGCCAAUACCACAAAAGUUAUAAUGAAUGUCGUAAGAGUUUUGUUUAGUUAAACGUAAGUAUCUUAGCCUUGCUCAUUCGAGAGAAGAGCAAAGGUAGAGACUAUAUUCAUAAAGAAGGUAAAAAUCGUAUUUAACUAAGCAUGUGGCAAGAAGAAUGCAACAAUGCAUUCUUGUUGUCAAACUCAUCCUGAUCUACAUACAUUACUUAGAGGUUAACGUGUGUGGCAGAAGCACUUAAAGGUGUGUUGUAAUUGAGGAUUAGUUAUUGUUACUUCAAUCUAAAUGAUUAGAUAACUGCAUCACUUAACUUGUGUAUUUGUAUCUCGAAAGGAGAGCAAGUAUGACUUUGCACUGAAGAGUUGCUCGCCUUAAUUCUUAGUUAAGAGAUGUUUGUAUUGCCUCAAGGUAUUAAGUCAUCGAUUGUAGCAUUUGGUAGUUCAAUUUUUCUUCCCCUGUUUAUAUUGAGUUCUUAUUUCAUCAUGUCAUAAUGUCAUGUUCACCUUGCGCCACCAAGCAUAGUAGUGUAAAUAGUUGAAGUAGCUAAUAUACUGUUCAUAUGAUUUAGUACACAAUUAGAUAAAUUAGGAGCUUAUAUUCCCUGAGUUCGACCCUGAACUACUCAGGAAAUCUCUCAUUGCUUCUACUGGGUUGAUAGAGAGGAAAGCUUGCGCGAUAGAGUUUAAAUGAUCAUUAGCAACGUAAGAAUAGGAAUGCAUCUUUCAUCGCAUGACCCUACUUCACCGCCCAUUAUAGUUGACAAAUUUAGAGCCUUUCAUGUUAACCUACGAUUGUGAAACUUGAGAGAAUUUAAUGCAUGAUUUAAAAUAAACAGUACCCCUUGCCGAGCCCUUUUGUACCAGUUGAUACGUGAGCCAACAUCUCUGUCACCGAGUCAGUUCUCCUAGACUUGUGUCAUUUUUUCCAUAUCUAAGUCGAGCCACUGUUUUUCCAAGCCAUUUGCUUUUGAGGCAUCUUUGAGACUUUUCUUUGAUGAGUUUUGAUUGAGUUUUAGGUAUGCCCAUCAGAUAUUGACUUUUGGUUAAAGUAGAUUUAUUUUUUUGAUUAAGUUCAAUUAUCUUAAAGUUUGAUUAUUUUUCCUUAGGUUCAUUUGGCUAAUUUUAGUUGGAGGUUUUGAGUUGUAAAUUUUUACCAGUCACGGUUGAAUUGGUUUCAACCUUUUUGUUGGUAUUCGAAACUCUAAAUAAAUAUUUGGUUGACAAAAUUAAUGAUUUAAUUUUGUCUAUGUUUAGGAUUGGGUUAUUGAAUUUUGACUGUCAGCCAAGAUUUGCUAAUCUCAAGGUAAGAGAUUCUACUACUGGACCGUCGAACAUAAAAUUAAAAGCUUCCAUGUAUUUUUCAUUAUGCAUUGAUGUAGCUAAGAUGCAUAAUGUGUUGAUGUUGAUGAAUGAUGUUGAUAACUGAUAUUGAUGACUGAUAUGGAUGAAUGAUAUGUUAUGGUGCAUGAUAUAUUAAUCACAUGAUAAGGAUGUUAUGAUUGAUAUUCAUGCCAUGUAAUGAUAUUUAUGAUAUACUACAUGCUAUGGACUGGUGUUCUGUUAACUUUGUCUAUUAGGAUUUUACUCAUGUGGAUGUCCUUUGGGAUCAUCACCUUCCACAAAUUUAUGAUUGUAUAAGUUCAACGGGACCACAAGUGCAUCAUGAUAUGUUUUAUGAGUAGUCCGACGAAGUCACUUAUAGCUCGAUUCUCUUAGGUGUUCCUUCGGGUUCACUGAUAGACCAGAUGUACAUCAUUAGAUUAUGUGUGUUCAGGAGCACGAUAUUUUUUGGGUACUUCCUUACGAAACUAUAAUCGGAAGUUAACAGACACCUAGCGAGACCAGUAAUAAAUAUAAAAAAAUAAAAACCAUACUUGACAUUUUAGAUGUUCCAUUAAAAAAAAUGUUUUAUCAAACACAAAAUUGAACGACCCAGGGAGAAUUACUAAAACAAAUACAUUACUGGACAACUAAAUUUACUUGUAGUAAAACAACAAAAUUUACUUGUAAUGACCACUAACAGGGUUAGCUGCAGCUAAAAUAAAAGUGUGAGCUGAUAGACUUUCUAUCAGUUCAGCUUUUGCAAUUGAUACACAUUGUUGUUCCAUGGGUUAAUUGAUCCAGUAGGGCCUGCAAUAAUCUAAUGUAAGAAAAUGUGCCAUGAAAAAGGAAACUAAGAAUUGAAGAGAGAAAUUCAGGUUUCAGUUCAAAACACCUGAUAUUCUGUAGACAUUUUAUCGAACUCAUCUGUACAGCAUAAUCCACCAUCUGCAAGUACCAUAGCCCUUGUGGAAAGUAUAAAUUAUCUGAUCACUCAAGGGUAAAACAAUAUAUUUAUUAUAAUGCAUUAGCAAAAUAGAAGCAUUUAAGCACCGUUAUUUUAAACAUUACACCAAUCCACAAAUUCUUUUUCUUUCACAAAAAGACAAUACAUGAUUUAAGUAAAAGGAGCAACUAGAUCGUAAAUAAAUAUUAUUUCCCGUUUCUUCAUUCUUGAGCAUAAAAAUUUAUGGCACUUUUUUCAAAACAAAGGCAAAGACACCAGUGGACCAAAGUAUUUUCUCCCAAACUUUAAUGGGCCUUAGAUGAGUAGAAGAAAAAAAAACCAAAGGAACUAACUGAAGAAUAUAAAAUACUACAAAUUUUCACAACCCUCCCCCCCACCCACACACAAUUUUUAAAAAAGAAUAAAAAUAAAAAACUUAAAUGAAGAAGGCAAUAUAUUAUGACCUGUGGUUUGGUAUAGAGGGUAGUGGAGAGAGUGGUCACGUUGGAGAUCUUGUGGAGUUUUGCGGGAUCGUAGUAGUCCAAGAUGAUGUACAGACUGAGGAGAUUUUUUAUAACGGAGAGAGGAUGUUUGUCAAGGAUGGGAGAGAGAGCGUCAUUGGCAACAACAAGGACAAUGAUAGUCUGACGGCUGUUUAUCUCGUUGGCAAGUCUGGUUUGUUGGAGAUAUAUAAUUAUUGAAAAUGUUGUACUGAGGGAAGUCUUUUAGCAUGUCGAUAAUAUUGUGGACGAAGACGAUGGCAGCAAUGGUGGUGAAGGCAAGGAAGAGGAGAAGAGAUUUGGAAGCUACCAUGGAAAAUAGAGAAAGAGAAGAGAGAAAGGAUGGGUUUGGGAGAAGAGGGAAAUCAGGGGAGGGGUCUGUGAGAGAAGAGGAAAAUCGGUGGAAGUCUGAAAAAAUAAAAAAGGAACAUUUGGGGCAGUAAGCAUAACGCCCAAAACCUAAAAAAAUCAUUUUUUUAAUUUUCUUUUUCUGCUUUUUUUCUUUUAUUUUUUAUAGCAUAAUACUAAAUAUGCUAUAGUUGGAUGCUAUUAAAAGGCAUAUUUGUUGUAGUGUUUUGAUAUUUAUCCUUUUCAUUACUAGCUUAGUUUAAUAGUUCAGUUUGUUACAAAAAUACACUGCAUGCAUAUCAUAAAAAGGCAAUCAUAACUAUGACUAAAUAUAACCCAACUUGAUUUUUGUUUUUGCUUGACUCUUUUGGUUAUGUUUAUUUUGAAAUCUAUUAAACCUUUUUUGAAGUUGCUUAACUAGAACUUUCGUAAACCUCAUUAGAUUAACAUGACUUAUCAUAUUUUGUGAAUGAUUUGUAAUGUUUCUUAUUUGACCAUUCAUGUUAAUGCAACUAUAAUUAUUGUUGUUAAAUAUUGAAAUUUUUUGUUCUUACAUUAUUGUCAUGAAAAUCAAUAGAGUCAAGAAAUUGAAUUAAAGGUAUAACAUAUGAAGAAAAAAUAUCAAUUAAAAGUUUGAAAAAAAAAAACUAAACUGAUUAACUAAACCUAGAAUUCAAAACCAGCACCUCAAACACAAACAUAAAAAAUCCAAAUUUUCAAAUCCUACACCCCAAACAAAGGCAUUGGUAGCUUCUAGACAUCGAAAUCCCAUCAAAUAAGCUCAUAGGUAUUUAGUUCCACGCAUUUGAUUACGUGCGUGUGUGCCAAACGUGCUAUAGGUGUUGCUAUAGGUGUUGGAUGAAAUGCUUGUAAGAAAUAUUAUUAUGACUUAUUUCGAGUUUUGUAAACAAACAUUUCUUUAAUCCAUAUUGGGUAGCGUGUUGAUCUUAGAAGUUCAAAGCUAUCGAAUCUCAUGUAUACACUUAUGGUCUUUGAAUUAUAAUUUGAAUCUCAAUUUUAAUUAUCUAAUUGUUGUUUCAAAAACUUUCUUUCUUAGUUAUUCUAAUUUUUGUUUUCUAAGAAAUCAACUAUUUGAGGUUUUGAUUCUUUAUUCUUGGUGAGAACUCAAAUCUCAAAACUCAAAACUCAAUUCUAUUCUCCACUUGACACAAAACAUCAUUAAAUACACUAUUUUUAGCACAGAUUUUCCUUUAAAAUCCUAGCCUAAAUUUGGCAAUUAAAAGACCAAAUAUACAUAGCUUCAAAACAACAUGACACAUACAAGGAAAAGACCAAACCCUUUAGUAGACAGACAACUGCGAACCAGGCUUCAAGAACAUGACCUCUAUUUGAAAAGUGGAAAACAGUUUUAAAAGUAUGAGUUAAACAUGCCUAGUGAAUGAAAGGUUUUAAAACAACAUUUCAUAAACAUUUAAAAACUAAUCAUAAAACGAUUUCAUAAAUACGUUAGCUUGGCAAACAUUUUAAAAAUUGGUACACAAGUACCGGUUUUUCCUCGUUAUAUUAAAAGAGGCUAUGUAGGGAGCAUUUUUACAUGCUCCUUUUACCCCUACAUUUUUCACAAAUUUCUGUAUUACCUUUCGUCGAGUGAAAUUCUAGGUAACUUAGUGCAUUUGAUGAUAAUGGGAUGUGACUCAUCAAGAUAGGUUGAAUCUAUUUUAGGUGGAGGUGUGUUAUAUUAGUACAUUGAUUGUUUCAAUGUAUAUGGGAGAUCAAUGUAUAAAUUUAUAAAAGAAAAACAAAAUAAAUAUAUGCACUUAUUUUUUAAAAAAAUAAUUUAAUUAAUAAGAUUCAAAAUUUAGAGCAAACAUUAAAAAGGAAAAAAAAUAAUUAAUGAAAGUAAUAAUUAAUACGCUAAACCCUUCAUUUCGAGUUUAGAAAAAUUAGAAUAAAAAUGAUUGCAUUAUAUAUAUUACAAUACUAGAAUAUUAACAUAUUAAUUCAAUAAUUUAAUUGUUAUAACAUUUUCUCUCUCGUUAAAUUAGAAAGAAGAUUUUUUUUUCCAAAGAGGAUAAUAUGAAAACUAAAAUAAAAAAUAUUACAUUAUCAAACCUCUAAUUCUUAUUAUAUAUUCAGAAACUACCAUUACAAAGGAACUAAUGGAAACUACAAGAUUACAUGUGCAUCGCACGUGUUGCUUGACUAGUACCUUUAAAUGCUUAGGAACGAAAAACAAUCACUCCACAAACCAACAUGCAUUCUUUCAACAUACUUUAUCAUCAUUCUCACAUAUCCUAGAAAAAUUUUCAUGCUGAGGUGACUCAACAUAGAAUUACUUCAAGCUAAGUACGCUUAACUUUGGAGUUUCUAUGAUCGAGCCACCGAAAAAAAAAGGUGCACCUUGUUAGUAUAAGUAGGAACUUUUAAUUCUUUUUAACCUUACUUUCAUGUUCUUAGGAUCCCUCACAUUCAUAUGUAAUACUGUUUCAUUCAUGUCUCCCUCUUAAACUCGAAGCCUUACGAAUAGAACAUAUUUAUAUCUGUUUAAAUUUUAAAUAUGUCUAAUUAUAAGUCUCUAAAGAAAAUUUAAAAAUUAAUUAAACUAAGGAUAUUUUUAAAUAUUGUAAAAUAAACAAAUUUAAAAAUUAAUUAAACUUAAGAUAUUGUCAAAUAUAGUAAAAUAAACUACAAUAUUUACAAAAUAGAAAAGUUUGGAUUCUAUCAAUUAUAGACACCGAUAAUCUUAUACUUUUGUCAAUUAAUGUCACUGAUUAAACAUUUCAGUGUCGGUCAUUGAUAGAAUUUAAAAUUUUGGUAUAUUUUAUAAAUAUUUUGUCAAAUUUAUCAUUUUUAUCAAAUCUCUAUUAAGGUAUUAACUUUAAAUUUAAAUUUUAUGUGGAAUAUGAAACUUUAACCCAUCAACUUUAUGUUAAAUAAAUUUAUAAAUUUUGAAAAAAAUAUAUCAACGUUGAUUGCUUAAAUUUAUAAUUUUUAAAAUUUUAGAGAUCAAAUUGAUACAAAAUUCAAUUUUCAUAAACCAAGUCGAUAAUUUUAACAUAAAAAAUACAUGAAUGAAAUUAGGGGUGAAAUCGGGUUGUGGGAGAUUCUCAACCCAACCCAUAUAUUCGGAUUAUUUGGGUUGACAACCUAAAUAACCCAAAUUUAGUUUCUAACCCAACCCAACCCAAUCUGUAAAAUAUGGGUUGGGUUGGGUUGGAUUGAGUUGUCGGGUUGUAUAUAUAAAUAUAUUUUUUUAAAAAAAUUUAUGUUUUCUAGUUUCUAAUAGUUAUAAAAGUAUGAAAUUGUUACAUUUAAAUUUCAAACAUACAUAAUUCAAACUUUCAUACAAUAAAUUCAAAAUUUGUAUAACUCUAAUUUGUUUUUUAUUAAAAUAAUAUAUUUAUUUAUUUAUAUACCAUAUUAAUUCGGGUUGGAUUGAACCAAAUUUUUCAACCCUCCAAUCUGAGAUCUAACCCAACCCAACCCGAAAAAAUAAAAAAAAAUUAACAUAACCCAACCCAACCUAUAUUUUAGCUUAACACAAUCCAACCCUUAUAAUAUGAGUUGGAUAGUUCGAAUUAUUUGGGUUCAACCCAUAUUUGUACACCUCUAAUGAAACUCAAAAUUACAUAUAAGGAAAGUUGGCGAGCACAUACGAACAAUAAUAAUUUCUGUAAAUUAAAUUUGGAAAGUUUUGUGUAUAUUGAAUUGAAAUGGAAAUUUUUGUUAAGGAAAGAAAACUUUAUGAAGAAGAUUUUGGUACAUUAUUUAACUACUUCAUAUGGAAAUUAGACAGAGAAGAAAGUGUGAGAGAUAUGAAUGGGAAUUUCCAUUUGAACUUGGAAAUACUUUUCACAAAUUGAAUAUGUGAACAAUUUUUUUCCUAAUUUUUUUUUUAAAAUAAUUACAUUUAUAAACAUUAAACACUACUUUUAUUCCAUUUUGAGAACUAAUUAAAAUUAUAGGUCACACUUGAUUUCGAUUUCGAAAUUUAUGAUGGUUUCUUCUAAAUUUUCUCAUUAUAAUUUUCACCUUUGUAAAAUAAAUCGUGCUUAAGGUUUCUAGUUAAUUUUUGAAAACAAAAACACGUUUUUCAAACCUUUUUUUUUUUACCUUCAAAACGUGAAUUGAUUCCUUGAAAUAUUAUAGGUAGAAAAUGUAAGUCAAAACAAUGAAAAUUUAUAGAAGGAAAAGUAAUAUUUAUAAACUUAAUUUCAAAAAAAAAAAAAGAAAAAAAAAGUCCCGUACCUUUUCAAUUAAAUAAAAAUAAAAACCAUAAUUGCUACCUUGGGCGUAAAACAUGUAAAAAUAUGAACAGCAAACCAAUAAAAGUAUCGUUAUCAAAUGAACUUAUAUGCUUGCAUGCAAUAAUGUACAUAAUUUUGUUAUCAAUUUAAUCACCUAGAAAUUCGAAUAAUGGACUAAUGGGAUUUGUGAAUAUUCAAAAUGAUGUGAAGUUAUUUGACGUCUUAAUAAACCUCCUUUUAACUUAAAUGGUUAUGCCAUAAACUAUCUUCCAGUUUGCAAUAGUUCAAUUAUGUUCUACUUUCCAGUAGUUGAACUCAGAAAUUAAUAAUUACAACAACUUGGUUCUAGUAUAAUCAAAUUGAAUUUCUUUGAUUUAUAGAAUAGUAAUAGUAUUAUCAUAUAUUUGUAAAAUAUUAAAAGAGAAAUAUAUAUAUAUAUAUAUCCUUAAGGCAUCCCUGGAUUAUAACAAUUAUUGAUACAUAAUAAUAUUAGAUAAAGAAAAUUUCUUUUGCCAUGCAUAAUUCCCUUCCUCUCUCAAUUGUUUUCCAUUUUUUGUUCGAUUAUCGUUGUUGACCGUGAAGCUAUUGAGAUGGAGGCGGGGGAGGAGAGUAAGAUGUCCUUGGGUUGAGUCCUGAUGGUGGAAUAGGUACGCGUCUUUGAUACAUUCCAAAACCAAAGGUGUUGUGAUGGAAGAAAUUUGAUGGAGGGGGUGGAGAAGAAUCUGAUGUCCUUUGACUUGGGCCAGAUGGUGGAAUAGGUAUCCCUUUUGGAUACAUUCCAAAAUCAAACUUCUUUUGUAAGAUAUUGAAGGGAGGAGGUGGAGAAGAGUCUGAUGUUCUUUGACUUGGCCCAGAUGGUGGAAUAAUGCCUUUUGAAUACACUUUGAAAAUGGAAUUUGAUGGUGGUGGAGGAGUGGGAUCGGACGUAGUCGGAUUCGAUCCAGUUGGAGGAAUAGGUCUAGCAUGUGUUUGGACAGCAAUAAGAUGAAACCCUAGGAGAACAAGGAACGAAGCUCCUAAAAUCAUUAUCGAACUUAUUGAUGCCAUUUUCUUGUGUUUUACUAUGUUCUAAUGCUUCCCUUUAUAUACCAAUCAUUUUUCUCCAAUUUAGUAUUUUUCUCAAUUUAUUGACCAUCAAUUUGUGAGAUUAUUUGUUUCCAUAUUUUGUUACUAACCCUUUAUGGUAGAAUCCAACCCCAUUUCUUUCCCUCCAACUCAACCAUGGUGACUAUGAAGUUGGAAUAUCAAAUUUUAGAAAGUUAUUAACUAUUUAACCAAUUUAGAUUUUAUUUAUGCUAACAACAAAAAUAGCAAAUUUUAAAGGUUGAUUUCAAAAAUAGCAAAAAAGUUUUUCAAUUAGUUAAAUAGAAAGUACUCGUAAUAUAAAAACACGAAUAUCCACGCACGGAUCUUUUCAAAUAAAAUAAAAAAUUGCAAAUUAUUUAUAUAAUCACAAAAUAUCACUCAAUUCCAAAAAUAAUUACACACAAUUUUGAGUAAAUAUUUAACGUUUUUUCAAAAAUAUAAAAAAGCAGCAGAAUAUUUACACUGUGUAGAACAACUUCGAAAAUGAAAAAAGUUCACAGGCACACAAUGAAAAAUAUCAAAAAUGCCCCAGUCAACAACAUGGAUAAAAUAUUUCGCACACGAUCGUUUAGAUUUCGCUAUUGUUUGGUACACAAUCAUUUAGAUUUGGCUGACCCAAAUCUAAACAAUUUUUUUUCAACAUUUUUUGGUACACGAUCGUUUAGAUUUGGCUACAUGAUCGUUUGGAUUUGGUUACACGAUCGUUUGAUUUGGCUAAACGAUUUUUUUCAAGAUUCUUUGGUACACAAUCGUCACUACAAGAAUCAUACGUCGGGAUAGAUGACGUCGUAGGAGAAGGGUUAUGCUGACGCGAUGGUAACGACAUCGACAAUAGAGAAAAUAACGACGCAGCACCAAUCAAUAUUAAAAAAUAUUAUUCUAACUUCUAACAACACCAUGCAAGCCCGUGUCGAUGUUUCCCCUCUAACGGCGACAUCCAUGGUCGAAAUGCAUCGGCAAACCUGUAAUAUAUUAUUAAAAUUUAGAAGCUAUGGCGACGCCUGAUAACUUGUAGAAAUACAAGUUAUUGCGGCCUCUUAAGUAAAAUAAUGAGAUUCAUCGUAUAAAAAGAGAAGAAUGCAUAAAGAAAACGUAGACAAUUUAAUUAAUAUGCGAAAGGUUUACCGCAAAAGAAUUUCAUCUCUGUUUUAUGAUGUUUCAACAAUUUUAUUGCAGGAUUUUCGACGAAGAAGAGCGAGGCUCGGCAAGCAAGAACAAUUGUACGCGAAGUAAUCCUACCAACCUCUUCAGCGCAAGGAAGCAAAUGUUAGGCGAUCAAGUCGCUAGCAAACAAAUGAGGUUGGCAAGAAUGUCAGAAAAGGACAAUUCAUAAAGGCUGUGCAGCAGAGCAACAACUUUUCAGAAGUCCUACUGUUGCGCGCCGGUAUGUCAGUGCCACAAACAGAGUGUCCCUUCUCAGAAGAGUGUGCACAAAUUGGCCGAAAAAGCAAGUUUCUUACAAUCCUCAUCUUCUCUCCAUCAUCUUAAGUCUAGGUGAGAGCCUAAGGCAUAAAGAGAAGGAGAGAUCCACAAAUUCCAUUACUCCCCCUUCCAUCUAAGCAUAAUUCAAGCUUGUGGUGUUAAUUCCUUACAACUUGCCACCUUGGAAAUGCAUGAAAGAGUCCAACUUCUUCAUGUCAUUUCUAAUACCCGUUCCAAGGUCUCUUGGUAGGAAAAUUGAUGUUUAUCUUCGACCAUUGAUUGAGGAAUUGAAAGAGUUAUAGAGUCUUGGUGUUCGUACGUAUGAUUCUCUUACCUCUCAUUUUUUUCAAUUGUAUGCAGCUUUUCUGUGGACGAUUAAUCACUUUUUGACGUAUGGUGACCUAUCUGAAGGGAGUACGAAAAGGUAUUAGGCAUGUUCUAUAUGCAUGGGAGAUAAAUUGUCAUUUGGAAUAAGAGGAAAGAUAGCUUACAUAGGACACCCACGUUAUCUUCCAUAUAAUCAUGUUUGGCGUAGAAGUAAGCUAUAUGAUGGAAGUGUAGAGUGUAGGUCUACUCAAGUUGUACCGAAUGGACAUGAUAUCUUGGAACAACUUAAUUUCCUAAAGUUUCUAGUGAUGAGUAAACAUCCAUCACUGAACGAUAAAAAAAAAAAAAAAAAAAAAAAAAGAGAGAGCUCUGAAUUCGACGAAGAAAAGUAUCUUUUUCAAACUCCCUAACUGACCAAGUCUGCUAUUACAUCAUAAGUUAGAUGUAAUGCAUAUUGAAAAGAAUGUUUAUGACAACUUGGUCGGUACACUGUUGAAUAUAGAAGAGAAAAUGAAGGAUACUACGAAUACUAGGUUGGACCUUCUGGAUUUGAAAAUCAAAAAAGAUUUAAUACCUGGUGGAAGUCAGUAACAGAUUGAUGAAACCAUAUGCAAGUUACACGUUUACUCGCAGCGAACGAGUUGCAUUUUAUAAGUACCUAAAAUCAAUUAAGUUUUCUGAUGGAUUUGUUUCUAAUAUUUCACGAUGUGUGAAUGACAAAGGUUGGAAGAUAUCAUGUCUUAAGACCCAUGACUGUCAUAUUUUGCUUCAUCGACUUCUACCUAUCGGUGUUCGAGCAUACUUAUCAAAGAAUGUGUACAACACUAUUAUGAAAUUGUGUAGUUUCUUUCGCAACAUGUGUGCAAGGACGAUAAGAAUAAGUGAUUUGGAUUGAUUGCAAGCAGAUAUCAUUAUCAUACUUUGCAAGUUGAAAAGAAUAUUUUCACCGGCAUUUUUCAGUGUAAUGGUAGACCUUGCUGUUCACUUACCAUAUGAAACAAAAGUCACUGCUCUGGUGCAUUAUAGUUAGAUGUAUCCCAUUGAGAGAAGUCUAUACACGCUGAAGUAGUAUGUCUGAAACAAAGCACGUACUGAGAGGUCUAUUGCUGAAGCAUAUGUGAUGAAUGAAUCAAGUACUUUUUGUUUGAGAUAUCUAAGUGGGAUUGAAACUCAAUUUUCUCGAGAUGAAUGAAAUGUAGCAUUCCUAAAGACGAGGUAGUUCAUCAGUUUGAAGUGUUCAUGUAAAAGGUAUGACCAUUAGGCGCGAGAAGUCCAUGAUCGUUAUCACAGAAAAGAGAAAUGCUAGAUACAUUGGUACAUCUUGAACAAUAAUGUAGAUGAAAUCACACAAUACUACAAGUAUAUCCUUUAUUUUUUGUUAGUUAAGUCAUAGUCAUCACAAAUACUCAUAACUAUGAACUUUAGAAAACAUUUGAGGUUGAUACAUCCUGAGGUAAACAACAAAGUCGAUUUCGAUUUCUUGAAAAGACAUCAACGAUCAUUUCCUGAUCAUUGUUGGCUCCAAAGUUAUGUUACACUGAUCAUUCUGCAAUCAGAUAUUUAAUGGAAAAAAAGGAUACCAAGUCACGAGUGAUCAUAUGAGUGUUAUUGCUUAAAGAGUUUGAUUUGGAGAUUAUAAACUGCAAGGGUAUCAAGAACCAAGUGGCGAAUCACUUAUCGCGUCUUAGUAACAAAAAGUUUCAAUCCGAGAAGAGAGAAAUUGAAUAUGGAUUUUCAUAUGAGCAACUCUUUCGAAUUGAAGUAAAAGAGCUCUAAUAUGAUAGUUGCAUCUGUAGACGCGAAUUCCAAGCAUUUUUGGGCUAUGAUUCUAGCAUAUCACUUAUCACGUCUUACCAACAAAAAGUUUCAAUGCGAGAAGAGAGAAAUUGAAGAUGGAUUUCCAGAUGAGCAACUAUUUUGCGUUGAAGUAAAAGAGCCCUGGUAUGAAAGCCUUGUUCGUAGUCACGAAUUCCAAGUUAUUGUAGCCUUUUAUGUAAAAUAAUGAAAUCUAAUCCUAUGAAGAUAGAAGAAAACAAAGGAAAAAGUAGGUGAUUUGAUUAACUUACGAAUAACAUGAUACGAAAGAGCCUUAUCCCUUUUUUUUAUGCAUUUUACUACUCUUACUGUAGGAUUUUUAGGCAAAAAAAGUGAAACUCGGUGAAAUAACGUCUAUGCAACAAGACACAUUCAACCAAUGCGAGAAUAAAGAAGCAAGCUAGGCAUUUAGAGUGCUAGCAAACAAAAUUGAUUGGCGUGAAAGUCAGAAAAAGGACGUAUGCGUGGCACCGAUGCAACUUUUCAGAAGAAUUAAUGACAUGUGGCUUUCUGUCUACAUCAACUCUCACCUAUAAAUUAUGUCUCUCACUUCAACAACGGUGUGCAAAAAUUUGAGCAAGUUCUAACAUCGUCCAUCUCCCUGCAUUUAAAUGACUUAUAUAUGGUCUCUGGUACUAGGUCAAUCAAACUCUCUCCUUCUAAAGUUAUUUUGAGAGCGAUUGUUUGAUCCAUAAUUGUUAGGACUAUUGAUUUUCUUAAUCACAUUGGAAAAUUGCUUUGUUAGCAUGACAAUCGACUCAUUUACUUGAUCUAGAAGUUUUUCCUUUAUCAAAAGAUUCAUCUCCAUGUAUAGAUUGAAAAGCACACUUUUUACCUUACUUUCUUCUAUGUCAGAUAAGGCAAUUUCAAACGUUCGUAGAGAUUUAAACAAUUCAUCAAGAGAAAGUGUAGUGACAUCAUGUGCCUCUUUAGUGGCGAUGACCUUCAUGUCAAAUCUUCUGGAAAGAGAACGUAAAACUUUCCUAACCAGUUUAGCCUCUGGAAUCCCUUCACCAAGAUUGAAUUAGUCAUUGGCAAUUUUCAAAACACGUACAUUAUAUUCAUUUAUAGUUUCUUCUUCCAUCAUUCUUAAUGAUUCGAACUUAGUUGUCAGCAAUGGAAGACGAGAGGUUUUUACUUUAGAGGUACCCUCAAAAGCUACUUCAAGUGCUUUCCAUGCAUCUUUUGCUAUAAUAUUGGAGUUGAUUAAUUUGAAUACGUUCAGAUCGACUCCAUUAUAUAUUGUGUUGAGUGCACGAGAAUUCCCUAGGGACUUUUGUUCUUCUACAUCCAUCCAAUCUUCUUCAGGUUUUGGAACAAGCUUACCAUCUACAGUAAUCAUCGAUAGUUUCCAUCAAACUUUAACUGCUUUCCAGGCAUUUGCAUCCAGUGACUUUAAAAAAGAAAUCAUACGAGUCUUCCAAUAAGAAUAACUUUUUUCAUCCAGUAUGGGUGGCCUUGUAGUUGAUCCACCUUCUCUUGAUGUCUCCAUUUAUAUCGAACUCACUCUGAUACCAAUUGAAACGUGAGAAGGUUAAAUGAUCUUUAGCUAUAUCAAAAGUAUUUAACUACAACUAUAACUAAAAUACAUAGAAGACAAGUAACACAAUGCACUUUGAUAACCCAAUUCGGCAAAUACAGCCUACAUUUGGAGAGCAUCUAGGUCAGAUAAGAAAUAUUAUUGAGAUUCAAUGUAUGUAACUUAUCACAAUGGUUACAUUAACAAUUUAUAACCAUAACUUAAAAGUAAUCUCAGGCUCCCCUGAAUGUAAUAAGAAUCUCUUAUAAGACUUGUCCAGGCUCCCUCUGACUUGGUGAAUUGAUCCAUCAAUUCAAUGAUCUUCACACAUAUUUCUUAUCUUCUCAUAUUUCACAUAGCAACCGUCAAUCUUCAAUAUAAAUUCAAAUGACAGACGGUAAACAUUAUACCUUCAACUUGCAUAACUUGAAUAGAAGAGUUCGUAUAUGAUGUAUCCGUCAACCAACAAAUCACCUAUCAACGCAUAUAUAUAUAUAUCCCCAAGUAUGUUAUGCGAAUAAAUUCUUCCAUUUUAAAAGGAAACAACCUCGUACUAAGAUUCUUAAAUAAUAGGAAAAAUAGGUAACUUAAUAGUACUGUUUUAUCUUUCAAUUAAAAAGAAUUCUUAGUAAAUAAGUUUAAAAUAUUUGACAAAAUAUCUUAACAGGCACUGUGAAGGAGAUUAAAUAGAAUACACAAGGGCAUAAGAGAAAAAGGAAAAAAAAGAUUUAUGGUAAACUUUCCAUAAAUAAUUUUUCCAUAAACACCCUAAGGGCCAGUCCUACAAGUUCUAACACAAUCCAAAGAAUUGCUCAUUAGUUUCAUGAUGCUAGAGUGCCUCUAAAUGCAUGCACUUAUUAUUGCUUUGAUGAUUGAGGCAAUAGGAAAAUGUGAUCCUGGAUUGAAACCACCAUCAUAACAUGAACUGAGGUGCCAUGUUUGAAAAAGGAAUUAAAAUGCACAAAUGAGUUGAUGAAGAGCUACAAGGAAAAAGCAGGCGAAUGUUAGAUGCACCAUUGUGGCUGAUCGAUGGACAGAUAGGAAAAAUAGGACAUUAAAUUAACUUUUUAGCUAUUAGUUGGUGUACCCAAAUGAUUUAGUAGGAAUAGGAUAUUAUGAUCAAAUCUUUAAUCUAUUAAUAUUAGGAUUAGUUUCUUUUCUUUAUUAGGGUUAGGAUUAGUUUCUUUAAUUUUAUUAAUUAGGAUUAGUUGCUAUAAAUAGAGUACUUGUCCUUUUGUAUUCACAACUUCAAAAAACAUUAAUAAAAUUCUCUCAAUUGAGUUACAUCAAUAGAUCUAAGGCACCAUGUUCAUUGAGUCUAUCAAUGCUUCAUCUUAUGUGAAGGAUGAAAGAAAAAUGUUUGGGUUGCUCGACAAUUUCAUAGAUCGGAUCGAAGAAGCCAAUGUCGUACAAGUUGUUACUGAUAGUACCUAAGCAAAGGUUAUGGCAGGUAAGAAACAAUGUAAGGUAUCAACUAUGUUUAGACAUUUAAGCUGGAAUAUGUUCUUAUUUUACUUUGUUAACAGGGAGAUUGUUAGAAGCAAAACAACCACAAUUAAUUUAGUCUUUGUGUAUAUCUCACUGUUUAGAUUUGAUGAUAGAUCAGGAUAUAUACAAGAUCUCACAUAUUCACAAAACAUUAAUAAAAGGCAUGAAUGUUAGCAUUUCAUUUAUGUUCGUCCGGGAUUAUGAACAUGAUGAGGUGGUUUAUUAAUCAAAAGGAGUUAAACUAUCUAAGACUUGAUUUGCUACAACUUGAAUAGCAUCAUCAAGAUUACAUCACCAGAAAAAUAAUUUGAGAAAGAUGUUACUUCGAACAAAUGAAAAAAUAGCAAAUGGAGAAAGAACAAGAAAAAUGGGUUGCUUAAACAACUUUAUUCCUGGGGACUAUUUGGACCGUCUUUAAUAAUUAGACAAAGAGACAAAAUAUCUCCAAGUAAACUUUAACUUUCAAAUCUUUGAUAACAUUUAAUAACAUUCAAAUUGAAAGUUACUAAUAUACUUUUGAUCUAUAGUCAAAUGGUGGAUGAACAAUCAACUCCCAACUUGUAAGAUCUCACUUGUAGUGCCACGAGAUGUGACGUAAUUAGAGCGUUUUUGUACAAAUUAGGUAUCUUCUAUUACUUGUAGUGCUUGUAGAUGUGGAUGUAAUUGAACUAAACAAUAAAAUCUUUGUUAUGUACUAUUGAAAGCAAUAAACAUGAAACCUAGGCUUACAUGGAAACCCGAGAAUCGAAAGAAAAACCAUGAUGUUUUUAGUUUUAUUAUUUUUCCGAUAAAUACAAAGGUACAAAUGAGGGAGCUUAAAUAAAAUGUAAAGAGCAAAGAAGAAAAGGAAAGAAAUAAUUAUGGUAAGUUUUCCAUAAAUGUUUUUUUCAUUUAUACAAAUUCUAAUAAUCCCCUCAAGUUGGGACGUAAAUAUCAAUGAGGCCCAACGUGCUAACACAAAAAUCAAAAUUUGGUCUAAGAAGCUCCUUGGUAAGAAUAUCAUCAACUUUUUGACUAAAAAGGAUGUACGAAAUGCAUAUGCUCCUACUGUGAAGUCUUUCUUGGAUGAAAUGUCGAUCAAUCUCAAUAUGUUUAGUUCUAUCAUGUUGAACCGGGUUGUUAGCAUUACUAAUAGCUGCUUUAUUAUUACAAAUGAGCUUUAAUGAAUUCACAUAUUCAUGAUGAAGAUCAUAUAGGACUUUCUGGAACCAAAUUUUCUCACACAUUCCCAAACUCAUAGCUUUGUAUUCGGCCUCAGCACUGCUCUUGGCCACAACACUUUGCUUUUUACUCCUCCAAGUUAGAUUGUCCCAAACAAAUGUACAAUAACCGAAGGUAGACUUUCUAUCAACAAUUAUGCCUAAUCCGAGUCAAUAUAUGCAUCAAUAGUUUUUCUGUCUAUUUUUCUAAACAUCGGCCCUUUACCAGAUGUUGUUUUCAAGUAUCUUGAAAUUUUGUUGACAGCUUCCAUGUGUUCUCAUAAGAAGCCUCCCUAAACUGGCUGACAACACUCACAACAAAGGAAAUAUCAAGACGAAUAUGGGAUAAGUAAAUCCAUUUACCCACGAGGCACUUAUAUUGUUUUUUAUCAACUGGAACAUGAUCAUUAAAGUUUUCAAGAUUACAAUUGAAUUCAAUAGAAGUAUCAGCAGGACGACAUCCCAACAUACCUGUCUCGGUUAACAAAUCAAUGGUGUAUUUUCUCUUAGACACAAAUGUCACCACGUGCUCGAGACGACGCGGAGCGGCCGACGCCCUCAAAAGAGUUUCUUUAUUUUUUUAUAACAAAAAGGGAGUCACCACCAAUCCUUUUUUAGGGUGUGAUUGGACACCCAAAAUAAGUAAAUAAGCUUUUUUUUUUUUUUUUAAAUGGUCUGCGAAAAAUAGAGUUGGGUUCAAGAGUCAUUUGUCUACGGGGAAGGUAUUAGCAUCCCGUAGCACCCGUUUAGAAAACGGUGGCCAAACUUAAAGUCUAUGUCUUAUUUCCUUGCUCAUCACUCUCAUAUUUGAAGUAAUUAUCCCAUAAAAUAAGUAGAAUAAUAUUCCAUUAAUUAGACUAUAUUGAGGAAAAUUCCCCACCUUAAGAAAAUGAGAAAUUAUUACAAUUUCUCAAAAUCUAUCAUAGGUUAGUCUUUGAAUAAGAUUUUUUGUUUUAAAACAUUCAUUAAAUUCUUUUUUUUUUUUUUUUGAUCAAAUCUUGGACUUCCAAAGAUGUGAUCCCGUCUUUGGAAGUCCAAGAUUUGAUCCCUCACCUUAAGAAUUCUAGGAAAUCGGACUCCUAAAUUUCCUAGAUUCCAUCAUAGGAUUUUUUUGGCGAAAUAGGAACGAGUUAUUAAAAAGGGUUGAUUAGAAAAAACUUAUGAAAUAUGGAUUUUUUUUUUAAAGAAAAUUUAAAUUGAUAGUUUUAAAAGUAAAUUUUUUUAAAUGGUCUAGAUUCCAUCGUAGGAUUUUUUUAAGGAAAACGGUAUAAGUUUUUAGAAAAUACUGGUUUAGGAAAUCUUAUAAAAUCAUAUGUUAAAUUUGGAAGGUUUUGGAAAAAAACAUAAAACAUUUAUAGCAUUAGAGACAAAUUUGCUAAAUGAUUUUUUUUUUUUAAAAAAAAAGUCUUUUAUUUAAAACAUAAAGAAUUUUAAAUUGGAAAGAUUUCAAAACAUUAAAAAAUUUAAAUACAAAGAGUUGCAUUUAAUUGCAUAUAACAAUAAUUAUGAUAUAGCCAUGUGAAUUGUAAAAGAAAGGAAACAUAAUAGCAAUAAAAAAAAUAAGGAAAGAAACGAAAAAAAAGAAUGAACAAAGAAAGAAAUAAUAAUAAGAAGGAUAAAUAGAAGAAGAAAAACAAGUAAAAAGAAGAACCCUAAUAGUAAUAUAAUAUAAUAAUAAAUGGUGAUGAUAAUAAUAAUAAUGAUAAAAUUUUCUCUAUGUUCUUUAUCUCUAUAUUUUAGAGAAAAAAUAAAUAUUAAGAGUUGAGAUUAAAAAGGGUAAUAAAAUACGAAUACAUUAAAAGAGCACAUUUGUCUUAUGUCAUUUUCUCUCUCCCUAUUUUUUUUAGAGAGAAGAAAAAGACUAAAGAUUUUUUUAAAAAAAAUGAUGAUAAAAGAAAAAAAAAUAAUACAAAAAAUACUAAAAUUUUCCUACAUUUUAUUUUCAUUCUCUUUAUCUUUUAAAGAGAGAAGAAAAGAAAAAUAAGAAUUCGAAUUCCAAAGAAAUUACUUGUUGUAUGAGAUGCGGAUCAUUGGGAUUAAAUCCCUACCAAAUGCAACCUCCAACUAAGUUCAGUUAACAAUGAGCUUUAAUUUGCUUAAGAUAAAAUUUAAAAAAAUAUACAGACAAUAUGGUAAUGAAAAGAAUAAUAGAAACGCACCUUUUGUAGAGUUUUUUUUGCAGAGAUUCACUCUAAAACUUUCUCUAAGCACUCUUUUUAAAAAGAUUUCUCUAAGAAACUCUCUAAAGAAUUUUUGUAAGAAAUUCUCCUCCAAAGAAUUCGUUGUUUAAGAAACUAUCUCCCCUUUCUUUUCAAAUGACAAGGGUCUCUAUUUAUAGACCCUGAGUGUACCACAAAUUAGGAAAAAAUAAUAAGAAUAAAAUCAAAUUUUGAUAUUAUAUUAAUAAAACAAAUUUUCAUUUUCCUAAAAUAAAUUAAAUGAGAUAUUUUGAGAUUUUGUGAAAAAUAAAUUAAUAUAUCAAAUGAAUAUUAAGAUACUUUUAUUUAAAAUUGAUUUUCUUUUUUCCUAAAAUGAUUUAAGUAAGUCAAAAUUGAUACUAGAAGAUUUUAUUUAAAACAAAUUCAUUUCUUUUUUUCUAAAAUAGUACAAAUAUAAUAUUAAAAGAUUUUAAAAAAACAAAUUGAUUUCUUUUUGUUUCCUAAAAUGAUAAAAAUGAAAUAUUAUAAGAUAUUAUGUUAUUAUUAGUUUUUUUAUCUUUUUUUAAAGUAAAUAAAUAAAUAAUUUAGCAACUAUUACUAAUAUUAAUAUUUAAAAAAAAGAUAUAUAUGUGUAGGAUAAAAAUAGGUGGCUACAACAAAAAUAACUUCUUUAGAUCUGGUCAUCUCCAUUCCAAGAAAAUAUUUCAGAUUUCUCAAAUCCAAACAAUGUCAUCCACAUGAACUAUUGGAACAGCAAUCUUCCCUCUCUUGGAAACCUUUGUAAAUAAAGUAUGAUCAAAGUGCCCUUGACUAUACCCUUGGGACUUGACAAAGAUAGUGAAUCUGUCAAACCAUGCUCUAGGAGACUGUUUCAGACCAUAUAGGCAUUUUUAAAGUUUACACACAUGCUGACCAAACUGGGCUUCAAAUCCAGGCGGGGCUCAUGUAGACUUCCUCCACAAGGUCUCCAUUCAAAAAAGCAUUAUUAACAUCCAACUAGUAUAGAGGACAAUCUUUGUUCACAACAACAGCUAGCAAGACUCUAACCGUAUUCAACUUAGCAACUGGAGAAAAAGUUUAUGGAUAGUCAAUACCAUAGGUUUGAGUAAAUCCCUUUGCAACUAACUUUGCCUUGUGUCUGUCAAGAGUACCAUCUGCUUUGUAUUUGAGAGAGAACACCCAUUUGCAUCCCACAAUUUUGUGUCCCUUGGGCAUAACACAAAUUUCCCAAGUUCUAUUCUUUUCAAGAGCUUUUAUUUCUUCCAUUACAGCAUUCCUUCAUUCAAGACACUCUAAAGCAAUGUAGAUAUUUUUCAGUAUUAUGGUAGAGUCAAGGCUUGGUGUAAAAGCUCUGAACUGUGGGGAGAGAUUAUCAUAGGAAACAUAGUUGCAAAUGAGAUAUUUAGUACAAGACCCAGUACCUUUUCUCAUAGCAAUGGGAAUGUCAAGAGAGUGAUCAUACUCAUCAAGUUUCUCUGUAUGACCCUGUUUAACCUUGUUCACCUUCAUUAUUACUAGUUUUUGUUCUAACUUCAAUCUCAUCACCACUAUUCUUUUCUUCCACAUUUUCAAGAACAGCAACAUCAAACAUGUCAUUCUCACUUAUCGUAUUAUUAAUACAAGGUUCAGUAGGAUUUUCCAUACCUUAAUCUUGAGGAGGUUCAGAGUCUUGGACUGGAGCCGGCGAUUGACUAAUAGAGGACCCAACUUCCUUUUUGAGAUUCCUUCUAUAAUAUGUUUUCCAAGGAACUUGGUUAGUGGGUAGGACUAUGGGAUGAGGAUUAAUGUCAAACACGAUACUAGGAGUAGGUUCGAUAAAUUCAAAGGUGUUAUUAGACUCUUCACCUAGACUCUCCCCCUAAAGAUGGCCAACGGGAAAGUAAGGUCGAUCCUCACAGAAAGUAACAUCCAUAGUGACAAAACAUUUCUUGGACUACAGGUAAAAACAUUUAUAACCACGCUGGUGAAGGGGAUACCCAACAUACACACAUUUGAUCUGAUUAGGGCCAACAUUAUGGACAUAAGCGGUACAAUCAAACACACGAAGAGGAACCUCAGAAACAAGACGAGUAGAGGGGUAGGACUCCUUAAGACAAAAUCUAAGGGAGUCUGAAGGUAGAGAAUAAAAUAAGGCAUUCUAUUGAUUAAAUAAGUUGCUGUAAGAAUAGCAUCUCCCCACAAGUAUGAAUGAAAGGAAGUAGAUAACAUAAGGGAACGGACUACUUCCAGAUGAUGACGAUUUUUUGCUGGACCACUCCAUUUUGCUGAGGAGUGUAGGCGCAUGAGUUUUGGUGAACAUUCCCCUUGGAGGCUAGAAAUUCACUAAGGUUACGGUUUUGGAAUUUUCGACCAUUAUCACUCACUCCGAAGAAUAGCAAUUUUUUUAUGGAAUUGUGUUUCAAUGGUGUGAUAGAAAUUUUGAAAAAUAGUGGAAACCUCAGAUUUAUCGGUGAUAAGGUUGACCUAGGUAAGACGGGUAUGAUCAUCAAUGAAAGUUACAAACCACCAUCUUCCAUAUGAGGUGGUGACCUUGGAGGGACCCCAAACAUCACUAUGGAUUAGGGUAAACAGUUGUGUGGAUUUAUAUGGUUGUGAGGGAAAAGACACUCGAUGUUGUUUUGCCCGAAUGCACACAUCACAAGAUAACAAGGAGACAUCGAUUUUAGGAAAAAGAUGAGAAAACAAAUAUUUCAUAUAAGUAAAGUUCAGGUGACCCAACCAAAAAUGCCACAAGUCAUGUUCAGAAGUGCUAAAAUAGGAAGACAGUAAACUAGUCCUAAAGAUGCUACUACUAGAGGUAUCAUCAAUGAUGUAAAGAGCAAAGAAGAAAAGGAUAAGAAAUAUUUAGGGUAAGUUUUCCAUAUAUACAAAUUUUAACAUGUACUUAUAGCUUCGUGGCAAGAAAAGGAAUAGACUUUCUCAAAGUCGACUAAACAAUUUAGUCUUCAUAAAAUAUAAUAGAGCACUAAAGUGUCAAUAUAAUAUUUAGGACAUUGUCGACCCCAUCUCUUUAAAAGAAAUCGACGCUAGUAAUGAAUGGUUGCUUGGAAGAAUGGAUGCAAUUCAAAUGAGGAGGAGGAUCUUGUUUUCGAUGACGAUUCUUUAACAUAGAGCAAUGUUUCUAAAGUUGCUAGAGCAAAUGAACCUGCCUAUUAUUCUAGAGAAGGUUCCUCAAGAACUAAGUCUAAAGACUAAGGCUUCAUGUUAAUCUUCAUCUUCCACACAACUACUGCCCCAACCCAUCCUCACACCAGUUAAUUUGGACGGAUGAAGAAGAUAUAGUUAUAAGUUGAAUAAAGAUGAAGACCUAUUUAGUGAAGAUGACUUCGAUCUUUUAGGAUUUUAGAAUUAUAUUUGUGAUUGUUUUUAUGCUGUUUCGCUUAACUUGUUGUUGAAUGACUAAUAUUUAAAUCUUAUAUAUCCUCUCUUUUGUACCAGUCUCAUUUAUAUCCAUCUAUCCAUCUAUGUUUUGGUUGUGUAAAGAAACAUGUGUAUGUGUAACUUGGAAAAAAACCGCCCACGCCUUUUUGUGUAACUUGCACCUACGCUUCUGAGGACCAUUGCGUCUUGGGCAUUUAGAGACAUUGCACACAAGAUUUUGAUUCUGAGAUAAAAAAGAGAAUACAUCUCACCAUCAGACUGAGGUCUGUCACUUUGAUGUUGUAAACAAAAAACAUAGAUCAUAAUCUCCACAACGCUAUAGAGAGGCUAUGCAUAUCAAUUUAUUUAGCAGUUUCCAUGUGACCCCAUUUCCCUAAUUCCAUGAACCAUGAAGAUUGAAGAUUUAAACCAGUUCUUUCUGAUAGGUGAGAGAAAAGCCAAACCCUCUAGGAAGAGUGUAAUUGAAACAUUUCUGUGGCGUCGUCCGUCAGUCUUGGCAAAUAGGUUUUUUCUUUUUUUUUUUGUAGAAAUCUUGGAGUGAGCAAAAUGGUCGCUGUUUCAAGAACUUUUCCUUACAUUACUUCAUGGAAUUGGUACUCUCUACUGUGUUUUUUUUUCUUUUUUUCUGGGGGGCGCAAAUUUAAACAACUUAUUGUCCAUUAAAGCUUUAUCAUAUUUAAUCUCCAAUUGAAGAGCACUGUUGAAAUCACCAAUAGGUGUUGGGGUUUUUACUCCCUCAUUUCAUCAAUUAAUGAAAUGGUUUCUUUUUCAAAAAAAAAAGAAAAAGAAAAAAAGAACCAAGGUAUAAUCGGGCAUAAGAACUCUACAAACACAGGAGAAAACAUAUUUGGUAAAUAACGAGAAAGACCAACCAAAAAGCUACAGUAAGAGGGAACGAGGAACAUGAUAACUAAUGAGUAAUUAUAUUACAUCAACAUACAAAAUCCAGUUACAACUCUAGUUUGAAAGAGAAGGAAAACUGUGUGCCCAACUAUCUUGGUAACCCAUUAUGCAAGCAUUUUUUUUCUAAUUUGAACAAUGAAAAUGGAUAACUAGAAAAGCUUUCUAACCGUGCUUUAUAAACUCAACGAGAUUCCCAAUCCUUCAACUUCUUGCUCCCUUUAGGUUUUGUAAUUGGUGCAUUCAUUCCAGCCAUUUUUGCAUUGUAUUUUGCCCGAAGAGGAUCGUUAUAGGUCCAACUGCAUGACAGUAACAACUGACGUUAGUCAACCAGCAGAAUAACUUCGACAUGAAAAACACACUACAAACAGUAGAAUGAAGGCAAAAAAACAAACAAAUAGAGAAGAUUGCAAAUAGGGCAUUGUUCUAAUCAUAUCUUUAUAUUCUCUUCUAGAAAUAUAAACAAACUAAAAGCCUCAAUAUUGAUAUUAAACUCAGGCUGCUCAACACGUCCAUACCUCAAGCUCAUACUAAAAAAAUUUCCAAUCAUUCUCUACUUAACAUGCACUCAAACAUAAGUAGACAAAGGAUCAGAAGCUUUUGUAAUAGAUCGUAUUGUACUUAAUCUAGAUAUAAACUCAAUUAAGAAACCAAAAUUGAUAUUGCAAUAAUUUACUAUAGGAAACUGAGAAGCAGAAAGCAGACGAAGUUAAAUCAACUUACGGGUUGUUCCAGUCGGUUGUAUCUUCAUUGACAAGAUGCGUCCAUUUUGUUCUCCCACUGCGCCCAAAAUGCUUGACCUGCAUAACCUUCGGCAAUAUUGUCUUGUCCAUUUUAUCUUCUCCAGUUGGGGAAGAGAAAUCACGAUGGAAAAUAUUAUCAGAUCCAGCAGUUCCAGCAUUAUCAUCAGCAUCUUCCUGGAAGAAUGCACCCUUGUGGUAAUAUUUCUGCAUAAACUUCCACUUCUGCUUAGGUGGUGGAGCAGGUUUCGGAUUCUUCCUCUCCCAUUCUCUCCUCUCUUCCUCGGUCAUAUUUCUCACCUUCUCAAUCUCCUCCCUCUCCUUCAACAUUGCAUCUCGAAGUUCUCUAUCCCUCUUGAUCCUAGCAAUCUCUCUAACCUUCCAAGCCUCAUAUUCUUCUGCUUCAUUUAUUUCAUCAUCAGUAUCUACAUCUGCAAUAUUGGCCUCCAUUUCCAAAUUCUUCUGGAUCUCUUCAUCCUUUCUAAUCUCCUCAACCACAAUGUGCUUUGUCUCUGCCUUCCUUUCCUCCAAUCUCCUUUUUCUCAAUUCUUCAAGAGACCUUUCCUCCUCUUCAAUACGCUCACGUUCAGCAAUAGUUUCUCUCUCUGAUUUAGGAACAAAGAUUGGCUUCACCAUUGCUAUACCAGUAGGUUCAUCUUCAGAGUCAGUUUCAUACUCAGACUCCUCUUCUUCCUCUUCCUCUGGCUCCUCCUCCUCUUCUUCUUCAGGAAAUGCAGCUUCUUCUAGCUCCCUUUGUCGCAACUUUUCCUUGAUUCUUCUUCUUCUUUCCUCCAAAGCAUCCUCAUCCUCUUCCUCUGCAUCUAAUCCCUCCUGCCUCCGAGUUUCCUCUUCAAUGGUUGAAACAAUCUCAGCUUGGCGAAUACGUCGAUGAUCAGCUCUAAUCUCCUCCCGAUUAUCUAUCCUACUCUCAGCCAGACGGCGCAACCUAGGGUCAUCCUUCCUAGAUAUAUCUGAAUCUUCCUGCCUAGGAAAUGCUUUCUCAAGAGCUGCUGCCCUGGCCAUCCUAAUAUCGCCAUCUUCAUCGGCAUCAUCCGCCCACUCGGGAGCCUUUCCAGGCCAGUACCUCUUAACUUUUGUUUGUCCAAUUUUACCUCUAAGUUUGUCUCUAACAGCAAUUACAGUAUCACUAACCCCCGCCGUGACCGACAUUGUUAAUCGGCUAAAUUUCCAGAAGCAAAAGAUACACCAAAAGAAAAAAAGAAUUUUCUCCUUUUCAACUUAAAAAUUCACAAUUCGAUGAAGCUAAACCUGAAACCCAAUAAUGAAAUAAGUGCAGAGUUAAACAUAGAGUCUCCAAGCUCCCUAUAUUAUGACAAUGUCGUUAAAAUCGUAUGAUUCGAAAGGAAAAUAAGGGAAAACGAUAGCACUCGUAGAAUUGGAUCGGAAAUUAGACGUACCGUACGAUUCAAAUUUAAUCGCACGAACCGUCAUGAAUCGCAACUUCGCGAUUCAAGAACCGAUAAAUCAGAAGGAAAAAAAAUUAAAAACCGUCAUAGCAUGGUGUUUAGGGGUUGCCGGUGUGCUAUUGGAGAUGAAAAUUAAUGAAAACUUCAUGGUGAGGACUUCUCGGAAGAAAGAAAAAGAAAGGGGAAGAUCAACAGGGUUCUUUAUCUCUUUUUUUGAGUACAAAAUGUAAAUUGAAAAGUUGUCCAAACAGUUAAAAUAAGCUUCAACACAAAUUAAGCAAAACCCUAUACAAUCACAACGAAAACUCAACCUCCCUUUGUGAUAAAGGAAAACUCGAAACAGGAACAGGGAUGAAAGCCCAUAGCAUUUCUCAAUUAAACGCGCGUUGGAAACCACAAAGAGGGCGAAGGAUAAAAAGUAUGGUGAAAUUUCAGGCGGAAAUAGUCUAAAGUUAGAAAUACCUUCAAAGUUUUGGUCUGAAGUUGAGUAUAAGGGAGUAUCAGAGUUGAAGAAAUCCGAUCCGAGCAACGAAGAAAAUGGUGGGAGGGAGAAAUGGCGGAGGCAAGUAAUGAAAGCAGUCCGGAUCCUCUGAAAUCGAUAAUUUGUGAGAUUUUUUAAGAAUCAGGUAAAGGGGUAGAGGAGAGGAAAGUAUUUUUCUAUUUUCGUUCUUCUUUUUUUUUUUACUUUUUUAUCGACCUAAACUGUAGUGUUGACAACGAGAGAAAAUUAUUUUGAAAUUUUUAGAACAUCUCAUUCUUUUCAACCUAAAACACAUUAUCAUUUCAUUUCCUCUCUAAACUCUUUAACCUUUUUAUUAGAAAAAUAAUUGGGUUGAAUAUAUGGACGAUCAUCCUCAAAACUUACCGAUAAAAAGAAUGGCUUGCUCCUUAGAUUAUAAAGAAAACUAUCAUUUUGUUCACGUCACUUCAAUGUCUAAUAUUAGUAACGUGUAAGGGAUGUUUUACUCAUCACGAAAAGAAGGCAGCCUUGUCAUGUUGUCUCAUGUAAGUGCACAAGUAAAGAGUUAGACUCUUUAGAGAUUUUAUGCCCAUAUGAAAUAGUUGUAGUUAGGUCGAGAAACAUUACUUCUAAGUUUAACAACCUUUACAAUCUGGAAUGAAUCUCUCCUACAUAUUUUGAACUCAUAUUACCAAUUAAGCAUGCAUCUAAACGGAAAAAACUAACAAAAUACAUGUAAAAAGGUAAUCCUCCAACUUAAAAAGUACUUAGUGUUGAUCGGUCAGAAGUCAACCAAAUUCCAUUAGUUCAAUAUUGUUCAUUCCAAAGUUACGAUAAAUGUGGUAAUCUUGAACGCAAUUGGCUUCAUGCAACCAAUCAUUAUCAACUACUAGAAAUAACGAAUGACAGAGAUAUAGAUAACAUAUUGUUACUUCUUUUACCAAGCAAUUUUUAUUGGUGAAUGUUACAUGUGUAUAUAUAUGAUUUGAAUUUUAAUAAAAUUAUGAUGCUUUUAAAAAUUUUAAGAGAGUUGCGAUAAAAAUAUUGUAGGAAGUGGACACCUACUAAGAUAAUUGAGGAAGUAGUGAGAAAAAAAGAAUAUUGGGAUAGACGUUUACAUCCGAAUAGGGUCAUGACUUUUUGUGAUGAGUGAGACGUCCUUAAUGCAAUAUCAAGUACCUAGCGGCUAACUGCUCUAGGAUAUAACCAAAAGAUUAGUUUUUUAGGAGUUUAUCAUUCUUCACUAACGUGUUUCGAGAGGGCCACAUGUACAAAAAUUCAAACGAAUAACCCUUAAACAUGGAUUUUGUCACUAUUUGUAAUGAUCUAGUUUUUGUACUUCUAGAUAUGUAAUGUCUUGUCCUCUAAAUCGCAAGGAUUAUUAUCAUUAAUGAUUUUUGUAUAUUAUCAUUUGUAAUAAUUUAGUCCCAUUAGAAAAAUGUUAUAAAAUUUAAUGGAACUUUUUACACAAAUUAAUACACUCGCUAUGACCAAUUUUGUUUAAAUUUAAAAACAAAAAAAAUCAAUUGAGUUGUUUGUAUAACACGGCAUUUAGGUUUGAAAUGAUAUUUCACAGCAAGGACUACACGAUACGAUGCUAUAUGUAAUUAAAAUUGUUAAUUGCACACAUGUUGUGUAAAAAAAGAAAAUCAUGUUUGAUAACUAUUUUUGUUUUCAUUUUACUUUAUUUUAAAGAAAAUAAAAACAAUAACCAUAUUUUCGUUCUUUAUAUAUAUAUAUAUAAACAAACGGAAGCAAUUAUUCUUAAUCGACAUUUUUGUCUACUACCAUAACUUAAAAUGUUUUGAUUGCUUCCGUUGGUUGAUUUUGUUAACAUGUCAAAGACAUUGGCAACAACAUUGAGACCGUCAAGCAACAACUUUAGCAAAAGAUUAUUUCCAUAUACAAUUGCAUUGAUUAGUAGAUUCCGUAGAUUUAUAUCUUCAACAGUUUUUUCUUUCCUUUUUCUCAUGUAAGAAAUAUUUGUUUUCUCCUAAAUUAAUAUUCUCUAGGUUAGUUAUAUAUUUGUUACUCUUUUCAGUUUUGGGGUUAAUCGUCUCAUUAGAAAAGUGUGUGCAUUGAACGUUUUUAACUUAAAGUUUGUCUAUGUCUCAACCUUCAUAUUUUGAUAUUGAAAACCCUUGUAUUUGUUAUGUUGGAACUUUUGGUUAUGUAGCCAUUAUAGAAUUUAGAAAGAAUUCGAUAUUGAUGUUGUAUUUAGGGAGAGCCUAAAUAUAUAUAGUGAAUGUGAGGUUAGGGGAAGCCUAAGCACACUCUAUUGAAAGAUCUCACAUAAAGCUUUGAAGAAGCAUUUUGUGGGAAAGAGGGGAGCUAAACUUAGAAGGACCUUAAGUUGAAACGUUAGAGAGCAAGCUAUACGGAAGUCACUAAAAAUGGAUUUUAUCAUAUAAGUACUUCUGUAAUAAUUGCUAAACUCUAUAAUAGUGAAGUUUCAUUUGAAUAGGCACGUUGUCCCGCAAACGUAGGUGAUUUUGUACCGAACUAGGUUACUAAUCUAUGCGUCAUUACUUUUUAUGUUUGCUUUUAUAACAACCCCUUGUCAGAUAUAUUGUCUGUAAUAUCGUACUUAACAUAAUGUCUUUUGGAUCCAUCUAUUUUUUCCAUUUUAAAUGUUUGAAAGUAAUAUCAAUCAAAUAGAUAAAUAAUCAAAAUUUUGUGUCUAAAAAAUGUAAAUAUAUUAAGAAGAUGUAAACAGAUAUUGAUAUUGAUAAAAAAAAAAUGUCUUUUACUUUAAUUUGGUUAAAAUCUACUACGCUCUUGAUUUGAAAAAAUUAUAUUUGUUUUUCAAAUUAAUUUAUUCAUUAGAUAAUAACUAGUAAAGAUUGAAUCUGCUUUUAAACAAAUUUUAUUUUAAGUUUCAAUAUCAACGAGAAAUUCACUUGUCUUUGGGAAAAAGAAAAACAUAUUCGAGCUAAAAUUUAUUUGAUUAAUUGAUUAAAAUGAUAUCUCGUCGUUGCACUAACUAAAAAUAAGAAAAUAAAAUUUUAAGAUUCUAUCAAUCACUAACUAAAAAUAAGAAAAUAAAAAUUUAAAAUUCUAUCAAUAACAUGGAUUGAUGAUAGACACAAUAUACUUCUAUUAAUAGCAUUGAUAGAAAUAAAAUUGAAAACAAAAUAUUUUUUUGUUUACGAAACAUGCUCUUAUUAGGAUAGAAAGAUGCUACAUAAUCCAUGUAGUUUUACUAAUUCAACAAUUCAUCGAGAUUGGUUAAACAAUACUAAUAACUUUCAAUGCAGAAAGAUACAUAGGUGAAUAGUAAAAAUGCUACUAAAAAAUUAAUAGUAAAAAAUUGCAACUAAAUUUAAAAUUUGUUGAAGCUAGUAAUGACUGAAAAUAUCAAACAAAUGAAGUGUUGUAACUUAAAAUAAAUCUACAAGUUUAGAACCAACCAAAGUAGUUUUUGUUUACUUUUACCAAGUACCAGAUGGACUGGUGCUUUAUUAAGCUAAAAUCAACAUCAGAAAAUAGCUUACCUAAAAUCUAUGUUAAAUUCAAUACAAAAACAAAUAAAACUAAUAUUAAUGGAAAUCAAAACAUAACAAUUUAAAAUAUAAAAUCAAAACAAAAGAAACCUUGAAAACUUCUAAGUUAAUGCAACCAAUUGCUUCCUUCAUGUAGGCAAAAAUUCAGAAAUAGGAUUAAAUUAUAAUUUUGAUCAUUUUACGAGUUGGAAUUUAAUUAACGUGUGGUUUUAAGAGUUAGAAUUUAUAAUCCAAACAAUUUGAUAAAAUCGUAACAUUAUUUCUACGAUAGAAAUUAUUAAUAAAGAUUUUUGUGAAACCAUGAAGACUAAAUUCUAAUUAUAAACUAUAAGAGCUACGUUUCCAAAUUAACCAAACAACAAAUACCAGCAAGAAAAAGAGGAGAAAGAAACAGCCCAUUUUCUAAUAUGGGAGCAUGGCCUCUCUUCUCUAUCAGUGAUACAAAAUGACUUGGAAGUUUUUUUCUCCCAUGUAAGAUUCAGUUCAAAUCCGUCAAAGUGCAGCUUCAAGUUCCCCAAUAGAAAAAACCUAAAGGAGGAUGAACAGCCAGAGUACCAUACCAAACUGACCAAAGAAGAUAAAAUAAAUACAUCAGAUUAACUUGAUUCAAUGUCACAGCAGAUCUAUGAACUUACAAUUGCUUUUCCUGAAUCAACUGAAACUGCCUAAUUUCAGGCUCUACUUUUCUUCUCUUUAGCCGAAUGUUGAAAUGAGGAAAGUCUUGUAUAUGCUCAUGAACUUCGCCACAAAAGCUGCAUCAUCAGACAAAAAAAAUACUUCAAAAAUCAAGACUGACAGAGCCAAUUUUGCCUUCUUCAAGAUUUGUAUUAACAAAACGUUAGAACAUAAAGAACUUGAGACAAGAAAUCUUUUUACAAAUGUAUAAGGAGAUAAGAAUAUUAGAACGGUAGAAUUAAGAGAUAUAAGUAAUUAGACAGAAUAUUAUUGAAUAUGUUACUGAUCUUACUUCUAGUUAGGAAGUAUACCAACAAAAUGUCAGAGCAUGAAAAGUCAAAUUCAUGAUAUAAAAGCAUGCAUUAUCAAAACUCACUACUCUAAAGUUGCAGGUAACAAUUUCUUUUUUGGUUUAACAUGGAUAGCCGAACAUAUCCAAACCAUCAAAUUGUAUGGUAGUAUCUAUCCAUUAUUUGAUGGAUUCAAGGUUCUCACAAUGAAAUUAUGAUUGUGGCUAAGUUAGCCAGGCUAACUAAUAGAACCAGAGGAAGUAAGAAGAACACAGAAGUUAUAUUUUUGUGUAAUAACAUUUACUCCAUGCUAUGUGUAUUCUAAAUACAUUUACCUUCUAUGUGGAAGAUGGCUUUCUGUCCAAGACGCAUCCUGUGUUCCUGGAAAAAGAGUUAACCAAAGAUGAAAAAUCGGACAAAAGGUGAAACUCUAUCCAACCAUCUUUCAUCUUUUUUUUUUCUUUUUUCAUAUCCACCAAGUAUCUGGACCAGCUUACACGCACCUCGACUAAUCUCACGAAACAGCCCGCACUCUACAACAUUUGGGUGUCAAGAAAACUUGUAGAAAAUUAAUUUCCUAAGAAGGUGGACACCAUGGAUUGAACCAUGACCUCUUAAUUAGUUAUUGAGACUUUCUCCUAUUUUUACUACUAGGCCAAUCCAUGAUGGUUUAGCCAUGUCUCAUCUGUAAUAUCAUAUUGCUGAAUUAAUGCAUGUAGAUAUAUAACGCACUAUAGUAUUCAGAAAUUAUACAAACAUAAAUGAGUAGAUGAUUCUUCUUAUGUGAUUGUGAUGGUAAUUUAGCCAGACGUCGUUUAGGAACAAAUUGUCUAUGGCAUGGAAAAUUGGAAAUGAAGUGAAGUGCACAAACCAGUUCACUUUUCAGUAUUUAUUCAAUGAUAUUAGACAAAGUUGGAAAUUGAAGCGUGCUUGAAAGUAAAUAGUUGUGAAAAUGAAAUGACGAAGAUCUGAAAAGUAAAUAAUUCCCGACUUGUAAAACUAUGGGCUAGAUAAGGUUGAGAUUAAAACAUGGUUGAAAUUAUACAGACUAAUAGAACCAGAGGAAAAAAGAAAGACGUAUAUGGUUAAAAUUCUUCACUUCGUUGCUUUUAUCAAUAUCCAUCAUAGAUCUCAAUAUAAGUUUGUUUUAUUCAAUGCUCAGAACCUCUCCACCCAUCAAUAUUCAGCAAAUUUAACACAGGUUCUUAAAGUGCUUUGGAGGCGACACUUAAUUGGUGUUUCUUUCAAAAGUAAAGAAAAAUAUUUAAUUUUGAAAAACUAGUCUUCAAUAUGUCCACAUACAUUCAAUCUAUCAAGUGUAGGAUCUAAUCUGUUAGUUAGUUAUGACCAAAAAAUUCGAGAAAUUGCAAAACAAGAAAAACAUGGAGAACUUGAUAUUAGAAAAAGAGGACAAAUUACUUCAAUGAUAUUGGAAUCAAAAGUUGAACAAUAAAAAAAGAAUUUAAACGAAUUGAGAGGCCAAAAUUCAACUUACAUAAUAUGCAGCCCAAUGACAGACCUCAUGCUUUAAUUCAGCAUCCAAUUUCUUGAGUAACUCAUAAAGCAAUCUCUGAGUAAGUAGAUAAUAUGAGUAUCACAUUAAAACAGAAAAAAAUCAAUAGAAAUUGGGGAAGAACGAUUACCUUCAAUAUGAUCUCCGGAGGGAUACAAUUAACCAGUAACUCAUAUAACUUCCCACGGACCUGGAAUAAUCUAAAACGCAAAAAAAUAAUGUCCAUUUAUUUCAGACUUCACACAAUUCUCCAACUAGUUAUAUGACAGUUAAAGUAGUUAUUAGUUCUCCACAUAUAUAUUUCUAUUAGGCAGUUGCAACUUUUCACAUUUCUACAACUCUGCUCGACAAAAACAAAAGUCAAGAACAUGUGUCUUUUUUACCAAACUUUCAUUGAGAAAAAAAUGAAAGAAUACAAGAGGCAAACCAAGAAAAAAAUAACAAUCCCCAAAAUCCUAACGGUUAAUUACAAAAGUCCUUACACACAGAAGCAAAAAAGGGGACUGUGGGACACUAAACUCCCUCCCUAGAAUGCUCCACUCUUCCAAAAAAAGGUAUCAUUUCUCUCACCCCAAAGACACCAUAACAAAGCACAAAUGCCAUUCGUUAACAAAAUCUAGCUUUUCUCACUAAAGGAGAGAUGAACCAAGGGCUCAAUGCGAUCAAUGCCAAACUCUAGGCCCAACCACCCUGAGGCCAAACGAUUGAAAUAAACAAGUCUAGACAGCCAAAGCAUAAUCACGGGACCACCAAAGAUGAUCAAGAUCCUCAUUGCUUCCUCAAAAAGGUCAACAAGGAGAGGAAUCUUCAUUCAUUCAAUUCAUGACCAAACCAGACAGAGAUCACCAUAAUCAAGGAGGAUACCAUCCACAGAAGUUCAAGGAUUGCUUAUCUUUAUGUAAUUAUUUGUUAAUGAAAAAUACUAGCACGGCAUAUUUUAAGAAUCAAAAGCAGUUUGAAUGACAAUGUUAGAGACGUACCCAACUGAUGUGUAUGAAAACCACACAUAUAUGAUAUUGAGAUGUAUGUUAUAGUACAGAAUACAACAAAAAAAGGUACAUGAGGUACCUUUUGGGACUCUGCUCCUUCAUUAUUUCAGAUGCUAUCUCAGUGAUGUACUCCUCCCAAUCCAUUGGUGGUAUUGCCUGGUUGCUGACAAAAGGAUACCUAACCCAAAAAAUAAAAUAAAUAAACAGCUCAGUCCCAAUCCUUAAAGAUUGUUUACCAAGGUAAUUUUUUAUGAUAAGAAGUGAGAGAAACUUAGAUCUGUAAGAGGCCCAGUGGAGACUAACUGUUGAACACGGCAAGUCUCAAAUGAUAGUAUAGCUCUCCUCAAACUCCUGUUUGAUUUUUCUGCAAUACGGGAAGCAAAUCCAGAUGGAAGUUGCAGUCCUUCUUUCUUUCCAAUGUACUCUAAAACCUUGAAAAUCUGGUGAAAGGACGUAACUUUUUCAACAGCUUUCGAAUCACUACAAUAACAUUUUUAAACUUUCAACAAAUACUUUUGAAGACUAAGUUUUCAGGUAAAUGUAAACCACGCCAUGAAAGAGGAAACAGGCUUUCCACUGUCCACAACUUGCAAAUCAAAAGUCUUGAUCCACUUAAUCCACUAACGUAAUUUUUCCUUCUAGUCUAAAAUCUUUGGGUACAUAUAUAGGUAGAAUAUAUUACACGACAACUAAAGGCAGGAGCUACUGAAUAUAUGCAUCACUAGAAAAGGCUUUAAAUUGUUUAAAAGCAUAAAACAAAAAUUGAAAAUGGCAGUGAAUUUUCUUAUCCCAAAAAAACAAAAACCGGGUGAACUGCUUGGUUUUCUGACAGCAGCAUUGGUACCACUAACUAUACAAGGUAAGCAUUUGAAAAGGCAUUCUUUGACCUACUUACAUUUAAAUAUUAAGUUAAGACACCCAGAAAAUUGUUGCCCAUAGACUGCCAGAAUAACAUAUUGAAGAAUAAUUAGGUCAAUCACUGCCACAGAUAGGGAAGGUUUUCAUCCUUUAUUAAUAUGACGUCAGUUUACAAUAGUUGUCUGACUCCAAGUUCUUAGUCGAAUAACAAAUUGAAUGUGGCUAAAAUUUAUAAAUAAUCACACUGGUUAGGACAUGACAUUUUAUUACGUUCUUCCAGUCCAUCAUUUAGUUUACUCAAAUUCAUACCUCAGAACAAAAAGGAAAUAAGACAUUACAAAAAAAAAAAGAAAAAACUAUCCUGACCUGCUCCUCUGUAGGUCCAUUUAUCCGCACAUUUAGGCAGCGAGAGCGGAUUGCUUCAGUAACUCUUGAUGAACUAUUGCAGCAAAGAAUUAACCUACAGUACGAGCUAUAUUUCUCCAUUGUUCUCCUAAGAGAGUGCUGAGCUUCUCUUGAUAGUUUAUCAACAUCAUUUAGAACCAAAACUGAUAAAUGACCAGCACUAAAAAUCUCAAUAUCUUAUAGAGAUAUAUAAUCUUGCACAUACAAGCAUACUGGUAAAUAAAACAAGAUCCCAAACAAGCAAUAAAUCGAUAUUUUACUGGUUUGUUAGUGAGAUCAUUAACAUUUUUAAGCAUUAACCACAAAGAAUAAAUAAGUUCUCGGGCAUAAACAACUGAUAAAUAUGGUUGGAGGGGGUGAGGAAAAAUGAACACCUUUAUGUCCUCUUUUCCCUUUGGAAUCAAUUGGUCUGUUUUUUGCCAUUUCUUUGAUUAUCUCUUGAACAAUAUACCUAUCUUGGAAACCUGCAUCACUAGGAGUGAGCUCCACAUGGUUGGCACUUGACAAGGUUGUCAACUCUAUAUCAAUAGUUCUGGUUCCAGCCUGAGAAGAAAAAGAAAGGGCAUAGAAACACAGAGAGAGAGAGAGAGAGAGAGAGAGAGAGAGAGAGAGAGAGAGAUGGUGAUAAUGAUGAGAACAUAAAGUUAUACAGCCAAAUAACAUCUUCAACAAGUUAAAUUUUUAUGCUAAUCUAUAACAUUCUGAACUAGUAAUCAUAUCAACAGACAACUAGAAGAUCUCCUUUCCCAGAAUCUGAAUUCAAUUACUUUCAUACACAUGUGAAAGGAGAUGGCAUCACUAAGGACAAAUUUGGUAACCAUUUGGUUAUUGGUUUUUGGUUUUAAGUUUUUGAAAAUUAAGUCUAUACACAUCCCUUCCACCUCUAAACUUCUUACCUAGGUAUCUACUCUCCACCAAUGUUUCCAAAAAUCAAGCCAAAUUUUUAAAACAAAAAAAGUAGUUAUUUAAGAACUUGUCCCCUUUUAUUGUAAAUUCAACUUUUGUAUCAAUCAUUGUCAUAAACAACCGAAACUUACAUCAACUUUCCACGUUUUGUUCUCCACCUUCACCUGCAGGCAAAAGGCAAGAGAUGAUAAAACACAACAAACAGACAGAACAACGAUCACAAAGUUUCCCAGACAGAAGAAUAAACAUCAAGAUUCAAUACCUUAUCCGCACUGGGUCCAAACAUCUGCCGGAUAAGGGCCAUGACUAGGGUUUUCUUCCCAGAACCGGAGGGGCCAUAAAAGAGCAAAUGAGGGCAGUCCUGUUCAUUAACCUAGGAGAAAAUUUAUGGAAAACCCACAUCAAAAAACGCCAAAUUGAAGUAUGAAAUAAGGAAUGCAAGGGAAAAAAAAAACAACGAAAACCAGUUACCAAUUUCUUGAGAUUCUGUGCUACAUCUUGGUGAACUGUGAUCUGGUCUAGGGUUUUUGGACGAUACUUGUCGACCCACAACAUCUUCUCCGGUCUAUGGAGAUUUGAGAGUGUGGAGAGAGAAAAAAGAAGUGUGAGUGAAAGAGAGAGCGAAGGUUUAGGCGAGGCUUGAAAUGGCGGGAAAAAGAAACAGAACUGAUGGUUGAUGAGGAGGGGGAAACGAAAUCCCCAGUAGUCGCACUCAACUUUGACCCUUUUUUUUGUUUUCUUUUUAAGAAAAAUUUUAAUUUAUACCCUCCAAUCUGAUUUGUUUUUUUAGUACUUAUGUUAUAAUAGUUGUAGUUUGUAAUCAUAUUUUAUUUCAUACGAGAUUAUCCUUAGAUCUUCAUAGAUGAGGACAGCUCUUUAGUGCUAGCCCAAUAAGCCUAUCAUUUCAAGGGUAAGAUGUAAGACGAAGUUCAUUCUUAUCGGUUUUAGGGUUCGUAGAUAAGUUGUUUCCUUAAGGACUGAAUUCAAGUCUUGGGAAACGAAAUCCCCAGUAGUCGCACUCAACUUUGACCCUUUUUUUUGUUUUCUUUUUAAGAAAAAUUUUAAUUUAUACCCUCCAAUCUGAUUUGUUUUUUUUAGUACUUAUGUUAUAAAAGUUGUAGUUUGUAAUCAUAUUCUAUUUCAUACGAGAUUAUCCUUAGAUCUUCAUAGAUGAGGACAGCUCUUUAGUGCUAGCCCAAUAAGCCUAUCAUUUCAAGGGUAAGAUGUAAGACGAAGUUCAUUCUUAUCGGUUUUAGGGUUCGUAGAUAAGUUGUUUCCUUAAGGACUGAAUUCAAGUCUUAAACAAGGGGCUCCACCCUCUCAUUGGCCUAAGAGGGAUUCGGCUUAUAGGUUGAACCUUAAACCAAGUGUUCGAUAGUGAAUCAGUAGAACUUAUGGAGCAAGAUGUAGUCUCAUGGAUAAAACGGUAUUUUGAGCCAACUGAGGUUACGAACGACCUGUGAAAGAUUGACUUAAUGAUCAUAGUUUUAUCAAAUGGACACAAAUAUAUCUAUAGUAAGGGGAGUGCAACUACGAGACUUUAGUGGAAUGGUCUGUUAGUUAACGAAUGUUGAUUAACUCAAUCUAAAAGAGUUUAGCUAGUCAAUCUCGAAUCGUUGGAACUCAUGAUCUAUAGGUCCAUUAGGUUCCUCUGCUAGCUUUUAUGGAAUAAACUUAUAAUAGUAUGAUGGAAUAAGUCGAAUUGUUCAAAUUGAGAGAGGAGAAAGAAACCGACAAGUAUAUGGUGAUAUAGUCAUCGAAUUUUAGAAUAAGAGAUAAAGUUUUAUAUUUAAAUGAGAUUUAAAUAUUAAAGAUAUGAAUGCAAAUUGAUACUCAAAAGCUCGAAAAUGAUGGAAAUAGUCAAAAUUGUAAAAAAUCAAAAUGUUGAAAAGUCAAACUUUGACCGGCGAUAUAUUCAAAUGUGAUUUGAAUCUUGAGAAAAUAAAUGUGGAUUUGUGCUCGGGAGGUUGAAAUUAGUCAAGUUAGAUAAAAUUGUAAAAAGUCAAAAUGUUGACUUUUGGUUUGAAAAGUCAAAGUUUGAUUUUGUGCCAAAUGACAAUUUUGCCGUUUGACCAAAGUUAGUGGAAAAAUCCAACAUUUUGUUGAAUGAUCUCACUAACUAUAGUAGACUAAGUGUUAGCACACUACGAAGACAAUAAACCCACUAAUGGUUAGUGGGUUAUGUGUUGUUGGCGCAUGAGCUUACAUGCAUAUGAAACUUUGCAUGUGAUUUCUUUAUAAAAUGAGCUCUAUGGGUUUUGUUAAAAUCAGUUGGAUUUUUUAGUAUCAAAUAUGUCGGCUACUUCUUUUUCCUUUGUAAUUUUUUUUUAAAAAAAAAAACAAACCAAAUUUCAAGUCCAACCCUAUUCCUUCAUUUUUUUUCAUUAUUUUCUCUCUCAAUUUUCUUCAUCUAAUGGGUCCCACAACCCAGUUUUGAGUUUGAAGGAUAGUAGGUCAACUCUAGGGGUGGUGUAGGCAAAAAAAAAAAAAAAAAAUGAGAGCUUCGAAUGUAAGUUUUCUUAAAAACCCUAAUUUCAUUUUAUUUUUCGGUUUAGGGUUCCAUGUUAAUUAAGUGUAAUUAUGGUAGAAUUAUGAUCCGGUUUUGGCCGUCGUUUUUUUAUUUUCAUCGCGUGGUAUUAGAGCAUGUUUAAAUUUACCCAAUUGCAUGUGGUGGGUUCCAUUUUAUUAGAUAAAUUAUGGUUGAACUAAAAUGGAUAUAUUAUGAUUUUGGCCCUAAAUUAAGUGUUUUUCUAUAUUAAUUAUUGUAAUUGGCCAGAUUUUGUGGCUUAAUGAAUAUUGUGAAGGGUUUGUGUUUUUUUAAGAGUCGGUAGUGUUGAAUAUUAGGCUGUAAUUAUUUCACUGGGAGAGAGAAAAGUUGAUUUUUGAAGAAAUUUCAAAGACGGACUUAGAAAAGCCCUUAAGACCCAGUCUAGAUCCAUUAGGAACCCGACUAUAAAGUCGGCCCUCUUACACGUGCCCAACUAGACCCAGUUUGCGUGUCAUCUGACCCACAAGCAUGUCUGUCCUAGCUCACACCUCGCGCACGCAGCCCACAUGCGAGUCUAGUCUGACCCGCUCUGCGUACUUGUCAAAGCUAUUUCUUCGACCUGUGCGCGUCUAGUGGCCUACUUUGGUGGAUUGAGCUGGUUCAAGUCUAAUUGUUGGGUCUUAGCCGUUCAAGAUGGUUUUGGCCUGAUUCAGUGUAGAGUUGAUGUUUUUCCAGCCGGUUUGGGGUUGUUCGAGAGUGGUUUAUGUACUACAUCAAAUUAUUAAUGUAAUAAUUAAGAAUUUAAUUUAAUCUAGGGGUCAAAAUCAGUCUUUUUUAGGGUGUUUAUAAUUAAAUUAUGCAUGUGAUGUAUGUUUUAAUUAUUUUAAAUUUGUAUGUACAUAUUGUAUGUCAUAUAGAUAUAAAAUCCCACCAUGUUAUAAUGUUUAUAAUAUAUAGUACGCAUGUUAGUUAAUUAAUUAAUUAAUCUAAUUAAUUUUGAUUAAAUUUGAUUUAAUGAAUAAUUUUUUAUUUAUUUAACAUAACUAAUAUGAUUUAAUUAAAUGAUAAAUAAAUUAAAUUCUAUAUUAAUUAAUUAGUUUUAUAUAAUUGUUAUAUAUGGUUGUUAGAUGUGUGUCAUAGAUUAGUAUAACAAAGAUACGUUGCAUGCUUACCUAGGUUAAACAUAUCUUCCAAUCUUUUCAUAGAAAUAGGUCGAUAUCUUGUAAAUCCGAUUACAAGAUGCUCACCUGAUUCGAUCUUGUCAACAAGUCAGAUAAGAUGGCUAAGGUUGGAGGUUCUUAAGUUGACGGUUUAUAAAACACCCCUUACCUGGAGAUUGUAAUAAGUUCCUGAGCCUAGUUAACCUAGUUUUAUGAGCAUGCAUGAGAGAUUUGAGGUAAUAAAAAUUGGUUAUGGCCUAGACAUUGUAGGUUAAAAUCCGCUAUAAAGGUUAUGCUCAAUGUUUUUCUAGACUUAUGAUUUGUUUAAGUUAGCUUAAAUAUAAAUCCCAAAGUCUUAAAUUACUCUUAGAAACCGUUAUAGAACACUUCAGCUAGAGAGAAGUAAUGUACUUUUAGCACUAACGUCCCUAAGAGUUCACACGGUGAGUUCCAUGUAGGGCUUUGGGUUGUGUAUAGGAGCAAACUCCCUUCGGAGAAUGUUUGUAUGGAUCAAUAUCAAGGUGAAUAGGGGAAGUAGUUCAUAGUAAGUGAGAGAGAGAUAUGUGACAACACAUCCCACGAUCUCUUUCAUUAGGUGGCACUGUGAGAUUCCUAUAAUGCACAUGCUUGUCUGCCUUAGAGCGAUGUUCCCUUCGGAGGGUGGUAUUAUAGGAUUCAGAACAUCACAAACUUCAAAUAUGGAUAAAUUUUCUUAGAUCAGUUUUCAUAUUGACUUUCCACUUACGGAAGCAUGUUGAUUUUGAUCUAUGAGAUCCGAAAAUGACAGGUUACACUCACAAGAAUUACUAAGUUGUUAGUACAUUCUUGACCAAAGUAGCGAUAACUAAGUCCUAUAAAGAAUAAACAAUUAUUCUAGAGUUAGCAUCUAAGCAAGAUUGUCUUGGUUCAAAGGAGGAAGUAAUCCACUACUCUUUGAUGGAGGUUGUUCUAAGGGAAAUUGCAUUAGAUGAUAAAAAAAUUUAGAAAAAAACUGUUCAUAACAUCUCUUUUUUGCAUAUUGCAAAUUUGACAAAUAUGAGGUAAUCUGCUUUUAAAUUUGCUGUUUUUGUAAUUUUGAAAAUGUAAGUGACAUGGACUCUAUUAUCAUAAACUUUUUUACUAUUUUUACAAACUCUCCUUAUUCUAAACCUUUGAAAUAUCGUUACGAAAUACAAAUAAUUAAGUCUCCUGAGGUGAGGUCUUGAACUUUCUGUUCGUAUAACUUAGUCCUUGCAACCCUUCAACAAAACUAAAGAUUUUGUCAUUUUCGGUCAUAUCAGAUAUAUCUAACAUCAGCCCCGCAAAUUGCUUCACAUACUUCUGAAUGGUUCCAGUGUGUUUUAAUUCCCGCAGUUUUCGACGAGCCAAAAUCUCGACAUUCUUAGAGAAAAACUAUGAGCGAAGUUCUCUCUUCAAAAUCUCCCAAGUAUCUAUGGUGCAACGUCCUUCCUGAAUGUCCACAUACUGGGAUCUCCGCCACAAGUUUGCAUCUUCAGAUAGAUGCAUGAUCGUCAAUGUCACUUUGGCUUCUUCCAUAUUAGUAUUCAUGGCUUUGAAAUACUACUCAAGUCGAAGAUAAAGUUUUUCACCCAAACAAUGGGAUGCACUCAUACACCCAAACUAGAAGAACAUAUGGAAAUCCUACGAUCCUGACAACUAGGGUAGUGACUUUUUUAAAGGAGUCAAUGGUGAUGUGACAUGCUAUUCUUCCCCAAGGAUAGUUAUCAAAAUGACCCUCAUCAUCCAACAAUUUAUUAUGAUCCACAUCUACCCCUGUUGUUAUUUGUUUCCCUAGCAAAAAGUUCGACAAAAAAAAAUGUAAAGUUUUGUCAUUUCGUUAAACAAGUAAGACACAAAUGACCUUGGUAUAGACUCUCUAGUAUUAAAGUACUUACCAAAGAAUCUACCCUUUAGCUUCUUCAUGUCUAAUUUUGGCAAUACCCCACAAUUUAGACCAAUUAUUUGUUUUGAACUCCCUAAUUCUCAAAUGAACAAUUUCCUCCCUCAAAAUUAAACCAAAACUCAUAGUCUUUUGUAAGGCUACAUUGCCUUCUAAUUAGGUGAUACGAGAGCUGGCUGGAGAAUUUUUUUACUUUAAGUUAUAGGGAACUUCCAACAGGUAAUUCCUUAAAUCUUCCUAGUUUUUCAUCCAUCGGUCUUCUUUCUAUGUUAUUUAAAACAUCAAAUCUAGCGUAAAUACUAAGCUUAUGUACUUUAUACCAUUUAUUUCGUUUUAAAAUCAACAAAGCAACCUGCAAACAUAGAGAUAAAAUCACAUUGCAAUCUAUACAUACUCAAUAUAUUAGUCAUGUUAUAUGGUAUAUCAUUCGGUAUAUUCAUAUAUUGUUGGGUAUACUUCAUACACAUCGUCCCUUCUCAGUUUGUUUCUAAACACCUAAUUAGAUUUUGUUAGUGCAACUUUCUUCUUUGUUUUAGCUUCAUGAAUGAAGAAGUUUUUAAGUAUUUGAACAUAUGAAAUAUGAAAAUCCCAAAUUAUUUGAACAUAGAUACUAAAAUCUUAGACCAUUGGAUAAUAGACUAACAUAGAUAUCCCAUACAAAAUCCAUAAGUACCACAUUUUCUUUAAAAAUUUCACGAGUAAAAAUUAAAUAUUAUUUCAACCUUCAUUCUACUAGUUCAAAACAAGCAUUUAUCCCGCUUGUACUAUUUUCAUUCAUAAAAAAAUGUGCAAGAAACCACAUGCAUGUUGGUUCCAUAUAAAAAGAUAGUUCCACAGAACACAUUGUCUUGUUUGAACCCUAAAAUAAGUUUAAAAAACAUAUCGAUUUUAGUUUCAUACCAAAUGUUCUGUAAUAUACACAAUAUACCCUAAGAAGUUUAGUGAAGAACAAACAUAAAUUACUUAUCGAAACAGUAUUUGGCAGUAGAAAAUUUUCCUUUCUACCCGUCCUCGUUCGACGAAACCUUAGAUUUCUUACACAAAAAUUGAAAAUGCAUCAACAACCGAUUUUGUUCCAUAACACUUGCGGUUUUCAAAGGUUGCUUGAAGAUCGUUCCAUAAAGCUUGCAGUUUUCGAAUGUUGCUUGAAGAAGGAAGGUUAUGGGACAUGUUUUGAAAAUAAAACGGAUAUCCACCUUUUGUGUAUUUUUCUUACUUCUCAUUUACCUUAUUACUAUUUUUAAUAAUAUUAAUAAGAAUGAUGGAUACUUUUGGUCACUUAAAUGGUAUUCUUAUGUCCAACGUGUACUUAAACAUACUAAUUUAGGCCAUACGAGUUAAAACCCCAAAUAAAAAAAACCAAAAUUAUUCUAUGUAAAAUUUAAGUCUACAGUUAAAUUCAUUCAAUGUAUUAACAAUAAACAAAAUGUAACUUAAUCCAUCCUGUAUGAUUUGAGUUGUUAACAUUCUCUUAAAAUUCUCUUGAAGAAGAUGGGAUGGGAUGGGAUGGGAUGGGAUGGGAUGGGACAGUAUGGUGUAGAUGGAGUCCUUUUUUUGGAUCGGAUAAUAAUAAUAAUAACGACAAUGGCUUCCUAAAAUUCAUUCACCAAUUUGCCCUCUAUAAUUCGUUAACAACAACGAGAGAAAAUUGCCCAAUCUUCAAGUUCACCCCUAGCCUGUAAGCAUCGAACUGAGUCAUUGUAUUGGCGAUUUCCUCGAGAACUACUUCAAUUACAGCUCCAAUUUCCACUUUGAAGCCCAAUUUCAUCGCAGAUUUCCUUCUUUCGUAAGCAAUGGAUUCAGCUACUUUAACCAUGUCAUCGUCUGUCAUUUUGCGUAAUUCAUCGCUGAAAUUACUUGUCAUUAGAAAGAUUCAACCCCCGUUGUGUUUCAAAAGGAACAAGUUCUCCAAGAUCUCCGCGCUCUAUCCCAAUGGCUCUGCUUCUGGGGUUGGUACUUUUCAAAUUUCUUACGUGAUUCUAUUUUCUGUUUUCUGGGUAUUACUUGAAAGCUAUUUAUUCAAUGAAUGGGUUUAUUGUACAUUCAUUUUUGUGCAUUUGAAGGUGUUUGGUUGUUUGCUGCAUACGUAGGAAUAUAAUUGGGUCUUUUCGGCUAUGUUUUUCUGAUGGAGGCUGAGCAUUUUGGUUUAAAGUUACUGCUUCGUUGUGUUUUUUCUUCUUAUUCUUAUUAUAUUUUCAUUCAGUCUAAACUUGACAAGGUUUAAUGAGAAAGGGUAGAGCAUCUUUUUGAUAAAAGACGGACUUUCGAUGAGAAAAGAAUGAAAGAACACGCAGACAUGCAAAAGAAACCAAGGCUAGGAAAGGAAACAUCCUAGAAAAGGAUCUCCAAUCUAACAAAAAUAAGGCCUAACGAAUAAUUACAGAAGGAACUCAUCAUCGAUGCUGAGAGAGAAGCGUUAAACUUUAGCACUUUGCCAAGGUCCAAACGUUGAAAGGUUCCCUUGGAUUUUCGAAUCACCUAUAUCCCUAUCUUAUAUCCAAUAAAAAACAUGAGGGCUAUACUUAUAAUAAUCUGAGACCAUAAGGAUGAGGAUUCAUGGUAAAACAUAGAUCUCCCACAUGUGAUAAUGGGGUCUUUAUAUAACUAUUGUUUGUUUGAUGUUUAAAUUGUAGAAGCUCUCAUUGCAUAUUUUGAAAAAGAACCGUGUUUUUUUUUUUUGCAGUGGUAGGCACCAUGGCUCGUUACCUGUUGAAUUGGCAUAAUUGUUCGAAACUUGCUAGAGCAUUUCACAAAUAAUAUUUUAUGACAUUUGCAUUUCGCAAUGUAACUAUACGUCAAGAAGCUCUUUAAACUUUUUUGGCUUAUUCUUUCAUACGCUUUGUGAUUGUGUAUGGAAUCAUUUGCUUGCAUCUUGCGACUACAGUUCUGCAUUCAUAGUUUCCAUAUAAUAUGUCUUUGAAAAUAUUCUGUGUGUAGCAGGGGGAUUCUUCAGCUGCAGAUGUUCAUAGACGACGAAGUUCUUUUGAAUCUUUGUUUUGUUAUGACAAGGCUAUCCCAGAGGAAAGAAUUGAGACGCCUAUUGGAAUAUCUCUGGCAGAGAAAAUGAUUGGAAACAAUCCCCGUUGCACUGAUUGUCAAGCCAAAGGUGCUGUUCUUUGUGCAACUUGCUCUGGCUCGGGCUUGUAUGUCGACUCAAUAUUGGAGAGCCAGGGAAUAAUUGUGAAAGUUCGUUGUCUAGGUAAAAUUGUAUUCCUUCUUAACUAUUAGUAGCAACAUUUAGGAGUGGUUCAAAUUAUGGAUAUUUUUUUAAAUGGAGUCCUGUUUUGUAAUUUUCUUGUGUUUUCCCGUAUUUUUUCUGUUGCUCUUUUGGCUCCUUUUGGUUCAUGCCUCCUCUUUUUGUAGGUCUCUUUUUGGCUUUCGUGUUUAUCUUCUUUCCUUUAUUCUCAAAUGAAAGUCGUUUUCUUCUCCAGAAUGGAACUUUUUAUUUUGACCCUGCUAGAUUGUUACUUAUCUAGUGGCCAUUAUGGUUUAACAUGAAAGCAGAAAGAAGUCAACAAGAUACCAAAUGUACUUUUCGUGUAGUCAUUUCCAUAUAACUUGGAAAUUUUUAAGAAAUCGAUGCUGGAAUCUGCAGAAGCUUUUGAAUUGAUUAGGCUUUUUUCUAUCCUGUGCAUUUGAUUCAAUAAUUAUACUUCUUGAAAAGGGGAAUUUUUUGUUUCAUCACUGUCAGUCAUCUGUACUCUAAGUUGUCCAUGUUUGUGAUAUAUAAUUAAAUUUGCUUUCAACCACUAGCUUAAGCUUUUAGAUGAAUUGGUGGUUUAAUAGUCCGUUAACUCAUUGAAAAGUUAUUGUCCUAACUCUGCAAUCAUCUUCUUGUAGGUUGUGGUGGAACUGGCAAUAUCAUGUGUUCAGAAUGCGGUGGUCGAGGUCACCUGGGAUCUAAAUAAGUUGUGAAGACUCCUUUCUGAAGGAUUCAUCUUGAACUGUCCCCAGCUGUAAUAUUGGGCAUGGCUUAUGUGUUGAUGAUGGGAUAUAUUAAUCUUGCAAUUCAGUGAAGAUCGAUAGAGUUAAUUUUGAUUUAGGCAGUUUGUGGGAUAUCCUUACCAUAUUUCAGUUCAAUUUUGGUUUAGCUCAAAUUACUCCCCAGUGUUCUCUUCCGGCAACAUUUGUACUUGUAACUUUGUUUGUCAAAUCGACGCAACUUGUAACAGAAAGUUGUGGAAUGUAUGAACUAUGAUGUCAGAAUACAUGAACUACAAGGAUUUUUUUUUCACAAUUACUGGUAUCUCUUUGUUCUUUUAUUCUUUUUAGUAGUUAUCAAGCUUUGAAGCUUUAUUAUAUGUUUGAACAAAAAAUCUACCCUGAAUUUUUCUCUAACUUCUGCUCAAGAAAGCCAAAAGAACAAGAUUUGUAGGGAAGGGGGGAAGAAAGAAGAAUAAAGCCGGCAUUUAUGUUUCAGUGGGCUCCACGAAAGGCUUCUGUUUUUUAGGCCAGUCUCUUACUAAAACUUGAGGAAUGGUCUAAAUCUGCUUCUUCACUUGUUUUCAAGUUUUGUGGUUGAUUAAACUGCGAUCUCCGCUGAAGGCGUUGAAUCUGAUCAGGCACGGUGGAGUCAUAUCGAGGAUUCUGGGGAUUCUCUGCAUAGGCCACGUAAUAGGCAGAAACACAUGCUUGCGGCCAUGCCAUUGCUAUUCGACACUGCAACAACAACCAUGAGCAUUGUCAUCCAGAAGUUAAACUCCUCUCAGGUAUUAUACUAAAUUCAGUUAAAGUUCAGAAAAGCCAUUUUUAUAGUCGAUAAUAUUUUAGCUCGUUACCAGAAAAUAGCCAAUUAGGAAGGCAUAGAUUGCUAAUUCUGUUGCGUAGUUCUUGUGUAUUACAAGUGUCCAGAUCCCACUUAUAAUGCUGCAGAUUGCACCACUUGAAACCCCACAGAGAACGCAGAAGGACACGGUGAGAUCAGAAUGUAUAACAAUUUCCAACUCUGCCCUUUUGAAUGCUUCCCAGGUAUCAUAGGAAGCCUGCACAAUCCCUUUAUUGAAAACUCCGACGUGGACGAAACCCCACCUAUUUCCAUGGCUUCUCAGCAACGAAGCCAAUCCCGAGCAGCAGUUUGCACAGGAGAAAAGGAACUCAUCUGAGUCUCCUGCUACCAGCCUCAUGGAACGUGCAGAUCCCUGAAUGAAGCUAAAAAGGGGGAUGAUGGCUGAGCCAAGAGAAAUAGUUCCAACUGAAUUCUUUAUUAUGUCGUGGAAAGCUGCUCCUAUGUCCUUUUCGCUACCCUCAGCCAAAUUCAAGUACUUUAUGCAUGAGAUUGUAACUUGCACUAUGUUCUUGAUGACCUGCAGACUCCAGCUUAGGAUCAACAGUAUUGCUGCCACGAACAAUGCUGUAAAAUCAGACCUAAGAGCAAUUGCUCCACCGAUACCAAUGACCAAGAAAGAUGCAUAAAGAAUGCCAAUGAUGAUUGAUCCAAAAACAAAGAUUGAGGUGUUCUUCGGAGGAUAUUUAGUAGAAAGUGAUAGAAGUCGAAUUGCGUAAUUCAAACGGUGAUUGAUCCAACAGACAUAUACCGACAGAAUCAAGGAACAAACUAUGAGAAUCACUCCUGCUGCUAAACCACCACGAGAUCCAACAAUGACAAAGAAAACGCCAGAAGCGAGAGAUAGAACAGGGCUGAACCAGAAGGCUGUCUUCAAAGCCAUAGAAGGAGAACAACCGGUGAAGGCCUGCCAUGAAAAGCCAAUGAUUCCAGAGCUUCCAGUAGAAGCCAACAAUGGAGGGUACCACUUUCUUGGGUGAAAAUGAUGUGUUUUAGAAGCUGCCUGAAGUCCCCGAACUGUCAGAUAGAUUACCAACACAGCUACCAGCCAUAGAUGGACAACUAAAAUUAUGUGUGAAAGCCUCCUGAAAAUUCUCCAUCCUACGGCAGGCUCGUUCAGACGGAUGGGUUCUUGAACCUGCAACAACAACCAACAAGAUUCAUCCAUAUACAUGUACGUCAACCUCCAUAGACCAAAAUGAAUCUGAAUUGACCUGAAAAUGAAAAUGAUUUCUUGAGAAAAAAAGAAACCAACCAACCUUGUUAGGAGUUGAAGAUGAAACCCUUAUUUGUUGAACUUGUAGGGAUUGAUUCUGCAAUACAUUUGGUGGUGUUCGGGUUUCCAUUUUUUCACUACAGGAAGAAACCAGUUCCUAAAAUUCAUAAAAAAAAAAAAAAAAAAAAAAAACAGAAGCAGUUCGUAGAACCUUUGAUGUGUUCUUGAAGUGCUUUGGAUUGGUUGAUGAAUAAGUAAUGUGCUUGAAAAUCCUUGGCCUGCAAGAUUCAACAUAAAAAACUCAAUGCUCUUGAGAUUUGAACUUUUCCAAGUCUUGUUAAACUAAUCAUUUCUUGGAAAUCUGUGUGUAUAUAUAAAAAUGUAUCUGGAAUUGAAUAAUUUUGGGUCAAAAUGGUUGUUGGUUGCUGGUGUGAUGACGUGGCAGCAUGAGGGGAUGGUGACAUGGAGCAAUGGGUUUCUUCUUGGUUUGUCUUAGGUUAUCAUCCUUGUGAUCCACCUCUCUCUUCAUAAAGAAAAACGGUAUUUGCUUUCUUGCUUUUAAAGUCAGUUCUUUUUUCUUUUCUCUUUUUCUUUUUUUUUCUUUUUCCUUUUUCCUUUUUCUUUCUCUCAAUCAACUCAAUGUUGAACAACUUAACUAAAAUAUUUUUCUUUUCUUCUUUUUUGUUAUUUACUUUCUAAAGUAGAAUCCUAUGUUUUUGAAAAGAAAUGCACUGUUUUUAGAAUCCAUUUAUAGUUUAUAUUUUUAAUUUCAACUCACUAUAUAUAUAUAUAAGUAAUUUACAGUUUUGCCUUCCAACUUCAAUAAUUUAAAGUUUAAUAUUAAAAGACAAACACCCUUUCAUGUUAAUGAUUGUGAACCAAAGAUGGCUUCCCAAGUUUUGUCAACUCUUUUCUUUCUUUUAUUUAUUUCUCGAUAUUAAAUUUUCAAUUUUACAAAUGUAUCAAUAGAAUAUCAAUAUUGAAAAUUAAUUUUGUAAAUUAAAAAUUUAGGCAAUUUUAACACACUCCAUUAUAUAAGUUUUAUUUGGACAAACAAAUAUACGAAUUUUAUAAUUUUAUCAGUAGAAUCCCCAAACUUUUAUGAUUGAAUUAAUUUAAAUUUUCAAUUAAGACUUUAUUUAAAGUAUCCUAAUUGAAUUGCAUUUUGAGAAACUUAUUAUUGGUGUGUAUCUAUCUUGCUAUGUUGACGCAAUUUUAGGCCUAGAUUUGAAUUAGGUUAAAGGGAUGGGAAGUGGCUCGUGGCAACCAGGUUGGUGGGACUUGCCGUGUGCUCUUUCUCAUAUUCUAAAGCUGGAAAUUGGAAUGUGGAAACUCUCAAUUCUUUUUCAUGCCUUCAGAAUCAUCCAACUUCCCAAAACGUCUCACUUUCCUUACCCUUACUUUGCUUUUCAAAGUAAACCAACAUUUACUUUAUAAGUAUGAUAAAAAUUACUUUUCUAGACCCGCUUUACCUAAGUGGUAAUUUCACGUAAAUUUUCAUUUCAUCUCUCUCUCCACCGUUGUUGUACUAAAACAUCUUUAGAAAAUACAUAGCAUUUGGAUUUUCAAAUUUACAAACUUGGUAAUGUUCUUGUCCUCUGUUUUUUAAAACAAGAAACAAAGAUGUAUUUGAUAACUGUUUUUGGUUUUUGGUUUCUUGUUUCUUGAAAAACAGAAAUAGAAAACGUGUUUGAUGAUAGCUGUUUCUUAUUUCUUGUUUUCUUAAUAAUGUCCUACAUUAAAUAUAUGUUGACUUACGUCUGAUUGAUAUACGUCGAUGGUUAACCACUCAUUUCUCUUAAAUCUACCUUGAUAACUUUAUCAAACGAAAAUAUAUCUACCGUUAACUACUCCUUUCUCUAAAAUCUACAUCACUAACUUUAACGAUAUUUACCAAUAAUAAAUCAUUUUUGGAUUUUAACAAUAUUUUGUCGUUUGCAUAAGUUCUCGUUCUAAACAUUUAUCAUUACCUUGUAUAUGAGAUUGGAAUGGGAAGAAUGAAACUUUCUAUAAAAUUUGAGAUGAAAAAGGUCUUUAAUCCAUUUUUAUCCUAUAUAAUCCUUACAAAUAUUUAUAGGAAAAAUAUUAUAUAAAAGAACAAAGAACAAAGAACCCAUAAAGAAAGUUAAAAUUUUUGAAUUUGUAAAAAAUGAUGGUAUAUUUCAAAAUUUAAAAUUUAUGGUUCAAGAUUACAUUUUUUUAAGGUCUUGAAGUCACCAAACAAACAAAAGAAAAACAAAUAGAGCAAAAUUCUCAUUUAAUUCCUUUGUUUCUGUCUUGUUGAACAUUUCAAAUGUACAAUGAAAGCUUCAACUCUUUCAUUCAAUUCCUCUUCUUCUUCUGCUUCUUCAAUUCCAAUUCCAAAGUUCAUAAUUUCACACAACAACCUAAUCAAACCACCAACCAAGGAGAAUACUAUCGAUAUAGAUUUAUUUUAAAUAUGUGGAACUUAAAUGUGCAAAGGAUGCCCACAAAAUGAUGGGAGGUAAAAAUUGGCUAAGCACAAUAAACUACAAAAACUGUUGUAAAAAUUUCGUUGAUGACGAUCAAAAUAACUUGCUGCGUCGUGAAGAAUCACUGUCCGAAAAGAAAAAUUUGGCGAUCUUAAUGCCGGUUGCUUCUCAAGUUUAACAUAACUCCCUACUUCAGACGUGCACUCAUCGAAAAUAGGAAUAGAAACGAUGAAGGAUUGCUUAGAACUUUGUAUCGGUAGGGAGGAUGAUGUAGAGAGAAAGGUAGAUAUGAGAGGUUUUGUUGAAUGAAAAUGAAGCGGAGGAGGGCUCUAUUUAUAAUGGAGUCCCCCUCAACUGCCAUAUGAAAUUUCCUCAAAAGAAAGGCGAGGAGGAAAGAUCGAUAGCGGCGUGAAGCGUGGAAGACCGACUAUUCGGGACGACUAGAGAAGUGUCUCGAACUGCGACUCAUGGCAAAGCUUUCGUCACUGAGUGAGACAUGGCGGGCACUUGGGAAAAAAAAACUAUUCGGAUGAGUAUCAAAAAAUACAUCCUUGCGCAAGGGUGGUUGUCCGAGCCCUUUCACAAUAAUUGAUGGAUUAAGGUUCCAUGAGAAUUUCACAAAUUCUCACUUUUCUUCUUCUUUGUUAUUCUUUAAAAGAGAAAUUCUCUUUCUCUUCCUUCCAAACUUUAGAAUAUUAGAAACUCCCACGGAACCUUUUAUUUUAUUUUUCCUUUUUUUGACUGAUUUCAUCUUUCUUUUUCUUUGUUUUCUAAACUUUAUGAUGGUUUUCUUUCCAUUUCUCACUAAUGAAUUUAAACAUUUUGUUAAAUAAAUACUCCAAUUCUAAACAUAAUACUAACUUUUUGUUUGUGUUCUCAAACACUAUCUUCACUUUUUUAAAUUGCUAGUACAAAGUGGAUAACAUAAGUUUAUUUUCAAAAAUCAAAUAUUUAUUUAAACACAUCGCUAUUAUUUAUAAUCAUUUCUAAAUUUUUUAUAAGAAACCUUCGAGCAUUGGAUCUAAGAAUCAUGUUAAACAACAAGACUCAAAGAAUAACAACCCAACAGCCGCAAAACCAAUUUGAUUUCAACCCCUAACAAACCAAAGAUUGGACAACCUUACUUGAAUACUCUAAACACUCUCUUCAAAACACUCCACAAGUAAGACUCAUCAAUCCUUACUUAAAUGCUCUAAAUAUUCAUGCAUUCUAUCACAAGAACAAAUUUCUACGUUCUAGAGUUUUCAGAUUUCAUUCAUCAUUUUUUUUUUUAAAUAUGAAAAUUACAAUCUUAUUUAUACUAAUUAAAAUAUGAAAUAAAAGUUCGCAACAUUUAAUUUUAUGUCCUUUCAACUACCAUAAUAAAUGAAAACACAUAAAUACAUAAAUGCAUAAUUCCUUAAACAUUUAAUUUUAUUACUUUUGAGUUACCCAAAUAUCUCUUCAACUUUCAAGCAUUGCAACCCUUCAACUUUCAACUUCUUCAUUGAUUCAAUUAUGAUUUCUUGAUUCAGAUCAAUUUUGGUUCUGAUGGGUGCAUUUGUAGCUUUCACUUAGCUUCAUGGAUGAAUCUAUGGAUCACUCUCGUACUAUUUGUAUGUGCUAAAAUGCUAUUUGGCUUAGUAUGGAUCAAUUAUGAGAGAAAAGAAAAGGAAACGAUUAGGGUUUUAUUUUUUUGCACUAAUCCUUAAGGUGCCAAUCACAUUCCUUUUAAGAAAAGGAAGGAAAGCUAAAUAAUCAAUAUUAAAUUCAAUUCUCAAAAGAUUUAGAUGUUGGAAUAAAUGGUUAUGAUUCUUCGUGAAUGGAUGUAUCAUGAGUGGAUGCAUCAUUUCAUGAAAAAUUGGAAUAAAUGGUUAUGACUCUUCAUGAAUGGAUGCAUCAUUUCAUGAAAAGUGUCGUUAACUAAAGGACAUGACUUUUUGGACUUUUUGAAUGGCCACAAAAAGUCUAUAAAUAAGUCAUUUUGGUUGAGAGAAAAGUACAUAGAAAAAAUCAUUUGUCUUUAAUAAACAAAUUUCUCUCCAUAUCUACAAUCUUGACGUUCGGUAGAUUCACAAGGUUUCGCUCGUAAAUCUUCUAUACAGGGUGCUACACUUAGAAGAAAGUUGAUCUGUUCUAUCCUGGGAGGCAAUUACUCUAAAUUCUCAAGCACUAGGGUGAGUAAAUUUGUCUUAAGGAUACAACGUGAAUUCGUUGAGCUCAGAUCUAUAUUUGUGUAUGAAUUUUCUAUUCACUGAUAAUAUACCUAGCAAUUGAUAAUCUAUAUAACAAUCUUAAGACAAAUUUAUAUUUCACACAUAUACAAAUUAGUUUGUUUUAUAUAUACAUAUUGUUUAGAUUUUUUUUUUUUAUCACAGUAAGCCUAUUAACUUGAAUGUGUUAAAUAUUUUUGGUUAUUCAAGUAUCUCAUUAAGAAAAUUAACUUGAUUGAUUUUAAUUAUUUCUUUUUGUUUCAAAUAUCAUAAUAAAUAUAUUAAUGGUAAGAUUUCAUCUUUAAUUAUUUGUUUAACUUUAUUUGUUUUGAAGAUAUGACUUCAACAAACUUUAAUUCUCCUGUAACUGGUGUUGCCCAUGGGGAGAAACCAGAAAAAUUUGGUGUGUGUUGAUUUCAAACGUUGGCAACAAAAAAUGUUGUUCUAUCUCACCACUUUAAAUUUGGCAAAGUUUCUCACCGAGGAUGCUCCCAUUUUACCUGAGGGAGAAUCUAACAAAGAAAAGCAACUUGCAGUUGAUGCAUGGAAACAUGCAGAAUAUCUUUGCAAGAAUUACAUUUUGAAUGGGUUAGAUAACACACUAUACAAUGUGUAUAGUAGUGUUGAUUCGGCCAAAAAUCUAUGGACUUCAUUAGAGAAGAAGUACAAAACUGAAGUUGCUGGUGCAAAGAAAUUUAUCGUUGGAAAAUUUCUGGAUUACAAAAUGGUGGACUCCAAAACUGUAAUCAGUCAGGUUCAGGAAAUCCAAGUAAUUCUACAUGAUAUACAUGUUGAGAAUAUGACUUUGAGUGAGUCUUUUCAGCUAGCAUCAAUAAUUGAAAAAUUGCCACCUCAUGGAAGGACUUCAAAAAUUAUCUCAAGCAUAAACACAAAGAGAUAAAACUUGAGGAACUUGCGAUCCGACUUGGGAUUGAAGAAAAUAAUAAAAAGGCAGAAAAGUGUACUAUGGAUAGUACAAUGGAUCCCAAGGCCAACAUUGUGGAAAAUAGACCACAAAGUAACAAGAAAAUGAAGUUUUCUAGGGAAGGUUCAAAUAACAAACCACGAUUCACAACAAAGUUCAAUGGCAAGUGUUACAACUGCAACAAAAUGGGACAUUAAUCAAAAGAUUGUCGUAAGCUAAAGAAUCUUCAGAAAAAACAUGCCCAAGCUCAUAUCACAGAAGUUGAUGAAGUAUCAGAUGGUGUUGCAGAUAUUGUCCUUUGUGCAGUCAUUUCAGAAUGCAACGUGGUGGGCAAUUCCAAGGAGUGGUGGGUAGACACUGGGGCUACUCGUCAUAUUUGUGCCAACAAGGAUAUGUUCACAUCAUAUGUGCCAGUUUCUAGUGGAGAACAACUAUUUAUGGGUAACUCCUCUACUACAAAGGUUGAGAGACAAGGCAAAGUGAUUCUUAAGAUGACCUCUGGCAAGGAACUCACUCUCAACAAUGUGCUUCAUGUUCCAGACAUUCACAAGAACUUAGUUUCUGGUUCAUUGCUUAGUAAAAAUGGCUUUAAGUUGAUCUUUGUAUCUUAUAAGUUUGUACUUUCCAAGAAUGAGAUGUACUUUGGAAAGGGUUAUUACUUGAGUGAUGGUCUAUUUAAAUUAAAUGUACUCACAGUUGUACCCAAAAGUAUUAUUAAUAAAGUAUAUACUUUUGCUUAUAUUGUUAUGUCAUUUGUUUGGCAUGGCAGAGACAUGUUAAUUUUAAUUCUUUGCGAAGACUAAUUAAUAUGAACUUGAUUCCAAAAUUCACUUUUGACACAAAUCAUUGACGUGAGGUGUGUGUGGAAUCAAAGAUGACUAAAGCACCUUUUCGUUCAACUCAUAUAAUUACCAUACCUUUAGAGUUAAUUCAUAGUGAUAUUUGUGACUUGAAAUUUGUGCAAACUAGAGGUGGAAAAAAGUACUUUAUUACUUUUAUCGAUGAUAGCACAAGAUAUUGUUAUGUUUAUCUGCUAAAAAACAAAGAUGAGGCAAUUAAAGUGUUUAAGCUUUAUAAAAAAGAGGUUGGAAAUCAACUUAGCACAAAAAUUAAGGCAAUAAGAAGUGAUCGAGGUGGUGAAUAUGGUCCUCCUUUUGAACAAUUUUGUUCACAACAUGGCAUUAUUCACCAAACUACUACUCCUUACUCACCUCAAUCCAAUGGAAUUGUUGAAUGCAAAAAUCGAACACUUAAAGAAAUGAUGAACGCAAUGCUUAUAAGUUCAGGUUUACCCCAAAAUUUGUGGGGAGAAGCUUUGUUAACAACAAAUUAUUUAUUAAACAGAAUUCCUCAUAAGAAGUCACAAAAUAUUCCUUAUGAAAAAUGGAAAGGAAGAAAACCUUCAUAUAAAUUUUUAAAAGUAUGGGGGUGCCUAGCAAAGGUUGUCGUGCCUAAACCUAAAAUGGUUAAAAUUGGACCAAGAACUGUUGAUUGCAUAUUCAUUGGUUAUGCUAGUAACAGUUGUGCAUAUCGAUUUAUAGUUCAUAAAUUAGAUAUUUCAUAUAUACAUGUUAAUACAAUCAUGGAAUCAAGGAAUGCAACAUUCUUUGAGAAUAUUUUUCCUCAUAAAAUGUUUUGUGAAGCAAGGUUACAAAAAUGUUCGUUUGAUGCUAUAACGAGUGAAUCUCACAGUAGAUCAAAUGUUGAGUUAACGAACAAUGAGGAACCCCGACGAAGUAAAAGGAUGAGGAUCUCAAAAUCAUUUGGGCCUGAUUAUUUAACUUAGUUGUUAGAAAACGAACCUCAAACAUUUAAAGAGGCCAUGUCCUCUCCUGAAGCUCCAUAUUGGAAAGAGGCUGUGAAUAGUGAAAUUCAGUCCAUUAUGCAUAACCAUACUUGGGAACUAGUUGAUCUUCCAUUAGGAAGUAAACCACUUGGUUGCAAGUGGAUUUUCAAACGAAAAUUGAAGACCGAUGGGUCAAUAGAUAAAUAUAAAGCAAGACUUGUCGCUAAAGGUUACAAGCAAAAAGAAGGACUUGACUAUUUUGAUACAUACUCACCAGUUACUCGAAUUACUUCCAUUCGCAUGCUCAUAGCAAUAUCAGCUUUGCAUGGAUUUGAGAUACAUCAGAUGGAUGUCAAGACGACAUUUUCAAACGGUGAGUUAGAUGAAGAGAUCUACAUGCAACAACCCGAAGGGUUUGUUUCUUUAGGUUACGAAAAGAAAGUCUGCAAAUUAAUUAGGUCUCUUUAUGGACUAAAACAAGCACCGAAACAAUGGCAUGAAAAAUUUGACAGUGUAAUGAUGGUCAAUGGGUUUAAAAUCAAUGAAUGUGACAAAUGUGUAUAUGUCAAAAGCAAUGAGCAUGACUAUGUCAUUGUGUGCUUAUAUGUUGAUGAUAUGCUAAUUAUAGGUAGCAAUAUCAAUAUUAUUAAGAAAACCAAACAAAUGUUGGCCAAUAAAUUUGAGAUGAAAGACAUGGGUGUCGCAGAUGUUAUUCUAGGUAUCAAAAUUUCUAGAACCCCACAAGGGUUAGUGCUAUCCCAAUCACAUUAUAUUGAUAAAAUAUUGAAGAAAUAUAAAAAACAUGAAAUUGUGAUUGCAAAGACCCCAAUUGAUGGAAGUCUCCAUUUAAGUAAAAAUAAUGGAGAUAGUAUAGCACAAUUAGAAUACUCUCGCAUCAUUGGUAGUUCAGUACAUCAUGAGUUGUACACGUCCUGAUAUAGCGUAUGCGGUAAGCAAGUUAAGUCGUUAUACAGGUAAUCCAGGUCAUGAUCAUUGGAAAGCUAUCUUGAGAGUUUUGGGAUACUUAAAGCAUACUAAAAAUUAUGGAAUACACUAUACUCGAUAUCCUGUUGUACUUGAAGGCUAUAGUGAUGUCAAUUGGAUAUCGAGCACUAAAGACUCUAAAUCCACCAGUGGUUACAUUUUUACCCUUGGAGGCGGUGCUGUUUCUUGGAAAUCUUCCAAACAAACAUGUAUAGCACGAUCCACAAUGGAAUAUGAAUUUAUAGCCUUAGACAAGGCUGGAGAAGAAGCAGAAUGACUUCGAAAUUUUUUGGAAGAUAUUCCCAAUUGGUCUAAAUCAGUGCGUUCAAUAUGUAUACAUAGUGAUAGCCAGACAGCUAUUGGAAGGGCACAGAAUAUUAUGUAUAAUGGUAAGUCUCGACAUAUACGACGGAGACAUAAUACAAUCAGACAACUACUCUCUAGUGGAAUUAUCACAAUUGACUUUGUGAGGUCAAAAGAUAAUAUAGCGGAUCCACUUACUAAAGGCCUAACUAGGGAGUUGGUUGAAAAAUCAUAAAAAAGAAUGGGAUUAAAGCCUAUAAUAUGAAGUUAUCCAGAGAGGCAACCCAACCUAGUUGACUAGAGAUCCCAAGCACUGCAUUAAAAGAUUUUCCCAUUUUACGAAUGAUGAGGUAGUGCCAGUAUAGUUUUAGGGUAAGCUUUAUGCUUUUAGUGAUUUUUGUUAGUGAUAUUUAUUAACAAAAGAACAUAUACGAUGUUCUGUACAGGAAUCACCUAUGUGAGUGUGAAGGGGCCGCUUCUGUGAGAAUUUUUAAGGCAACAUUCUCUAAAACACUCAUGAGACCAGGCGGUGUUCAAGGCCAAAACGAACACAAACAUGAGAACAAACUUUGUUAUAAUGAGAAACUGUGUGAUAUCUAUUGUUUUAGUUUACUCUUGAACGGUUGACAUGAUCAUUAGAUUGGUAAUUAAACAUUUUAAUGAUAAUAAAAAGGUAAAAUCUUAAAAGGAUAGGUAGUGAAAAAAUUAAUUAUUGUUUCACACAGCCGAACUCGUUUGACGACGACAACAAUGUGCAUGUAAUGAAAAGGUUAUACCAUCAUUAUCAACACACUUUGGAAGCUCCUUCGUAAGUAUCUAUAUAUCGUUCAACACAAAAUCUUUGAACGUGGAACAACAACCAUCUUUUUUAUUUCAAAAUAAACCUUUUCUUUUUGGUACGGGGGCUUAAGUACAAAGUUAUUCCCAAAAGCAUUUACUUUUUUCAACCAUAGCCUCUAUUAGUGUUGUUAAUAAUGCUGAUGAAAUGUCAACAUAAUGGGUUUGAAAUAAAAAUGUGCUCCUAAGUUAAGCAAAGAUAUGAUAGACAACUCAAAUUUUGUUUAUUGUAAGUGGACAAAAUAGAAACAAUAAUACAUCAACCCAUUGUAAUGUUAAUGGAAUUUUUUUAGCAAGUCUAUGCAUAGUCAACCAAUUAUUUUAUUAAUGAUCCAACUUAACUUACUUCUAUUGUGACAAUUAAUCAAGGGCUAACAACAUAAAUGGCAAAAUAAAACAUUUCAUUUUGAAAAAUAUCAAAAAUUAAAUUAAAUUAAAUUAAAUUAGAAGAAUGACAAAGUCAUUUGUAGGGUUAUUAAUUAUGAAUUAAUAAUCUAUCAAAAUAUCCCUACUUUAAAUCCUAACCACCAAAUUUUCAUUAUAAUUAAAUUCACAUAAUUUUAAAUCCUAUUAAAAUAGUUACUCAUACAAAAUUUUAAAAUUCAAAUUGUAACUAUCAAAUCUUAAUUAUAUUGCUAAAUAAUUAUGAUUAAAAAAUCUAUUAAAUUACUAUUGGAAAAGCAUAAUAUUUCUUUUAUAAAAGAACUUAAAUUACGCUUAAAAAACAAAUUUGUUGGUGAAGAAUUCAUACUCUCAACAGUUCCAAAAUCAUGAGAAUGGUAAAGGGUGUAUUUUCAAAAAUAUUACUCGGUUCAAUUUGCAAUAAUUGAGUUUGGUUGAACAUGACAAACAACAUUUUAGCAAAUACUUUGUAUUCAGAAGGGAUUUGAAAUCUUAUAGUCUUUUCACUCAACCUCGUCGUAAAUGGAUGAUAAAUCUCAUAUCUUUCUAUCAAUUGAUAAUGUUGUAGAAACUUUACAUCUCAUAAUCAUCAACUUGCUUUCUUCCUCGAAUAUAUAUUCCCAAUUGAGAUUGCACAUUGAGCUUUAUGCUUGCCACUUUUUCUUGUGUAUGAAUUAUAUGAACUCAUGUCUUACUUUAGUCCAAAUCUUUCAAUGUUUAGAUAAUAAAUUUACAAACUCACACUUACGCUCGUGCUUUAUUUUCCAUUUUCAUCUUCGUUUCAUUCAUUUGUAGUCGGAUGUCCCUCCUUGAGAUUACAUGAGUCUUGCCUAUUAGGAUCAUUUGCAAACAGUACAUUACGCAUCAAACUUUUUAUCAAUUCCACCAAGCUUUUAAUUCAAUAUCUUCACAUUCACAAAUGAUUUCAAGUUUUGAAUCAAUUAAAUAUUCACUUAAUUAAUUUAUACGAAAAAAGAAUAGAUAUGAAUUCAAAUAUUAAAUUAUAAGAUGUGAAAAUUGUUUGAAUUUUAAAAUUUAAAUCUAAUAAGAUUUAUAUGGAUUUAGUUAUAAGGUAGAUGGAUAGUAAGUUUAUUGUUUUCGAUUGUAAUUGGAUUUUUUAAAUCACUAAGAACAUUAUUGGAUUAAAAAAAUAGUAGAACACAUGCAACAAAGUUAUUUACUAUAAAUCUUAUUAAUUUUUUGUUUUGACAUCCUUCAAAUACAACUCUAAGGAUGUAGGAUUUUGAUAAUACUAUUGUAUGAUAAUAUAUGUUUAUACACGAAUAUUUGUAUGUUUAAUUUACCAAAUUGUCGUAUUUUUUUAAAACAAGUUUGAUUAGUUUUGGUUGUACAUUUUCAAUGUCUUUUAUGCAAAUCAUUUUGUACUAAUAAAUUAUUUUUUAAAAAUUCGUAUUCUAACUUCAAUACACAAAUUAUAUUUAUUUAAUUUACAAAAUCAUUCUAGUUUCCAUAAAAACAAUUUAUAGUAAUUUCUUUAAAUACGACGUUCACUUUCAACAUUUCUUUUAAUGUUGGGUUGUUACGUGUGAAUAAAUUAUAUUUUUGUUUUUUUAAUUAAUAUUCUAAAUGUAAUACACAAAUUGCUAUAUUUAACAAUUGAUUUAAACCAAUGAUUGUCACCAUAAUUUCAUUCAAACAAAACUAUAUUUAUUUAUUAUUUUUUUAAAAAAAAUCAUAUUCUAACUCCAAUACAUAAAUUUCGUAUAUUUAAUUUACCAAAUCGUCAUAGUUUUCGUAAAACAAUUUGUAGUAAUUUCUUUAAAUACAACAUCCAUUUUCAACAUUUUUUACGUAAUCGUUACGUGAGAUUAAAUUAUUAAUUUUUUUAAUUCACAUUUUAAAUUCAACACACAAAUUUCAUAUAUUUAAUUUACCAAAUCGUCUUAGUUUUCGUAAUGUAGCAGCAAAAAAGAAUACGGGUCAAAUGGUGUAAUCACAAUAAAUUACUUGAUUCAAAAGUAAAAAAUAAAAAUAAAAAUUUUAAAUUUAUGUAAUUGUUGUAAAAAUUCUGUUGAUGACGAUCAAAAUAACUUGUUGCGUUGUGAUGAAUCACUGCCCUGAAAGCAAAAUUCAGUCAGACCGUGGUGCUAAUCUUAUUGUCGAUUGCUCCCCAAAGUUAACAUAAGUUCCUACUUCUGACGUGCACUCAUCGAAAAUAGAAAUAGAAACGAUGAAGGAUUGCUCAGAACUUUGUAUCUCCGUAGGGAGGAUGAUUUAGAGAGAAAGGUAGAGAUGAGAAGGUUUUGUCCAUAAAAAUGAACCGGAGGAUGACUCUAUUUAUAAUGGAGUCCCCCUUAACUGUCAUCUGAAAAUUCGUCAAAAAAAGGGCGUGGAGGAAAGAUCGGCAACGGCGUGAAGUGUAGAAAACCGGCUAUUCAAGACGACUGUAGAAGUGGCCCGAAUUGCAAUGCGUGGCAAAACUUUUACGACUGCAUCACUAAGUGACACAUGUCGGGCACUUAGGGGAACUAAAAAACUAUUCGGAUGAGUAUAAAAAAAAUACAUCCUUAUUCGCGCAAGCGCGGUUGCCCGAGCCCACCCAUCCGACCGUACAUAUAAGAAUAUUUUAGAAAUAUAAAUGAAAAAAAAUCUUUAUUAAUGAUCUUCUCCUAUAUAAUAAUUGGGAAAUAAAAUAUGAUUUUAUUAAUUAAGAGAUAACCGCGAGAAUGUCAAAUUUUAGUAUAACAAACUGAUACGGUGUAUUUGUCAAAUAUCACAUAGUCUCAUAUACGGUGGAUUUGUAAACUACAAUCAGUUUUGGAAAAUAUUAACUAAUUUAUGAUAUUUACGUGAUUGACAAAAAAAAUUCACUAUCCCCUAAAUAUAUGUUUAUAAUUCAUAACUAAUUUUUUUAUUUUUAGUAUUUAAAUUAAUUAACAUUUAUUUAUUUAAUUCAUAAAACUUAUGUUUAAUAAAUAUUUUCCCUACAAAAUUGUUAAAAGAUUUCCAACUAUUCCUCGUUCAUUAGAAUUCAUAGUAUUUUGAAUUGAAAUAUUAUUAAAUCUAGUCUUUAAAAUAAUAUAUAGUUAUUUUAAUUUAUAUUUCAAAUUAUACACAUACUUUGAUUGAUUUUUAUUAUAAAAAAAUUAAUUUAUUGUGUCUCUUUUAUUAAAACAGUGUAUUUUAAAAAUAAUAUUUAAAUUUGGUAAACUUUAACUAAAUUUGCUAUUUUGUUGCUAGACAAGAUUGCAACAACUUCCCUUAUAAUAAUGCAAAUAUAUAUACAAGAUUUUCAAAUUUAUUAUAUUUUAAACAAUUUAUUAAAUAAUACAUAAUAUAUAUUUUUAGUAACAAUUUGAAUUUAAAUUUUAGGAUUUAAUUAUGCCUCAAUCACAUUUUUGCAAUUAUUUAAAUCUUUUUCUUUUAGGUUUUAUUAGAGAAAACAAAAGGAGAUUGAAGAGGGGCAGCCGACAAGAGACAAACACAAUGUGAGAGAAAUUUUUUCUUGCAUACAAGAGAGAAGAACUCAAAUGAAUCUUGAAUGUAUGAAGAACUCACUUAUUAGAAUAAAAGAACUAACUGAUUUGAGUAGACGAACUCACCGAUGCGUAUCUUGCUAAGACGUAUAUAAGUUCAAAAUUUUAUGGUAUAAUUUCAUGAUUUCAUCUUUAUUAUAAUAUCAAUAAUGCCCCCCUUUUCAACUUCACUACUACAAAUUUGGUAUUUCUUGAUGCAAACAAAUUUUGAUUUCUUGAUGGUCAUGAAAAGAACCAUCGAGAAAAAUAUUUUUCUUGAUACAAUGUUUAUCUUGACGGUCAUGUACGUCAAGAAAAGUCUCAUUCUUUUGUUGAAGAAAUAUGAAAAAACGUAAAAAAAAAAACAAGGAUUCUUGAUUUUCUUGAUGGAUAAAGUUUCCUUAGUUUUGUUAACAGUCUACAAACGUCAAGAAAAUUAUUUCUUGAUAGACAAUAAACAUCAAGGAUAAUAUAUUAGUUGACUGGCAAUGUCUGUCAAGUUAAUUUGGUUUUCUUGAUGGACGAGACAUAUCAAGGGAUGAAUUUUCUUGAUUUGCAAUUACCAUCAUCGAAAAAAAUUAAUAUAUUUGUUUUGGAUUAAUUUCUUGAUGGACAAAUACCAAAAAAUGAUCAUGGACAAGGUCCAUUAAGAAAAACAAUAUGCCUAUCAAGAAAAAAAUGUAUAAUUUUUUAUUCAUUAUAAGAUCAUGAACAAUGUCUAUCCAGAAAAAUGAUAUCAUGAUGGACAUUGUCCAUCAAGAAAAAACUAUUUUGCACGAAUUUGAUUUAAAUAUUAAAAAUCCAAAAAUUUAUUAUGAAUUAUAGGCAUAUAUUUAGGAAAUAUUGGAGAAAUCUUGCCAAUCCCAAAAAUAUCAUAAAGUAGUUCAUAUUUUUCAAAAUUGGUUGGAGUUUGCAAAUACACUGUAUCUGUGACUGUAUGGUAUUUAGUCUCAUUAUUUGUAUCAUGUAAAUACACUGUAUCUGUAAAACAUAUAUUAUCCUACAUAAAAAGCUAUAAACACAUAUUAUACUUCUUGAUUCAGAUAUGCAUAGCAAGGAUGAUUGGAAAUAAAACGCCACAAACAAAAUAAAACGUCUAAUUAAAAUAAAUAUGAAUAUUAAUGUAAUUAAAAAACAAAAGGUGAAAAAAUAAUUAUCCGAUACAAGAGGCACAAUAAAUUAAUUUUUUUAAUAAAAAUCAACCAAUAUAAGUGUAUAAUCAUAAUUAACAUGAUUGUAGUGAUGAAAUAUAAUGACUUGGGAAUGGUUGAAAUUCUCAUAACCAUGUUUUAUAUUAACCAUACGUAUUAUUUGUUAUCUAAUAAUUUUUUUAAAAUAAUUUGAAAUAUAAAUCAUACAAAAAAUAUAGAAUUCAUGAUUGUCAUUGUUUUAGGGAUUAUAUUUCAUAAUAUUUGAAUUCAAAAUAUUAUGAAAUCUAAUGAAUAAGAAACGGUAGAAAAUCUUUUAGCAAUUUUUUAGGGGAAUCUUUAUUAAACAAUUUUUAUGAAUUAAAUAAAUAAAUGUUAAUUAAUUUGAUUGAAAUACUAAAAAUCCAAAAAUUUAUUAUUAAUUAUAGACAUAUAUUUAGAGGAUAUUGAGAAAAUCUUGUCAAUCCCAAAAAUAUCAUAGUUAAUAUUUUCCCAAACUGAUUGUAGUUUGCAAAUACAUUAUAUAUGAUAUUUGGCCUCAUUAAGCAAAAGUUAUGAAACGUACCUUGAAGGAAUAAUAUUAUCAAUGAUUUUAUGGUGUGAAUUAUAUAGUGUGAAAUAAAUAGAUAUUAUUAAAAAUAAUUUGUUAAGCAUUUGAUUUGAAGUGUACAUAUCCGAUAAUCUGUAUAAAUUGAAGGCAUGAAUCUAAUCUAUAUUGGUUAAAUGAGAUCAAUCUGAAACAUAAAUAUGGUGAAUGCCGUCGUGUGUACUACGUGAACUUUGGAGCAUGACAAAGGCAGAGGCGGGUAAUAAAGCAUAUUUAGGGUUUUCUACUUUUCAUUUUAUAUAUAAUAUAAUAUAUAUAUAUAAUAAUAAUCAUAAACCGGGUUUGGUUGGGUCAAUCCAACCAUUAAUAACCAGACCUGGUAACCCAAAUUUUUUUUUUUUUUAAUUAUCUAACUCAACUGAACCCUUGCAGUUUGGGUUGGGUAGUCCGGGGUAGUCGAGUUAUCGAAUUUUUUGAACACCCCUAUUUUGAGGUUAGUACUGUAUAGAUUCAAAACAUAUGAAACAUUAGGUAUAUUUUAGAUAUUCGAUUAAAUAGGCAGGCAAACGAAAAUACAUAUGAAUCAUUAGGUAUAUUUUAGAUAUUCAAUUAAAUAGGUAAACAAACAAAAAUACAUAUGAAACAUUAGGUUAUUUUAGAUAUUUGAUCAAAUAGACAAAAAACAAGAAAAAACAAAAAUGUAGUUUUGUGAUAUAGUGUAGGGUUUUUUGAGUUUCAACAUCACCAAAAUUCUUGCAUUGUGAUACAUUUUAGGGCAUAACGAAAACGUACUCUAUGGUUAUGUAACUUACAUUGUGAUUUAAUUUACAUAGGUAACAAAAACUUAUUGUGUUGAUUUAAAAUGCAUUAUGGUUUACAUAUAUUAUAUGGUAGUUAAUUUUAUAAAAUUUUAUUUAAAUGCAGUGUCGAAAAUGGUUAGAAAAAGUGAAAGAUGUCUUGGGUCGAGGAGUAGGACGGUUAAAUAAAACAAACAUGAUCCAAUCAUUAUUGAUGAUGCGAAGGUAUAUUUAACAUUAAUUGUUGCAAGAUGUUACUAUAUUGAUGCUCUAUAUGUAUAUUAUUUAUUCCAUAGGUAUAUACAUAAUCAUAAUCAGCAAACAGAAGCUGAGAAAAAUAAUACAAUUAUGUAAAACAUAAAUGUUUUAAAUAUAUAGCAUAAUAUAUUUUAUAUAUCAUUAUAAGAUUGACAUGAAUAAUCAAGCAAGAGAAAGAAAUUUUUGCUUACAAGCAAGCUGUGAAGAUGAGCAUGAAAACAGAAAUCAUAAAAAAUAAUGAGGUCACCCUUUAUAACAAAAUUUGGAUUCGCAAAGCCAAAUGAAGAAAAAUUAGAGCUCAAUAGUCAAUCAUUCGAAAGACCAAGUUUCAAAUUGAUAUCACAAGGACUUUAGGAAUUUGAAGUUGAAUAGAAUAGAUUUAAUGUCGAAGGUUAUCUGCAGAAGUAAAAAUUAGGUUUUUUGAAAACUUUACGCGUAAUUUAUGUUAUGAUGAAUGGUUAUGUUUCUAGUAUUAUGGAAACACUGAAACGUUAUAUGCAUAUACUUUUAAUAUGAUACAAUAUAUUAUAUUAUCGUGUUCAUUAUUCUAGAAAUUUUAUGAGAUAUUGGUUUAAUAGAGAUAAAAUAUUCACUAGAUAUAUUAUAAGUAUAUUUAGAAUAAGAAGGUGUACAUUACAAACAUAAAUGUUUAUGAUCAGUAAUGUUGUGUUUCAUGAGUAUAAGUUUUAGUCAUAUUGUGUAUUUUAAAACUAAAGGUUUAUGAUAAAUAAUAUAUGACGUUAGUAAAAUGAAUUAAAUUUUAUGAUGUUAUAGGAAUGUUAUUUAUUUUAAGAGGAACACAUAUGAUAUAUUCUUUGGUAUUUGUAUGAUAAAUUGUAUGAAUGGACAAAGCAUAUUAAAUAGUAAUUUUUUGCAGUAUAUUAUAAUAUGGUGUAUAUUAAAGAUCUAAAUUUCUUACCGUAAUAUGAAACACAAACAUUAAUGAUCGUAAACAAUGUUGUAAAUAAGAUGUGAUAUAUAUAUACUAAAUCACAUAACAAAACUAUAAUAGCUUACAUAUAUAUUAAAGUAUGUAUUGAUCAUUUAAAAUAUAUAUUAAGUGAUUGUACGUAUGUAUGAUACACUCACUGUAUAUUAGAGAUACAUUGAGAAUAUGUCGUUUACUACUGUUUUAGUAAUAUUUAUUAUAUAAACAUAAAAUUUAAACUAAUAUUCUGUCGAAAUUAAGUAGUUUAUAUGAUAAACAAAAUAACAAAAAAAAUUAACGAAUGGAAAAAUUAAGACGUCUUACAGUACAUAGUUAUAUAUGUGAUAUUGUAUAUAUGUAUAAACAAUAUCUAAGUAAAGUACGAAAUUUGAAGAAAACAAAAAUGAAAGUAAUUGAUGGAAAUUUGAAGAAAACAAAAACGAAAAUAAUUGAGGAAGACAAGUAAUCGAAAGUUUAAAGAAGACGCAAUUUCAAAAUAAACUGAAGAACGAUACUGAAAUCAGCAUAAUUGAUGAAAGAAACAACCGAAAUUGAAUUAUGAAGAAGUCGAAGUCCUCGACGUCGAAGUUUUUUUCACUUAGCGGGUGAUGAAAAUAAUGAGAUAAUGUUAUAUUUAAUUAUUAAAUUAUUCCAUAUUUAGACAAUAUUUAUUUUAUAUUGAAUUAAUAAAAUAUUUCUAAUUAAUUUCCAUAAUAAAGUUAUACAAGGUCAAAUAAGAAAGUUAUCAUUUAUUAUAAAUUGAGUAUAAUAUAAAUAAGGAAAUAAUUUGAAUUUAAUUUUAAAAAUUAUAUAUAAUUAAUAAUUAUGAUAAGGUUAUAAUUGUCAUAAAAAAAUGCAAAAACCUAAUAAAGGAAAUAAAUAACAAUUUAGGACGUUUGUGAAAUUUCCUAGUAAAUUUAGGUAUGUUGUCUAAAUAUUUCUUAUUACAACAUUCAGCAUUCCAAUUGUUGAAUUAUAUUUGUUCUCUAACUCUAUUAUAUUUGUAUUAUUGUAUUAUUUUAUUGAUUUUUUAUAUAUAUUUUAUUCAAUAAAUAUGAUUCACUUCUACCGUCAAUUUGUAUAUUAAACUCGUGAAAAUGUGAAUAGUAAUAAAAAUAUUGACAAAAAUGUAACAUCAUAAUCGUACAUGUAUCACACAUAUCAAACUUUCAAAUAACAUAUAGAGUGGAAAUUUAAAUAUAUGAAUUUAGUUGAUUUAUUUUGUUAUUUGAUAAAUACAUCCAUAUUUUUCUAUAGGAGAGUAUAUAAGUCAUGACAUAAAAAGAUAUAAUUCAUAAGAAUAUUAUAUGCAUGUUUUAUUUGUUAACUUAUAAUAAACAAAAAAAUAAAUAAAAAUAUUUGAUGCAAUGAUCGUUAUAAAUCCACCCCACCACACGAGUAAAAAGAAAUUAUUCUUUCAGAAAUGUUGACCCCACCACAUAAAUAAAAAGAAGUCAGAUAUCCACGAGAGUUGUUUGUUGUGAUCUCUAUCCUUAUACAUGUCAUAGGUAUUGGUAUUUAUCCAGAUUUUGUUUUCUCAUUGUCAGUUCACAAGGUCGAAGCUAUUUUAUCCAACUAUUUUGCUAGAUAGAUUUCAUAAAAAAAUGAAACACCAAUACUAUAAUAAUUUUUUUAAUAGUUAGUUGCACAAUAAAAAAAGAAGUUUUUUUUCUUAAGUUAAAUAAAAAAAUGAAUUGGACUUCUAAAGUAUUCAUUAAGAAACGUUGACGGAACAAUAAUUUAAUAAAAUAAAUAAAGAUAUUUAUUGUCUAAAAUAGGCACAUAGGUAUUUUAAAAUAUAAAAUGUUAGAAUAAAACACAAGUAAUCAUAUCAUUUUUCAAAUGAAUGGAAAAACUACAUAUUUAAUUUUUUUUUGUAAACAUAUGAAAUAUGAAUAAUUGAAUAAAUAUAAUUUUAAUUUAAAAUUUUGGGAGGUAAAAUGAAAGAAGAUAUUUUUAUUUAUAAAUUUUAGACCCAGCCUUGGGAAUGUAGAACUAUCAAAAGUUUCUUUUCUAUAAACCAUUUUAGAUAACAUAGAGAUAUAUAUUAUAAACUCUAAAAAAACAAUUAUUAUUAUUUGAUUUUGUAUUAGUGUAGAUUUAUAUGGAGUUAAUGAUUCAGUAAUUGUAUUUGAUUUAUUAUUUAAAAAACAUAUAAGGGUAGAGAUGGAUUUCAAUCACUAUAUAUAUCUGUCUAAAUUAAUAAUGAGACAGUUACAAAUUUAGUAAUUAGAUUCAAAAUAAUUAAGUAAUUAAUAAUGAGACAGUUACAAAUUUAGUAAUUAUAUUCAAAAUAAUUAAGUAUAUAGGAACAUUUUAAAAAUUUUGCAAACAUAGUAAAAUUUGUCAAAUUCUAUCAAUGAUAUAAGUCUAUCACCGAUAGAUUAUGUUGCAAAUAUUGACAUAUCACUGAUAGACCAUACGAAGUCUAUCAACGAUACAAGUAUAUCAGUGAUAGUUUUGCUUAUUUGCAAUUUUUUUAAAAUGUUGUUAUAUCCUUAAUUAUUAUUCCUAAAAUGAUCAUCAAUUGCAAUUUUCCUCCAACAAAAGUGCUAAACUUAGUGAUUUAACUAAAAAUACAAAUCACCACCAUAUAUUCAAAACUAUAUGACCAUAUAUCUUUUAUUUUUUUGUUUUUUUUUGUUAAAACUUUAUAAAAAGUUGGUGUCAAAAUACAAAUAGGAAAGUUAGAGGGAUGUAAUCAUUUGGGUUUUUUUUUUGAAAAAAAUAAACCUAAAAACAUUUUUACAACCAUAUCUUGUUUUAUUAUUUAGACCAACAUUCUAAAAUAAUUCAACCAAAAUUUUAAAAAGAAUUGUCAAAAAUAGUAAAUUUGACAAAAUAUUUAUAACCUAUAACAAAAAUUUUAAAUUCUAUUCAUAAUAGAAUUAAUAGCCACUGAUAUGCAUUGAAGUCUAUCAGUGACUAUUAUUGAUAGAAUUUAAAAUUAUAGUUUAUAUUUUAAUUUAUUUUACUACUUUUAAAAACGUCUCAAUUUUAGAAAGUAAAAUAUAUGUUUUCUUUUCUAUAAAAAAUUAUUUUUUCUUCUUCUUUUAGAUUAGAUAAGAAAUCAAACGCAUCGUACCUAAAAAAGAUAUAAAUUAUUAUAAGAAAUUUAGAUAAAAUAGACUUACUUGAUUUAAAAAAGGAAUAUAUAUGUGCGUGUGAGUACAUAAUUAAUUUAGUUGAGCCACUAAUAAGAAUUUUUAUUAAGAAAACUAAUAUGAAGAUUUUGAUAAAAAAGUUAUUAUCACAAUUAAAAAUAAAAGUUAUAAAGAAUGAAAAAUAUUUAGGAUUGUCCACACGAAUUGGCCCAAUCCCAAAAAGUAAUAAUUGUGAUAAUGAUAAAAUAACGUAGUAUAUUUGGAAAAAUAGUAAACAUAAAAAAUAAUUUGAUUUUUAGAAAAAUCGCUUAAGAUAGAUAGUUUUUUUUAUAGUUUUUCAACCAAUUUUACCUUUUGAUCGACUGAAUAUCAUUUUUGUUAGUUACAAUGUAUUUGUGAACCGUAAAACAAUAGAAUUAUUAUUGCAGUGUAUUUGCAUAUUAUUCAAUUUUAUAGUAAUAUUAAAUAAAUAUUUAUUUUAUCUAUUGAUCUCAUUUAACGAAAAUAUGUUAGAUUCAUGCCUUAAAUUGAUAACAAAUUAUUCUAUUUAUACAUUCAAACCAAAUCCUAAACAAUUUAUUUUUAUUAAUAUAUAUAUAUAUAUAUAAUAAUACAUAUUUAAUUCACACCAUUAAAUCAUUAAUAAUGCUAUUCGAUUUCAUUCGAAGAUUCCAAAAUUUGAAUUUAAAAUAAUAUCUUUUACGUAAAAUUAUGCAUUUUAUACGAUAACAAAUUCAUAUAAAUAAUGUAUCUUCCCUAUUCUUAAGCAUUAUUUUAUGAAAUAAAUGUUAAUAUAACGGCAAUGCAAUCAUUUUACAGGAAUAAGAUGAUAAAAUUUUCAUUAAACUAAUGAUACACACCUUAAAUCCACGGAGAAUAUGGGAAUAAAAUCCUUUUAUGUAAUUAUCAUUAAAUGAGUUAUAUUUUCCGGAUAUUAUUUACUAUCAUUUAAAAAUUGAUUAAAUUUUGAUUUAAAACCACAAAAACACUAAAAAAUAUUACUCAAAUGACAAUAUCCCAAAAAAGCCGUGAGAAUAAUAUGAUUUUUAUUUGAAAUUAUUAAUUGUACCAAUUUCUCUACAUAGUUUUUUAAUCCGGUUUUUAUUUUGGGGUACAAAGGUAUUCGAAUGAAUUUGUUUUUUGUUUUGGAAAUUCUUCCACGGCAACUGUCCACUUUAUUGUUCGCAUUUAUAUCGUACGCCUGUUUUGGAAUUCAUUUACCUUUAUCGUCUAUCGUUUCUUAUAAUGGCAAUGCAAUGUGUGAAGACUUUUUUUUAUGGUAGAUGGAUAGAAUAUUCUCGAUAUAUUGACUACCGUGUGGUUGAUGUAUUUGUUCCAUGCUCAUCUUCAUUUUGAGAAUUCUUACGGUGCAUUCAAGAUAGAAUUUUUUCUUCCUUACAUAUUUUUGUGUGUCGCAUUACUCUUUAUUGGGAUGGAUGCAAUAGUUUGAACCUUAUUCGGAUUGUUAAAGACAAGGACGUGUAUUGGCUUAUGUUGAUUAUGUCAAAAUUCCCUGACAAUAAUUUUGUUUUGGUUGUUGAUUCUAUACUUGUUGGGUCGGUUGAAAAUACAUCGUGUUUCAAUAAUGAAGUAAAUACACAGCAACUUGCACAAUGUACGUAUCACAUAUUAUUGAUGUUGAUUCCUUUGAUUCACCAAAUGAUGCAGUACCUAUUAAGGUCAGAGUAAAGUUCAGAACUAAGUCAAUAAUGAAGAAAACGAUUUAUAUGUUGGCUAUGAACAAUAGUUUUGAAUUUGUUACAGUUAGGUCCAACCGCACAUCAUUUGACAUUCAAUUCAAAGAUCUGUCGUGUUCAUGGUAUUUACGUGCUUAUGUGUUAAAAAAAGUGAUAUUUGGAUUGUUCGUAAGUUUACAGAUACACACCAGUGUGCCGUUAAUAUUGUUAAAAAUGAUCACAGGUAAACAUCAUCCUGAAUUGUUUCUGAGUGUACUACGUCAUUUUUUAGAUGAAUGACAAGAUGCAUUGAUUAGGAAUACCCAGGUAUAAUUUAUACAUCAAAUAUUGUGUAUUUGCUAUUAGAAAUUUUACUCAUUUUGGAAAUACAUUGUAAUUCUAAUAUAACAUUUAUUGCAUAAUUAAUAGGAAUGUAUACGGCUGAAAAAUCAGACGAUGAAGGUCGAUUCAAGUUCUAUUUCAUGGCCCUUGCAACUUCAAUUGAUGCAUGGAAUUAUUGUGUGCCAAUUAUUUCAGUUGAUGGUGCAGUGUUAAAGAACAAAUAUCUUGGUAUGUUCAUUUCUGCUUGCACUAUUGAUGGAAAUUCUCAAAUUGUGCCACUAGUUUUUGUUGUGGUUGAGUCAGAGAAUGACUUGUCAUGGACAUGGUUUUUUCGCAAUCUUAAAGUCGUUUUUGGAGAAAGUAAGAAAAUGGUAAUUGUGUCGAAUGCUCACAAGAGUAUAGAAAAUUGGUUUAACCUUGUGUAUGAAUUAGCGGAGCAUGGAUUAUGUGCAUUUCAUCUCUAUAAGAACUUGAAAAAACACCAUAAGUUGCUUCAUAUUAAGGAAUCAUUCCACAGUUGUGCUAGAGCUUAUACCAUGUUGAUGUUUGAGUACUACAUGAGAGAACUUGAUAAUCUCUCUCCAUCAAUUAGACAUGAGUUGGAAGGUAUCAGAAAACAUAGGUGGGCUAGGGCAUUUUUUAGGAAAAAGAGAUACUCGGUUAUUACAACCAAUAUUUCGGAAAGCACGAAUUCUACAUUGAAAGAAUCUCGAGAAUUACACAUAAUUAGACUUUUAGAAUCAAUACGUAGUUUGGUUCAAAAGUAGUUCUAUGAACGUCGCACUAAAUGAAUUUUUCAACGUACGAAACUAUCACUACAUGCAAAAGAUAUGAUUUGAUAUUUCUUAAAGGAAAGUCACUCAAUGAAUAUAAGUUUUCUCAGGCCUUAAAAAUAGUUGCAAUUAUUAUUUGUACAUGUUGGAAUUUUUUGUCCUAAAACUCGUAGUUUGUAAAUCAUAUUCUAUUCAAUAAAGUUGUUAUUGAGAAAUUAAAUAUUAUAAUCUUAAAUCCAAUAAAUCAAAGUUCCAAGGCUAUUUUUUGAAUAAACUUGAACUUUAUGUGUAAACAUAAACGUGGAUCAAGUUCGAGUAUAUAGCCUAAAUAGUCUAUAGUAUAUGAAAUAAAGGUUGGGCGCCUUAUUUUGAGAGACUAUGGAUGCGGCCCACUUUGUAGUACAAACGAUGUGAUCCUAAUCGUUCAUGUAGAGACAUGAAAGUGGGGGCAUCCUAUGUAAAAUGUUUACAUAAGACUGAACCAUGAAUUAGUCAUUUUUACGUUAUAACACCGUUUACUGUUUAAAACUGACUAUCUCAAUUAUUGAUGACCUAGGUAACUUAGUCUUAAUCCUGAGUUAACUAUGAACUCCUGUUCAUACGAGAUUAUCCUUAGAUCUGCAUAGGUGAGGGCAGCUCAUCAGCGUUGGCCCAAUAAGCCUCCCAUUUCAGGGGUAAGAUCGGGUGGAUAGCUGGGAACAUAGGGUACAAGAUGGAAUUCACUCCUACCCGCUUUAGGGUUAGUAGAUAGGUUGCUCUCUUAAGCACUGAAUCCAAGUCUUGAACAAGGGGCCCCACCCUCUCAUUGGCCCGAGAGGGAUUAAGUUUAUAGGUUGAACCUUAAACAACAAUAUGUUCAAUAGUGGAUUAGUGGGACUUAAGGAGCAAGAUGUAAUCUUGGGGGUAAAACGGUAUUUUGACCCAGCCAAGGUUACGAGCAACCUGUGAAGGAUUAACUUACUGAUUAUGGUUUUAUCAAAUGGACACAAAUAUAUCUAUAGUGAGGGGAGUGCAACUACGGGACUUUAGUGGAAUGACCCGUUAGUUAACGAAUGUUGAUUAACUCGGUUUAAAAGAGUUUAGCUAGUUAAUCUUGAAUCGUUGGAGCCCAUGAUCUAUAGGUCCAUUAGGUUCCUCUGCUAGCUCAUAUGGAUUAAACUUAGAACAGUGUGAUGAAAUAAGUCGAAUUGUUCGAAUAGGGAGAAGAAAGGAAAACCGACAUAUACAGUGAUAUAAUCGUCGGUCUUCUAAUUAGAAAUAGAGCUUUAUGUUUUACAUACUAUAAGUAUGAAUGCGGAUUCAUACUAAGAAGCUCGGAAUUGGUCAAAAAUAGUAAAAAGUCAAAAUGUUGACUUUUGACUUUGAAAAGUCAAACUUUGACCGGCCUUAUAUUCAAAUGUGAUUUGAAUUUUGGAAAAAUGAAUGCGGAUUCAUGCUCGGGAGGUUGGAAUUAGUCAAGACGGACAAAAUGGUAAAAAGUCAAAAUAUUGACUUUUGACUUAGAAAAGUCAAAGUUUGACUUUUGACUAGAAAAAUCUAAUGACCAUUUUACCCUUGGACUAAGUUAGUGGGAAAAUCCAACAUUUUGUUGGAUAAUCCCACUAACUCUUAGUGGGAUAUGUGGCUAUAUGAGAUAUAGACACCUAGCCCACUAAGUUCCACUAAUUGUUAGUGGAAUAUUAGGUGUUGAGAUUUGGCAAUUGAAUUGCAUGCAUUUUUGCAUGUAAUUAGGCUAUAAAUAGAGAUGUUUUCAAAUGUUGAAGGACUUUUGCCUCUUUUAUCAUUUUCAUCAUCUCAACAAAAGAAAAAAGAAAGCUUCCAAUCUCAUUUUAUCUCCAUUACUUUCUACACCAAAAUUGGGUCCCACAACCCGGUUCUUUGUCUAGAGGAUAGCAGUUGAGUACUAGUGGUGGUCUCGGGUAGAAUUGGUAAGAAGACAUCAAACCUUUUGUAAGCUUCAAAGGUAAUACUUCUUAAAACCCUAAUUUGAUUAGUUUAUGGUUACAUGUUAAUUGUGGCAAUUAGGGUAGAAAUUCGAUUCUUUUUCCGCUGUGCAUGACUUAGUUCUAUCAGUACACUUAUUUGUUAAUGACAUUUGAUUUAACAUUUGACAAAUAUAUCUUGUAGAUCAACAUGAAUUUGAAGUCCACCAUCGUACGGAACAAUUCACUGUCAAUAUUUUGGCUCGUACGUGCUCAUGUCACCAAUGGGACCUUGAUUUGAUCCCCUGCUCACAUGCAAGUAUUACCCUUUCUACAAGGAAUCUUAACUUGCAUAUGUACACUAAUAAGUUUUAUUCUAUUUCAAAUUUGAUAAACUUGUACAAGAAGACAAUACAUCAUAUUGGUAGUGUAGACCAAAUUAAGAAAACAUACCAAGGUGGCAACGGUGGACUUCUUCCGCCCUAGAUCAAACGUCCAGCUAGAAAGCUUAAAAAGAAGGGAUUUUUUAUAUUUUUAGAGAAAAAGGUGAUUGUUCAUUACAACAGGUGUGGUCAACGAGGUCACAAUUGUAGAUCUUGUAGAGAACUUAUUCAGCAUUAGGUUACCAUUUAAUAGUUUAUAUAAGUAUCAGUUACAAUUCUUUUAUCACUUGAUUUUUUUUAUCUCGUACUAAAUAUUUGAAUGGUUUGUUCAUAUAAAAUUUUGCUUCCUUAUUUAACAUACAAUGUAUUUGUUGUAUUUUAUGCGUUACUGAGCAUGUUCAAUUAUAAGGUAUACUAUAUUGUGUUUUGUAUGUUUCAACUAUCAAUCUAGAUAUAUUCAGGUUGUCAUAAUAUUGAAUUCAUGACAUAUAUUAUCUAACUGUGUAAAUCAACUUAUCGAGUUAUUUGAACAACCAUACUAUAUUUAUGUACAUGCAGACAAAUUUAACCAUUCCAAAGUACAUCCAGAUUUUGAUGACCUGAAUAUCAAAUACACUUUAUUUUAACAUUCACGUAUCUAGAAAUCAUGAUAAAUUUUUAUGACCUAUUCUCUAACUGUGUAAAUCGAACAUAUUGAAUUCUUUCAACAAUCAUUCUAUAUUUAUGUAAACGUAUUUCAUAGUUAACCAUUUCAUAGUACAUUUAGAUUUGAUGAUCGGAAUAUCAGAUACAAUGUAUUUUAAGAUUCACAUAUCUAAGAAUUACGAUAGAUUUUGAUUAAAUAAACUAAUAUAUAUUGUUCCAAUGUAAAUAAAACAACAAAACAAAAGAUAUUGUCAUAAAUUGAAGAGUUAAUAACAUGAAAUUUAAUGAAUAAUUAUCAAGUUUGACUCAGAUGAAAAUCAAAUGAUGGUAUUCCUGGAUAUGCAUUCUCCUUGUUGUUUGAUGAUAUUUCUAUUUCCUCUUUCGCAACAAUAUAUAUCAUAUUCCCUUCGUUGUUCGCUUAAUCUUUGUACACUGCUUAUCAAUUAAUAUCUUCAGUCGCAUAUCCCUUUCCUCUGCCAUCUUUAACAAUUCACCCUUGGUUGUGUUCAGCUACAAAAACGAAGUGUACUGUAUUUAAUAACAUAAGAUUUAUAAGUUACAAAGUAUAAAUAGGCAUAUUGUAGUACGAGGUAUUCUUACGUGUUUUAAUAUAACCCUUGUUGCUGGCUUUGUUUCGUCUAUAUUUGAGAGUCGGUCCUUAGUUGGAAAACUUCCUUUAACCUACAAUUUGGUAGCACAAUAAACUUCAAAUGUACCACGGUCUAAAUUUUGAAGCCGACAUUCAUAUUUAUUUAUAUUAGUACCUUUGCCAUUUGUUGUCUUUCUGUUUUCCUUCUUAAGUUUUUUUGCAUUUUUUUCAGUGUGCUUGCUGUUGAACCUAAGGAGGAUUGACCCUGUGCAUAGUAAUAUUUUAUAAAGCAUUACCUAACUCAUUAACAGAGUACUCAAACACAUACAACAUAAUCAAUGCAAACACAUUGUAUUUUUGUAACUAAUGCCAAUAAUUAAAUAUAUCCAUACAUAUUGUAUUCAGUAUGGUCUAUGUAUCCCUUUGACAUACAAUAGAAUCAAAAAGACUAUAUUCAAUAUUGAUGAAUGUUUUAAUGACAAUAUAACAUCAAAAAGAUGUAUAUAAGGAAGAGUUGGAAAUGUAAUGCCAUAAUAAUUAAUAAUCCUUAGAACAUCAGUAAUCCACUGUACCAAUUGUAAGUUGUCUUCUUCUUUUUGUUAAUUUCAUCAUAUAUAAUACUUUCAUUGAUUAAUCUAAUCAGCUCAUUUAGUUCUUCAUCUGCAUCAUAUGUGGCCUUUCAUCAUAUUUACACGGUUUAGCUUUAAACAUUUUCAACAUAAUGUAGUAUAAUUUACUUUAUGAAUCACCUUAUACGGUGGUUGAUCUCCAUCUUGCCUACUUUUGGGACGUAUUAUAUUGUUUCUGAUUUUGUUUAUGUUGGUUGUCCACCGGAUGGCCCUCCCAAUCCUUGACUCUCACCUCUAGCAACCCCUUCACUUCCCUUACUGUGGUCAUUGUCGUCCCUUUUAUCAAGGCCCUUCUGAUGCAUCAAGUCUGUGCUCAGGUAUUCAGCUUUAUCUUCUUCUUCUUCGUCCUCUUCCUUUCCCUCAUCUACCUUACCAAGGUGCUUUUCAAAUGACCUUGGCCCCU
rnacentral:lncRNA from 1 species